rnacentral:lncRNA from 1 species
UUUUUUUUUUUCGGUGCGAAUUUGACACAACAUAGGGAAAGCCGCCCUUUAUCAAAAAUUAUAUUAUUAUAUUUAUAUUAUUUUUAAUAAUAAAAGGGGGUUCCGACAUAUUAAUAUAUAGUGAAGUGUUCCCCCAGAUUUAGAAUUUUUAACUUUUUUUCAAUACUCACUAAUAAUCCUACUAAUAAUCCUAGUGAUUGGAUUUCUAUGCUUAGUCUGAUAGGAAAUAAGAUAUUCAAAUAAAUAAUUUUAUAGCGAAUGACUAUUCAUCUAUUGUAUUUUCAUGUAAAUAGGGGACAAGAAAACUCUAUGGAAAGAUAGUGGUUUAAUUCGAUGUUGUUUAAGGAGUUCGAAUGCAGGUGUGGGCUAAAUAAAUCAAUGGGCAGUCUUGGUCCUAUUGAAAAUACCAGUGAAGAUCCAAAUCGAAAGAUGAAAAACAUUCCUAGUUGCAGUAAUGUUGAUUAUUUAUUCGGCGUUAAAGACAUUCGGAAUUUCAUCUCUGAUGACACUUUUGUAGUUAGUGAUAGGAAUGGAGACAGUUAUUCCAUCUAUUUUGAUAUUGAAAAUCAGAUUUUUGAGAUUGACAACGAUCAUUCUUUUCUGAGUGAACUAGAAAGUUCUUUUUAUAGUUAUCGAAACUCGAGUUAUCUGAAUAAUGGAUUUAGGGGCGAAGAUCCCUACUAUAAUUCUUACAUGUAUGAUACUCAAUAUAGUUGGAAUAAUCACAUUAAUAGUUGCAUUGAUAAUUAUCUUCAGUCUCAAAUCUGUAUAGAUACUUCCAUUAUAAGUGGUAGUGAGAAUUACAGUGACAGUUACAUUUAUAGGGCCGUUUGUGGUGGUGAAAGUAAAAAUAGUAGUGAAAACGAGGGUUCCAGUAUACAAACUCGCACAAAGGGCAGUGAUUUAACUAUAAGAGAAAGUUCUAAUGGCAGUGAUUUAACUAUUGGCAGUGAUUUAACUAUUGGCAGUGAUUUAACUAUUGGCAGUGAUUUAACUAUUGGCAGUGAUUUAACUAUUGGCAGUGAUUUAACUAUUGGCAGUGAUUUAACUAUUGGCAGUGAUUUAACUAUUGGCAGUGAUUUAACUAUUGGCAGUGAUUUAACUAUUGGCAGUGAUUUAACUAAUGGCAGUGAUUUAACUAUAAGAGAAAGUUCUAAUGAUCUCGAGGUAACUCAAAAAUACAGGCAUUUGUGGGUUCAAUGCGAGAAUUGUUAUGGAUUAAAUUAUAAGAAAUUUUUUAAAUCAAAAAUGAAUAUUUGUGAACAAUGUGGAUAUCAUUUGAAAAUGAGUAGUUCGGAUAGAAUUGAACUUUUGGUCGAUCCGGGUACUUGGGAUCCUAUGGAUGAAGACAUGGUCUCUCUGGAUCCCAUUGAAUUUCAUUCGGAAGAGGAGCCUUAUAAAGAUCGUAUUGAUUCUUAUCAAAGAAAGACAGGAUUAACCGAGGCUGUUCAAACAGGCAUAGGCCAAAUAAACGGCAUUCCCGUAGCAAUUGGGGUUAUGGAUUUUCAGUUUAUGGGGGGUAGUAUGGGAUCCGUAGUCGGAGAGAAAAUCACCCGUUUGAUUGAACACGCUGCCAAUCAAAUUUUACCUCUUAUUAUAGUGUGUGCUUCUGGGGGGGCGCGCAUGCAGGAAGGAAGUUUGAGCUUGAUGCAAAUGGCUAAAAUAUCGUCUGCUUUAUAUGAUUAUCAAUUAAAUAAAAAAUUAUUUUAUGUAUCAAUCCUUACAUCUCCGACAACUGGUGGAGUGACAGCUAGUUUUGGUAUGUUGGGGGAUAUCAUUAUUGCCGAACCCAAUGCCUACAUUGCAUUUGCAGGUAAAAGAGUAAUUGAACAAACAUUGAAUAAAACAGUACCCGAAGGUUCACAAGUAGCUGAAUACUUAUUCCAGAAGGGUUUAUUCGACCUAAUUGUACCACGUAAUCUUUUAAAAAGCGUUCUGAGUGAGUUAUUUAAGCUCCACGCCUUUUUUCCUUUGAAUCAAAAGUCAAGCAAAAUCAAGUAGAGCACUAAGGCCAUUAUUUUAUUUUAUUUGUGUUUGUAGCAAAAAAGUAGUUAGUUUAUCGGAAUCAAAGUAAAUAAGAUAAAGUAAAUAAGAUAAUAAUGGCCCUUUCUUUGGUGAUAGAAGAUCUAAUUGUAGAAAGAAUCAAAACUAAAGUUGAGGAUAACUCUUUUUUGACCUAUAUUCCUGAUUACGAAUCAAGAAGCCUUUAUCACCAAGAGUGAGUUCUUCCUUUCGUGAAAUUAGGAAAAUAAAACGAAUUUCUUCUUGUCUUAGGUAUAUAAUUUGAAAUUAAAAUAUAGAUAAUAGAGUUUUGUAUCUUUCUCUAUCUCCCUAAAAACCAUUUUAGCUAAAAAUUCAUGUUGGGUCGGAUUCGAACGAAUCUUUCGAUAAUCUCUUUAUCUAUUUUUAGAAAAUUAGAAGACAAGAACAAAAGACAAAGAAAUGAAUAAUAAAGUUUAUUAUGAUACAUAUCUUUCUCAUGUAAGAGAUGAAUAAGUCCAUUUAUUUAGUUCUACAUUCUUUGCACUUAUUCUUAUUAUACGUACUCAGUUAGAUUUAGAUAUAUAGAUACUUAGAUCUAUACUAAGAAUUUCAAAUUCUUCAAAUUCUAUUAAUAAUAAAUAUUAUCUAAUUAGAAUUCAAAUUCUUAAUUUAAUUAUAAUUAUUUAAUUAUUACAAGAUAUCUUUAUUUAUAUAAUAACAUAAUAACAGAUACAAUAUAGUAAAUCGAGGUACCCCUUCUAUGACAAAUUUGAACCUUCCAUCUAUUUUUGUGCCGUUAGUAGGCCUAGUCUUUCCGGCAAUUGCAAUGGCUUCUUUAUUUAUUCAUGUUCAAAAAAACAAGAUUGUUUAGAUACGCUGGGACCCAAUCUCAUCCAUUUUUUUUUGAAAACGUGGACUUGUAUCAUAACACGGAUAUCUAUUUAUUGGAAUAGAGUAUAACAUGUGAUUUCUACCGAACAUAAAGGAAAAAACUCUUAUGCCUGCAGAAACAUGAUAUAUGGAUAUAUCCAUUCUAGUAAUUUUCAAAUAGAUCAGGAUCACUGGAUGGCUGAAAUGUAGUCGGUUAAUCUCUAUAUAUAUCGAUAUGUAUAGUGGGAUCGUAUUAAAUAAAGAGUAUGUUAUUAUUUUAGAUUUAACCAAUUUGAUGAAUUACUCCUAAAGGUUGACAUCAAACUAGUGCUAGUUCACCUCAAACUAGUGCUAGUUGAUGAGAGUUACUUCGGAAACAAAAAAGUAGUCAAAUUUCUAAGGGAUUAUUAUCUCAAUUCCAAUAAAAUGCAAUUGGGUAAAGUAUGACUUGGCGAUCAAAACAUAUAUGGAUAGAACUUAUAACGGUGUCUCGAAAAAUAAGUAAUUUCUGCUGAGCCUUUAUCCUUUUUUUAGGUUCAUUAGGCUUCUUAUUAGUUGGAACUUCCAGUUAUCUUGGUAGAAAUUUGAUAUCUUUUUUUCCGCCUCAGCAAAUCAUUUUUUUUUCCAUAAGGAAUCGUGAUUUCUUUCUACGGAACUGCGGGUCUCUUUAUUAGCUCUUAUUUGUGGUGCACAAUUUCCUGGAAUGUAGGUAUGGUUAUGAUCGAUUCGAUAUAAAGGAAGGAAUAGUCUGUAUUUUUCAUUGGGGAUUUCCGAAAAAAAAUCAUCGCAUAUUCCUCCGAUUCCUUAUAAAGAUAUUCAGUCCGUUAGAAUAGAAAUUAAAGAGGGUAUUUAUGCUCGUCAUGUUCUUUAUAUGGACAUACGAGGCCAGGGGUCCAUUCCCUUAACCCGUACUGAUGAGAAUUUAACUCCACGAGAAAUUGAACAAAAGGCUGCUGAAUUAGCCUAUUUCUUGUGUGUACCAAUUGAAGUAUUUUGAGAAAUUGAGAAUAAGAACGUUCAUUCAAUUAAAGAAAACGUAUAUGAAAGAACCAUAAAACAGAACUCUUUUUAUGGUCUUUAUGCGUAUGUAAACCUACGCAAUUCAAUAACAAAUAACAAAUCAAAAUAAUAGAUUCAUCUCAGAUGGUAAACCAUUUUGAAAUCAAGAAAUUUUUUUUAGUUCAAUAUUUGUUGGAAUUGACACUUUAGAUCCAGAUAGAUCAUUUCUUGUAAAUUGAAAAUUCUUUCUUUUGUAUUCUUUAAUGACCAACAAUUGGAUGUCUUAAUUAAAUAAUGAGAACUAGCCAAUUUAUCUUUUGCCAGUCAUUUUUUUUUUAUCAUCGUAAUAUCUUUUCCUCAAUUAUUCUAUUCCUGACUAUGGGUAAUUAGUGAAAUUUUUUCGAAAUAUUGGAUAUUUUGAUAGCAAGGGAGUUCUUUCUUCUCAAAAUCUGAUAAAUAUUCAUUACUUAAAGUGGUUCUUACAACUAUAAAUGAAGAAGAUAAUGAGAUAAAUUUAUAGUAUUCAUCUUUAAGUAAUGAAUACUAGGUAUGGCCUUAAAAUUAAAAAAGAGGGGUCAAAGUCGGCUAGUGAGAUGAUGGGGGAUAAGCUUCAUCGUCGAGAGGGAAACAACCCGAAUCACCAGCUAAGGCCCUUAAAUGGCCGCUCAGUGAUAAAGGAGGUAGGGGUAUGGAGACAGCCAGGAGGUUUACCUAGAGCCAGCCACCCUUAAAAGAGUUCGUAAUAGCUCACUGAUUGAGCUCUCUUGCGCUGAAGAUGAACGGGGCUAAGUGAUUUGCCAAAGUUGUGGGGUGUAAAAAUACAUCGGUAAGGGAGCGUUCCGCCUUAGAGGGAAUCCUCCGCGUGAGCGGUGGUGGACGAAGCAGAAGCGAGAAUGUCGGAUUGAGUAACGUAAACAUUGGUGAGAAUCUAAUGCCCCGAAAACCUAAGGGUUCCUCCGCAAAGUUCGUCCAUGGAGGGUGAAUACUAGGUUUACCUACAACUAUGAACCCUUUAAGUUGCCUGACGUAAGAACCACAGACCACAACACAUACAAGAACCUUUCAUACCUACUUCAUUUAGUUAGGAAUUUUUGUAGUUUCCCUAUUUAAUAGUUCAAUUACAACUAUGAAUACUAGGUUUGCCUGUUAUUGCCUCUUCGUUUUAACUACUAUUCCCUGGGAUUGGAUUUGGGCCUUUCCUGCGCAGCUUAGGUGGAAGGCAUAGAAGCCCUCCUUCCGGGGGGCCUGGGCUAUCAGUGAGAUACCACUCUGGAAGGGCUAGAAUUCUAACCUUGUGUCAGGACGUACGGGCCAAAGGACAGUCUCAGGUAGAUAGUUUCUAUGGGGAAUAGGCCUCCCAAAAGGUAACGGAGGCGUGAAAAGGUUUCCUCGGGCCAGACGGAGAUUAGCCCUCAAGUGCAAAGGCAAAAGGGAGCUUAACUGCAAGACCCACCCAUCGAGCAGGGAUGAAAGUCCGCCUUAGUUAUCCGACAGUGCCGAGUGGAAGGGCCGUCGCUCAACGUAUAAAAGUUACUCUAGGGAUAACAGGCUGAUCUUCCCUAAGAGCUCACAUCGACGGGAAGGUUUGGAACCUCGAUGUCGGCUCUUUGCCACCUGGGGCUGUAGUAUGUUCCAAGGGUUGGGCUGUUCGCCCAUUAAAGCGGUACGUGAGCUGGGUUUAGAAUGUCGUGAGACAGUUUGGUCCAUAUCUGGUGUGGGCGUUAGAGCAUUGAGAGGACCUUUCCCUAGACGAGAGGACCGGGAAGGACGCACCUCUGGUGUACCAGUUAUCGUGCCCACGGUAAACGCUGGGUAGCCAAGUGCGGAGCGAAUAACUGCUAAAAGCAUCUAAGUACUAAGACCACCCCAAGAUGAGUGCUCUCCUAUUACGACUAGCCCAGAGCUUUCGGUAGCAUAACCGAGACAGUGACGGGUUCUCUGCCCCUGCGGGGAUGGAGCGACAAAAGUUUUUUUGAGAAUUCAAGAGAAGGUCACGGCGAGACGAGCCGUUUAUCAUUACGAUAGGUAUCAAGUGGAAGUGCAGUGAUGUAUGCAGCUGAGGCAUCCUAACAGACCGGUAGACUUGAACCUUGUUCCUACAUGACCUGAUCAAUUCGAUUAGGCACUCGCCAUCUAUUUUCAUUGUUCAAAUCUUUGACAAUAUGAAAAAACCAAAAGCUCUGUCCCCCUCUCUAUCUAUCCAAGGGAUGGAAGGGCAGAGGUCUUUGGUGUCCCCUCCAGUCAAGAAUUAGGGCCUCACAAUCACUAGCCAAUAUGCUUUUCUCUCAUGCCUUUCUUCGUUCAUGGUUCGAUAUUCUGGUGUCCUAGGCGUAGAGGAACCACACCAAUCCAUCCCGAACUUAGUGGUUAAACUCUACUGCGGUGACGAUACUGUAGGGGAGGUCCUACAAAAAAAUAGUUCGACACCAUGAUGAUAAAAAGCUUAAUACCUCUCAUUCUUAUUCAAUAUGAAAAUGAAAAAAAAAUGAAAAAUCAAAAGAAAAAUCAAAAGGUCGUUUUAUUCAAAACCCCAAUUGUGACAUCCCUUCUCUCCCACUUUACACCUCAGAACGCACCCUUCUUAUAGAGAUAAAUGCAUUUUCACAUCUUCUUAACCCGAAAUGGCUUGGGAGAGGAAAGGUUUCUUUUUUUAGGGUACUCCUGGGAACAGAUCCAGUGGAGACAGGGUGAGGCCUAUAGCUCAGAGGCUUAGAGCACGUGGCUGCGAACCUCGGUUUCAGGGGUUCAAAUCCCUCCUCGCCCACAACCGGCCCAAAAGAGAAGUACCUUUCCCUCUGGGGCUAGGAAAAUCAUGAUCAGGAUAGCGAACCAAAAGCUAUGGAACUUGGGCGUGGGUAUUUUUUCGAAAUGGAAUGGCUUUUCUUUUUCUCUUUUUAUUUAUCGUGAAUGGGGGAAUCAUUACACAUAGUAUGCCCGAUCGGCAUAUUUUUUUGUUUUACACCCCGUAACUCUUCCUCAUCCAGGCUUGGGCAGAAUAGCAGAGCAAGUAUUAGUAGCAUAACAGAAAAGCCUUUCCUCGUCAAUUAUGACUAAUCUAUUGCAACAGAUGACCCAUAUUUGGAUUCAUGUUACAAUACUAUAAUACAAAUCCAACAAAUGAGUAAUCUAUUGCAACAGAUUAGUCAUAUAUGUUGCAACAGAUUACUCAUAUUUUGCAACAGAUUAGUCAAUAUGUUGCAACAGAUUAGUCAAUAUGUUGCAACAGAUUACACAUCUGUGCAACAGAUUACUCAUCUGUUGGAUUCACGUUACAUGUUUUAUCUACUGUUGAAAAAACAGCAGUAGCAAAUAUACCCAGAUGAGAAAUUCAACUAAAAAUUAUAAUUUUACUUACUAAAAUCACCUAUAAGUAAUUCCCAAGUGAUAUACGAAUAAAAUUUGACCUAAAAAAAUUUGAUCAAGUAGCAAUAGUAGCGGUAACAACAAUGUUCAACAACAAGAAGAUGAUGAUGAUGAACAAAAAAAGAUGAUGAUAAUGAAGAACAAGAUGAUGAAUAAAACAACAACAAUAAUGAACAACAAAAAUCGCGAAGAGAGAGAAAACUCCAAUAAAUGAGAAGAGAGAAAAACGUGCCUUUUUUCCCUCCAUUUUUAGUUAUAUUAGGUUUUACAUUGGAUCAAAGUGUAAAUUUAAAACUUGUGGGUUAUUUUCAAACUUUUCUUACUUUCUUAAUCCUUAAUAAAGUAAUUGUCACAUCCACUCAAUUAUUAAGACUUGUGUCACCCACACUUCAUUUUAAAAUUUUUUUGUCACCGAGAGCCCAAAGCACCUUGUUUCUACCCUGACUUAUAAACGAAAUUGCUGAGACACACUCCAACUUAAAGGGUGUCCUAUUACCCUGGACUAAUUAAAACCAUAUUUUUGACAACCUUAGUGCUGACAUGGUACAUACGUGGCACACUGCGUGAAUUAACACACUGAAGGUCCACAUAGGCACACAUAUGUGCCACGUAGGAACUAAGAUUGCCAAAAAUACAAUUUUAAUUAGUCCAGAGGUAAUAGGACCUUCUUUAAGUUCGGGUGUGUCUCCGCAAUUUCUUUUAUAGUUCAUGAUGAAAACAGUGCAUUUACUCAUUUUUUUUAAGAAAAAAAAUUUACUCCAAAAAUUUAAGGCCCUUCGUACCUUGAAAUUCAGAUGUUUUCAUCAAAGAAAAUAUUUUCCACCAAAGGCCAAAAACCAUAUUGAAAACUUUUAAUUUACCAAAGAUCACCAAAAUAUUAUCAUCAUAGUUUUUUCAACUCCAUAAGGUCACACAUCCAUUUUACAUAACAAGGAUUCAAGUUCUAAUAACUGGAUUCUAAAUUUAAAAUUUGUACAUAUAAAUACAAGAUUUAGGACGGACAAACUAUUGGGUUCUACUGAACUCGUAAGUUGCCUUCUAGCUCCUCCCCAGGUCAAGCACAUUGUUAAAGCAAAUAUGAUACUCAUGUACUAGCGUAGACGCAUUGAUCAUUGCUACAUGGAGAACUCACCCUCUGGCGUAGCCGCGUUGAUCAAAAUGGUUUGGAUUGAGCAUUCUUUCUUUAAAAUCUUUACGACUGCAGACAUGGUUGGUCUGAAUGGCGGUGAAUCUAUGCAUACCAUUGCUAAUCGUAGAAUCAUCUGUGCUUCUUCCCAGUCAUAACUCAGCUUAGGAUCGACUAGUUCCAUUAGAGUUCCCCUCCGAUCCAUUUUUUCGGCCUAUAGUUGUCGAUAAGAUUAACCAAAUAACUUUGUCAAGUUAAGGUACAUAACUAUUGUAGCAAGUUGAGUUUUACUCACCUCAUCCACGAGGUAGUCAGUUUCACCACCUGCCCUCGGGGUCUUGAUUUUCCUUCCGCUGACAAGUAUAAGUGUGACAACUCCAAAGCUAUACACAUCUGCGCUAGCUUCUAAGGGGCGAUCUUUAACUUCUGGCGCUGUGUAUGACCUGCAAAAGGUUUCCAUUAGUGAGAAAUACAAUUGUGGAAGCUAAUGUAUAAGGUAUUACUCCCUCCGUUUAAUUUGUUUUUCUGGUUUUGACUUGACACGAAGUUUAAGAAAGUAACGAAUACUUUUGUAUCUUGCAGUCUUAACCUAAUGAUAUGAAGAAUGUACAAUGCAGUUUAGUCUUGUGGUUUUAAACAUGUCACGUGGAAAGUAAAGAUAAAAGAGUUGUUCUUACAUUGAUCCUUCUGAUUUUUGCUUGUGAUAGAGCUUCGCAAAUCCGAAAUCAUGUAUCUUCGGAUUCAGAUCAUCAUCAAGAAUAAUGUUUGCUGGUUUAAUGUCCCCGUGUAUAGUUUCCUGUUUGGACCCCUCGUGCAGAAAAGAUAAACCUUCCGCUAGACCAAGACAAAUUCUAUAUCUUGUUGGCCAAUCGAGUCUUGCUCUAAGUUCAUCGUCUGAACCUGUACGUAAUCAAAGCUGUAAGUUCUUUACUACAAGUGUGGAGGCUUAACAAAGAAAUCAUUCAUAAAUGGAAGUCGUUACCAAAUAAUGCAUCUUCAAGAGUAUUAGUUCCAAUGAACUCGUAGAUAAGCAGAAGUUGGUUGUUUCCUGCACAGCAUGCCAUUAGUGUUACAAGAUUUGGAUGUAUUAUGCCAGUAAUUGCUCGACUCUUUUCCGCAAACUCCCACAUUCCUUCUUUUGUUGCCGAAAACUUUUUAACUGCGACGGCAGUCCCAUUCGAAAGAGUGCCCUGAACAUUCCGUUAAGUGUUUCAGAUGAUGAAAUUGUGUAGCAGAAAAACAAAAUAAGUUAAGUUGCGUGGACUCUUCACUUUUGAUGCCGCAUCCGUGUCGGGUUCUCUAAAUACACAUUAUUUUUGAAGAAUCCGACACGCACCCGUUGACAUUUUUGAAGAGUCCGAGUAACAUAGAAAAUAAGUACUCCCUCCGUUUAAAUUUGUUUGUCUUACUUUCAUUUUUUAUCCAUUUCAAAAGAAUGUGUCUUUCCUUUUCUAGUAACUCUCUAAUUCUAAUUGACCACAUGACAUGUUUAAGACCACGAGAUUGAAGGACAUUUUGGUACAAUCAAUCUAUUAUUAAUUCAAGAGCACACGUGUCAAAAGUUCUUAACGUUCGUGCCAAAUCAAUACCAGAAAAAACAAAUUGAAACGGGGGAGUAUAUAUCUAGAUCGGAGGUCAUCCAGCAAGAUCGGAGGUCAUCCAGCAAGCAAAAGAAAAAAGGUUGUGCAUAGAAGGGAGCGGCGUCACGAAAACACAUACUAGUACUGCAACUACUGUCAUGAGAGAGUAUCUUCUCCGAAAGAAAAUGAAGAAUACGGAGACAGAAAAUGAACAAAAUUUAUUUAACGGAAGAAAACUGUAAAAGAUAUCAAAAAAAAUCAUAAUCUAUAAUGAGAAGAUUCUAGCAAACCUUAUAGAUUGUCCAGAAACCUCCCUCGCCAAGCCGGUUCUUAAUAUCAAAAUCCUUCGUGGCAGCUUUAAUUUUCCGGUAGUUGUAAAGCCCUCCAGGGUACAAUUCAACACGUUCUUGCUCUAUAUUUACACAUUAGUAAAUAUAUAUCAGAGGAAUUUGAAACAUAUAUAAAGUAAAGACCUAUGAUUAAAACCGAUAACUACAAGAAAUGUAUCUUAGGUUUAACUCAAUCCCAAAGGCUAAUGACCAAUAUCUUGGGAUAGGUUUGGUACUGAUACCAUUAUAAGAAAUGGAUCUUGCGUCUAACUCAAUCCCAAAAACGAGAUCACGUGGUUAGGGAUUGCCGAAUACUAUAUAAGAAGACCAAUUCCACAUCCCACAAUCAACGCGUGACUACUUGUAAAGACAAAACUACAACUUUGAUUAUAGAGUGGCAAACAUAUAUAGUGUUACCUUCCUGAUGUAAUUUGUCUUGGACUUUCCAGGAAAUACCUAUGAACAAUAUUAGAAGAAGUAAUGCAAAUCCGGAAAUUCCAGCAAGCACUCCAUCGGGCAGUUCUGAUGCACGAGCUGGUUCAUAAAUUGUUAUCGUGAAAUAUCAAUAACAAAAUAGGGACCAAAACCAUGUAAGAUGGUAAAUAGUUGGGGGUAGCCCAGUGCACAAAGCAUCUCACAGUCACGCAGGGUCCGGAGAAGGGACACACCUUAAGAGGUGUAAUGUAGAUAGCCGACCCUAAUGCAAGCAUUAGCUAGUGUCUGCUUCUAUGGCUCGAACCCGUGACUUAUAGGUCACAAAUAACUUUAUCGUUGUUCCAAGGCUCCCCUUUGUAAAAUGCUGAAUAGUCAGACAGAAUGAAUACCUGGAGUUACUGUAAUUGCAGAUAUAAGUGGCCCAUAGUUCUCUGAUGGGUAUAAGACCGAUCCUUUUCCCGACCAGUAUAAGUGAAUCUCCAGUCGACCGUCGUUAUUCACAGGAACAGUAAAUUCCUUUGUUUUAUCCAUAUUCACACCUCCCGCGUCUUCUUCUAUGUUGUAGUUUUUCAGCUUGUUAUCUCCCUGCAUAAAUAUUAUCUAAAAUUCUUUGAUAUGUUUGCAUAUGGAUCGACAACUUGAUGGUUUUGGUACCUUACCUGGAUAUCUACAUCAAAGAGUCGCCCUGCUUUGCUAUGAGAAUCUUUAUUGUCGUUACUAGAUAUUUCAGCAAAGUGAAGCUUCACGUCGUACAUACCACUUUGCAAACAAAAUCCAUAAUAUUUCAAGGAGAUUGGGGAUAAACGUGCUGAGCGAUACAAUUGGGCAGCACCAGCAUGAAUUUCGCAGGUUUCAUUUAGAAUGUACUUAUUACGACUUGCCCAUAAGAAGCUUCCCAUACUACUGUAGCCCCAAUUUGAUCUAUUACUCUUGAAGAAAGUUGAUUCACCACUUGGAUGUGCAUCAGCUUCAUAGUUACUUCCGUUAACUUUUACAGACGCACCACCGCAGUUUAUAUACAAAUGGUCAUCUACAAACGGAGAUACUAUUUUUAGUACAUGGUGCAUUUAAAAUGCGAGCAACUCAACAUUGUGAAAAGACAAACUAGCAAAUUGGAAUUGAGGGAGUAUCUAUGAAGCUAGUCAUAAGAAACAUAACAAAAGACGUAUACUAAUAUCACUUCACGUCUGAAGUUGUUAGUACUUACAAAACUGAGUUCCAUUCGUACAAUCGAAAUCAACUUGGUCCCGCUUUGCAACCCUAUAUUCAAAUUUACUCACAAAGUAUAGAAGUCAGAACAAUUUUCUUACAAGACCAAAUUAUUUCUUUUGAGAUACAGGUGGAAGAGCUUACUCAUCCGUUUCAUUAGAGCAGCACUUGAACAGAUUCCUGCGAAAGGGAAAUAUCAUCGGAUUCAGAAACAGAAAAGCUACUAAGAAGCUGUGUUGCUCGGACUCUUCAAAAAUGUCAAUGUGUGUGUGUCAGAUACUCCAAAGUUAGUGCAUUUUGAAGAAUCUAACACGGGUGCCGUAAAAAUUUUGGAGAGUCCAAGAAACAUAGCUAAGAAGUACCCGAAUAAGAUUUUUCAAGAUAUGUGCAAAUCGCCCUUACAAGUCAGGGUUUAGUGUCUUUCCAGGGCUAAUGUUCACAUUUCUGAAAAAGUUUUCAGAAACAUCCCUGCACGUUGAUUUGGACGAGUAAGUGGAAGAAUAUGUUGUAAAAAUUGAUGAAAAGAGAAAGUCGGCACAGAAAAUCUCUUCAAUUUAUUUGGCACUUGCUUUUUCUUUCCCAUUAUCACUUCGAUUUAGUUUCAUUCUGUUACUCUCUUCCUCAGCGUAACAAGAUAAAUUUCCUAGGAGCUGCUAGUAAUGUCUGAACUUAGAACCGAAAAGUAAUAUAUUAAUGCAAAAGGAACUUACACGUAUGGAGUAGCAUUCAUCCAAGCUGGAAUUGUCUCAUUGAGAUUAUUUUUUCUUAGAAAUCUGGAAACAACAUACCGGAUCAUGACAGUUUAUACCACGCAGGAAAAGAAAAGAAUGUGAUAAAAAUCAAUGUUUCGACUUCACGUUAGGAAUUAACAACAACAACAUACCCAAUGUAAUCCUACAAGUGGGGUUUGGAGAGGGUAGAGUGUACGCCGACCUUACCUCUAAACAAAGGCGGAGCCAGACUUUAAAGUCUGUGGUUCGGAACACUAUUCACUAUUUCACUUCACCUACAUCUUGAAACAUCGACGAUGAACACUAUUGACUUCGCCCACAUGUUUUUAAGCCUUUCUAUGCCUUUGUUCCAACUUCGAAAACCUUCCGUUGUGAAGGAUUUACUCACUUUUUUUUCCAUAUCCUCCGAGCUCAUUUUUAAACAAGUAACAACAUAAGCAAAAUGCUGCAUCUUCUUUAAUGCUAAUAUGCUAUAUUCUAACCACAAAAUUUUCUACAAAACUAUUCUACUGUCUUGCAAAGUGCAAUCACAAAAUACGAAAACUAUAUGUUGCAAUAGAAUUACAGAUACAAUUACUAAAGCACUUUAACCCAAAAUCAAAAGCAAAAUUUAAAAUUUAAUCACAAUCUAUCGAUCGCGACUCAUGAAUGCCGAUGCAAAACUCUGAGACAUUGAGACUAACAAUUAGCAUAUGCGAAAACUGAAAGUGAAAUGGAAUUAUGAUCUAUGGAAAUCACUGCACAAGUGCACAUUACAUACCUUGACAGAGCAGCAGAAGUUCGGUUCUGGUCGUUGGGGGGUGGGGUUGUUGAUAAACCUUUUGACUUUCUUUAAUUACUUUUGACUUUCUUUAAUUAUUAUUAGUUUAUAUAUAUUUUAUUUUUUUAAAAUAGAAGUGCACCAAUGGAAAUGCAAAUUAAAAAGCCUUCAAUGGGGUUCGAACCCCAUCUCCAUCUCAUGGAUGGAAGGCUCUUCGUCUACCACUGGACUAAUAGGCUAUGUUUGUCUAUGGGUUCGGCCUUAUAUAAUUAUAUACGUUUUCCAAUAUAUAUAUAUAUUUAUAGGGUCUACGGAAAAGUUAGGGGGUUCGACCGAACCCCCGUACAACACACUAGCUCCACCCCUGCCUGUAAAUCGUAGAGAUAGAGAAGCUCCUAUAGACCCUCGACUUAAAAAAUGCAUUUCAAAGUAGUUUGACAAAGGGAAUACAAAAAUAAAAGCAGUAAGAACAAUGAAAUAAUGCGUAAUGGAAAGCAGUACACAACAACAUACGGAAGAAAGAACAGUAACAACGAUAAAAUACUGAUAUAAUCGAAGCACAAACAAACACGUGUGAUAACCAAAACUAAAGAAGAAGAAACUACGAGAAUAUUGCUAAUACUACUGGUAAGAAACUAUUAGUGGCUUCGAGAAGGAAUGCGUAUAAGAAGGAUAUAGCCUAAUGGAAAGAGGUACAAAGAAUCGUCCCCAGGAAGACCACACAACAUGAAAACCGGUCUUUCUCCGACCUCUACAGCAAAGCAUAUGAAUUUUCUUGCAAUGAUGAACUUUGUAUCCACAUCUCGCUACAAACGUAAGAACACUUUUUAUAUUUAACGAUUAGUUAGAGAAGCAAGAUGACGUACAUAUAACUCAGCGAGUUGUUAACAGCUUCUGGAAUUCCACCAAACAAACUAUUGAAACUCAAGUCCCUGCAUCAGGAGAAAAGAACGUAGAAUUACUUUAUAAAUUUGUUCAGGAAACAUGUAGUAGCCUGUAUAAUGACAGGUUUACACUCAAUUAAAUCGUUUUCGCUUUGUUCCACACGCUUCAACUGUUUUUUUUUUUGGUAUUAUGUAUGAUGUCAAACAGAACGGGAGCAAGACAAAGAUAGCACACUUUAAGAGUUUAGCUUGGCGGACCUCUUCUAUCCAUAAACGACUUAUUUUCUCAUAAACCUCAGAAUAUUAGACUUUUUUUUUUCAAUUUGGAGGUAGGGAAGGGGAUUACAAGAUGGGAAAUUGAGCCCUCAACAACAGCAUUAAAGUUCAGUUAGCCACGAUAGUCAAUGAAUUGAGCUAUUAAGAUUGCCCUCAUAAUAUUAGAUGUUGAAUCACGGUAUUGAGGAGACUUUAAUAGGAAGGAUUUGAUCAUGAAGAGUUACAUAUGAAAAAGGCACAGUCAGAGAAGAGAGCAUUUAGAUCAUCGACUUUCCCAUACCAAAAGCAUGCCUUCAUCUUCGUAAAAUAAAGAGCUAAUGGUUGAUAGAUCAGGUAGGAAAAUCACACACUCGAUAGUUUAGGUAUGAAACUCGGAAAACCAGGGUACCUUAGAUAUGUUUUUGACCCUUAACUCUAAGGUAAAAGAAUACGGAGAUAUCUAUUGCAGAAGCUGUCUUACAGAUACUGCAGGUCAGGUAAAUUCCAUAUCUCAACAGGGAUGCGGUCAGCUAUUAAGCAAUUCCUCAAUGUCCUAGAUAAACAGAAAAAUCAGAAAAUAGAAUUCUAUUUCAGGAGAAGAGCAAAAGAAAAACUAUUAAUCCAAUAAACAUGAAACUUUGGGUGCCAAGGGACUCACAAAACUCUCAAAAGUUUCGCUCCGGAUAAAUCUGGAAACGAGGAGUUUCUUCUAAUUAAGUUACUGAUAUGCCUGAAAUAGAUAUUAUAAAAUACGUAAUAAUUCAAAGUUUGGGAGAACUCCUUUCAAGAAUGAGUACAUCGAAAAGCUACAGGAUUUUACAGAUCCGUUAGACUCUUCAGCUUCGAGAAUUGGCCAUGCAAAGGUGCAGAAAAACUAUUCCCCAUCAGAUUCCUUCUCAACAGGUGAAGAGAAGAAUCAAUAGUCUUGAAAAAAACAUGCAUAGAUUGUAUAAAAGUAUACAGUUACUUGCUGAGUUUUACAUGAUACGAAGAUCUUGCCACUGCUCGAAAAUAUCUGGGAUCUCUCCAUCGAGGUUGUUCCCUUGCACAUUACUAUAGAGAAACAAGAUUAAUCAAUUGAUUUAAAAGUCAUGAAGUGGCCGUAGCCACAUGUAGUGAAGGGUGGCGGCCACCCUUUGUCGAAAAGUUAUACGAGUAUAUAGGUAAAAAAAUAAUUUCUUCCGUCCAUAUUAAAUCUUGAAUACCCUCACCGAAAUUUCUGGCUUCACCAUUGCAGCAGCAUCCUCUCUUUUCUUGUUUAAUCAUAUGCUAAAUGAGAACGAAAUAUAAGAGAAUAGAUACUUACAAGUAUGUCAGUUUAUUCAAACUCUUGAAGCUUGGCGGCAAGGGACCAAUAAAUUCGUUGUUCUGAAAGUUCCUGCAAUCAUUUACUACAUAAGUAACCUUGUCUUCUUUGUUAACCUUGAAUGAAACUCAAUCCAGCACGAUGAGGUUCAUAGUUAGUAGUACAUCGUAGGAAUAAUCAACAAAAAUAUACUUACAACACUUCAAGAUUCACAAGAUUUCCAAGCUGGUCCGGGAUUACAUCCGAGAGUUGAUUAUCAACGAGGUGCCUAAUUGUGAAGGCAAAUAGAUGGGGAUUCAGUUUGCACUAAACCAAAUGGAAAGUGACAUAAUAUAGAAGUAUGGAUCUUAUCAAGGAUUUUACAAUUCAAUCAGGCUCUUAAUAUUUCCGAGCUGAUCCGGAAUUUUCUCUGAUAAAAAGUUAUUGCCCAAAUCUCUGAAAGGACAAGAAGAAAAAAAUAUAUAUAUUAUGUAUUAAGACAACAAGAUAAUCAUAAUUUAUUUUGGAAUAGAAAGAACAAUAUGAGAUCGCAGGUUUAGACUUACAAAUAUUCCAAAGAUGGGAGAGAACCUAAUCCUGGAGGAAUUGUUUGGUUGAAGAAGUUUUUGCACAAAUAUCUGUAAUGGUAACCAAGGUUAGAUCUUCUUGUUACAACAACUACUAUUAGGAUGUCAUAACAUUGUUACAACGGCGAACAUUCAAACUCAGACGAGAACCAUUUCUUUAUGAUUAUUCUGUCGCCAAAAAAGAAUUUCCGGUUCUGUAAGCAGUCAAAUAGAAGUUAUUCCAUUUUCUUUGCUUGAUGGAGAUGAGUGGAAGCAAUAGAUUUCCCUCUUUUUGAUUCACAAUUUGCAGGAAAUCAGUUCAUUAAGUUCGACAAAGUUGUUAAUCAAACAAGUAGAUAGUAAUUGUGCGUGGGUUGAGUCGUAAAGCUGAUACGAAAAGGUAAACCAAUGACUUACAUUCUUUUUAAAGACGUCAUCUGACCAAGGAAAGGUGGAAUGCGUCCUUCCAAUGAGUUAUCACAGAGAGAACUGUCAGAUAAAACAUCAUAAUCAUCACAGCAAAUUCAUGAAAAACUUUAAAAAAAAAAAAAACAGAUAAAUUAAAUAAGUUUCUAAUGGAAACAGUAAUUGAUCCAAAGUUAUGAAACUACUCACAACUCCUCUAGUCUUGUCAGAUUUUGAAAUGAUUCAGGAAUUGAUCCACGCAACUUGUUUCCAUUCAAAGAGCUGCGAUCAACCAAAAUAGAUUAUCGAAUCUUGGAUAUGAUUUAGUUUAGUUUGGACUUUAUAACAUCGAGAUCCUUUUUGAGUAUAAAGAGACUUAUGUGUAUCUCUUGGAGCAUGCAUUCCAUUAUUUCGACUCCUGCCUCAAAAUAUAAAUGCCUACGGCGCAUAGUAUUGUAAGAGGAAAAUGAAAUCUAUCGGUAACAAUCUCUCUACCUCUCAAGGUAACAGUAGGGUCUGAGUAUACACUACCCUUCCCAAAACCCACUUAUGGGAUUACUGGGUAUGUUGCUGUAAUUAUCCUUCAUUAUUUUUUCUAUAAUAUUUAUUAAUUUCUGCACCCAACGGUGUCGCCUAGCGGUCAACGAUGUGGGCGAGAACCAUGCGUUCUCGGGUUCAAAUCCUAGCAGAGACAAAAACACUAGUGAUUUUUUCCCAUCUAUCCUUAGCUUUGGUGGAUGGAGUAACCUGGAAUCUAUUGCUGGUGGGAGGUGGCAGGUAUCUAGUAAAAUUAGUCGGGGUGACCCAAAAGCUGGCCUGGACCGCGGUUAUCAAACAAACUAAUAACAAUAAUAUUUAUUCCAUUCACAUACAAAAUGCAAGUGGAAUCUAGAAAAAUGGAAUGAUAUUAAAUGCAAAAUAUAUAAGUAUGCUUAUGAUGUAAUGCGAUUUAAACUGAGCAGAAAUUGUUUAGGUAUACUUACAAGCUUUUUAAAUAUUGAAGGUCUCCGAAGUUCUCAGGGAACUUAACAUCUAAUCCUCUAUUGGAGAAAUCACUGCAGUUCAUUAUGUUGCAAAAAAAUCAAUCAGAAAUCUCAACGUUGCAUAGUUAAAAAUAACGCGACAAUUUUUAUCUCCCUUGAGAUCACAACUUAAAACUAAAACAAUGAACAUAAAACAAGGAUGACCUGCACAUAUUUGAUCAGGCGUUGUGGUACUAAUCUCUAGUUAUGCGCGGGGUCUGAGGAAGAAUCAAACCAUAAGUGUCAAUUGUAUGCAACCUUACAAUGCAUUUCUGCAAUAGGCUGCUUCUACGGCUCGAACCGUGACCUUCUGGUCACAUGGCAACAACUUUACGAGUUACACCAACGCUCAAUGACGGUGCUAGGAUUUUCACUAAAGGGAUUCACAAAAUGAAGUAAGCACAAGAAGCAAAAGGGGAUUCAACAACUACUAUAAGUAUACACAAAAUAAUUUUAUAUAAAUAAUUUAAUUUUUCUCCAAAAGAGGUUCGGAUGAAUCUCAUCGGUCCAACCUGGCUCCGCCCUGAUAUUUCUCCCGCAAACAAAUCAUCCAAACUCCAAAAAAAAAUGAUGGCACAACGGUUCACUAAUUAUAUCAGUGCAAAUUACAAAUAGUAAAACAGAUGAAUGCAAUCCAAUCAAUGUCUACAGAUCAUGCUAUCAAAGGAAUUGUAAUAAUAACAGUAAAUAACUUGGAUUAGAAGCGAUACAUGUGCUCCACUCGACAUCUUUUCUGGUUCUCAUGAUAACAAUUGCAAGUGACGGCAUUUGAAAAUCCAAUAAAACAACUUGGAGGUAAUAUUCCCUUAGAACAACCAAGCAGAUCAUUGAUGACAUUCUCUGGCAUCCACAUGAAGAAAAUUGCAUCAGCACAGAAAAUCCCUGCAUAACUUGUUUUUAAGCCAAACAAACUCCUCAAGAUUGCAACACCAAACGUUAGCUAUGAGCAUGUGUAAUAAGUUUAGGAGGGAAAGUGUAAUUUCCUUAAUACCGUCAGCCAAGUUUAUACUUUAUUGAGAUAAGCACCUAGUACGCCGGCUCCCCGAACUAUGGUCAAAGUUGCUACGACACACUCCAGCUUCAUAGGGUCCUAUUCUCCACUCCCAAAAACUCAAUUUUAGUGUAUUUUUGUCACAUUUUUGUGUUGACGUGGCACCUUUAUUACAUAAAAUGAAGCCCAUGUCAAAGGUGUCACGUCAGCUAAAAAGGUUGACAAAAAGGCUCAAAUAUGUCACUGAACUAUCACAAAUGGCUCAUUUAUGCCGUCCGUUAAAAGUUGGACUCAUUCAUGUCGUCAUAACAAAACUGGCCCAUCCAUGCCAUUACUUAUAACAACCGGUUUUUAGAAAACAGCUGUGCCACAUGGCGGCAUAUUAGAGGUCCAUGUCAUUUUUUAAUUAUAUUUUUUAAUUUUUUUUUCUCCAUUAAAAAGAAUCCACCCAACUUUUUGAUCCAUUAAAAAUUAAUUUGAUCUAUGAUGAUUAGGUUAAUAGUAGAGUCAAAAUUUUCAUUAAAAGAUUUUAAAAUAAUAUAAAAAUAUAUAUGGAGAAAUCAAUGAACACACACACACACACAUAUAUAUAUAUAAAAUAUACAUUAAUUUAUUUUAUACUCCCACACAAAUAUAUACUUCCAUGUUAUCUAACUUAUCAAAAAUAUAUUGGAUUUACUUUUGUUUUUAUAUAUGCCAACUGGCCUUAGAUUAUAUUAUACAAAUUCUAUGUCAUCUUCAUUUUAUUCUUUCUUCUUAGAUAUUUUAUUUCAUUAAAGAGAAAAGAACAAUAAAAUUUUAGAAUUAAUCAAUUCAUUGAAUUAAGUAUAUAAUGAAAUGAUAAAGACUAUACAUACAUAAUACUUAUGAGUUGUAACUUGCAUGCAUGGCUUAUAUAUUGUUUUUAUUCAAUUUCUAAUUAGGAUUGAACCACUUAAAAUUAAUUAUAUAAGGAUAUAAAACUAUGACGUCUCACCAAUUUUUAUGUAACUAUAUCAUUAAAUCAAAUUGUAAUUUAAGAAAAACAUAAUUGUAAUUUAGACAAAUAUUCUACCUCCAAUGAUUAAUGUUGAUUGUCAAAUGAUUAUCUUAAUAUAUGAUUGUGUCAAAACAUUAAACGAAAUAUUAAAAAAGAUGAAAGGGAGCAGUAUAAUGAGUGUUUGAGAGAAUAAUGUCCCACGUGAAAAGUAAAAAAGAAAUGAAAUUAUUUAUAAAAUGUCGGAUAUUUAAGAUUUCUUGAAAAAGAAUGUCAAUUUGGUUCAAAGUGAAUGAUAUCAUACAAUAUUAAAAGUAUUUUAUGGUAAUUAAUUAGCACAAUAAUUGUAUUAACACCAUUGUACUAAAAUUUUUGCAGGCUGGGUAUGAGGAUGAUAGAGUGACGGCAUGAGACGUAUUGUUUUAUUGUCUUUGCUUGUCUAUGAAUCAAUUUGCUAUAUUUGACCACAAUUUUAAGCCACAUACAACAAAAAAAAAAAAGUCGAUGAGCUUGGUAACAAUAAAUACUCGGAUGAUAUGAGGCGAUACACAAAUAAUCUCAAAAUUAACUCAUUAAUAGUAAUUAAUCAAGUAAAACUUAGUUUAAAGGGAGAUGAUCAUAUUAUUGAUCCGUAUUGUGAACAGAGUCACACGUGAAAGUCAGAAAAGGGAAAAAAAAAAACUAUUGAUAUGGUGCAAUAUAUAAAUAAUCUCAAAUUUUAAAAGCAUAGAUCAAACUAAUUUUUAAUGGAUCAAAAAGUUGGGUGGAUUUUUUUCAAUGCAUAAAUUUUUAUUUUUAUUUUAAAUUUAAUUUAAAAAAAAAUUAAAAAAUUUAAUUCGGAGGUAGUAGGGCUCCCGUGAAGUUGGAGUGUGCUGUAGCAAAUAUGGUUAAUAGUCGGGGGGUGCUAGAUGCUUUACUCUACUUUAUUCGUCUAACGAAAAUUCAAUCUCAUCCCUGAUCAAAUGGAGGAAACUAAAAAAUAUAGAAUCUCCUCGCACACUACAAAUUUGUUUCUAUAUUACGUCGUUACUAUUCGUCAACAAAAUAACCCGUAAAGGUUCACCUUUAAACAUUUUGAAGCUGUUUCUUGAAAAUUCUCUCCAUACAACAACAUACCCGGUGUAGUCGCACCAAGUGGCCCUUACCCUACCUCGGGUAUGUAGUGGCACAAAGUGGCCCUUACCCUACCUCGGAAGUAGAGAGGUUGUUUCUGAUAGUUAAUAAGUUUACAGGACUAACUUGUGUUCAAUAUCUCAAUGGUCACAAUCUUACCAUCUUCUUCGGCAAGAGGAGGAGGAGGUAUGUUUGUUGAACUGCUGUGAAACAAAGUUGUUGUACAGAUUUUGCGUAGAAGGCCUUGCGUAGCUUGUUCCAAAGUCAACUCACAAAGGACUAAAAGCAGCAAAAGAGGAAUGAAGACCCUGUAAACUUGCAUGAACAUUGUGAUAUUAGCUAAACAAGAAAAGCUUUAUUUUUAUUUUUUAUUUAGCUUUAACUAUACAGUGUCGAAAAUACGUGCCCAUAAUACCAUUAUAUAUAAUAGCAUUUUUUCUUCGAGUAUACCCAAUAAUAUUGUGUCUCGCAGAGGCGAAUCCAGGGUUUUAAGCCUCAAACUAAUAUAUAAUCCUAACCGGGUUCGUAAUCAAAUAACAUCAACUACAUACCGAGUGAAGCCCACAAGUGGGGUCCAAGAAGAGUAGGAUGUAUGCAAUCUAUUAACUAAUAUUUUUUUUUUGGAUAAAAUCGCCCCUAAUCAAUGGAAUAAAUUACAUAAAUGAUCCUUAUAAUGAAUAACAACUCUAUAUUUAUAUCUUUCAACUUUUAUUUUUUUUCCUCUUUUUAAUUUUACUUUAAUUUUUAUUUUUUAUUUUCCCUUUUUAUUUUUAAUUAUUCUUAACCCUUAUUUUUUUCCUCUCAACUUUUUUUUUAUAUUAUUUUGAUUUUUUUAUUUUUUCUUUCCUCUUUUUUUUAAUUAUUCUACUUUUAUAAAAAAAAAAUAUUUUUUUUUUGUUUGAUUUUUAUUUUUUCUUUUCUUUUUAAAUUUUUCGCUACCUUUAUUUUUAUUUAAUCUUUUUUAUUUUAUCAACCUUUAUUUUCUUUCCUAUUCUCUUUCAACUUCUACAUUUUUUUAUUUUUAUUUUUUAAUAGUUUUCUUCUUUUUCUGCAAUUUAUAUUACUUUUGUUCUUUUCUUUGAUUUCUUCCAUUCAAGUUACAUUUCAUUAGCAAGAGUUGACACUAUCGCAUUUUAAAGGCAAGACUUAUGACUUUCGAACAAGAAGUUACAUUUCCUAGGCACGAGUUGACACUACUACAUAUGUAUAUGCGAGACUUAGCUCAAGGACUUUCAAACAACAAAUUAUGCCUCACGGGCAAGAGUUGACUCUACCACGUUAUGAUUUCACUCGUGAGAUGUUCUACAACUAUGGCCUCAGAGGCAAGACUUGACUCAAGGACUUUUAAACAACAAAUUAUGCCCCACGGGCAAGAGUUGACUCUACCACGUUAUGUUUUCACUCGUGAGAUAUUCUACAACUAUUGCCUCAGAGGCAAGACUUGACUCAAGGACUUUUAAACAACAAAUUAUGCCCCACGGGCAAGAGUUGACUCUACCACGUUAUGUUUUCACUCGUGAGAUAUUCUACAACUAUUGCCUCAGAGGCAAGACUUGACUCAAGGACUUUCGAACAACAAAUUAUGCCCCACGGGCAAGAGUUAACUCUACCACGUUAUGUUUUCAUUUGUGAGAUGUUCUACAACUAUUGCCUCAGAGGCAAGACUUGACUCAAGGACUUUCGAACAACAAAUUAUGCCCCAGGGGCAAGAGUUGACUUUAUCACAUUAUGUUUUUAUUUAUGAGGUGUUCUACAACCAUCGCCUUAAAGGCAAGACUUAGCUCAAGGACUUUCAAACAACAAAUUAUGCCCAACGGGCAAAAGUUGACUCUACCGCGUUAUGUUUUCAUUUAUGAGAUGUUCUUAAACUAUUGCAUCAGAGGCAAAACUUAGACCAAGGACUUUCAAACUAUAAAUAUGCCCCACUCUACCACGUUAUGUUUUCAUUUGUGAAAUAUUCUAUAACUAUUGUCUCAGAGGCAUGAUUGACUCAAGGACUUUCAAACUACUAAUUAUGGCCCACGGGUAAGAGUUGACUUUAUCACGUUAUAUUUUCAUUAAUGAGAUGUUCUACAACUAUCGCCUUAGAGGCAAGACUUAAUUCAAGAACUUUCAAACAACAAAUUAUGCCCCAGGGGCAAGAGUUGACUCUACCACGUUAUGUUUUCAUGUCCUUAAAUUUGUUUUGAUGCCAAAAAAAAAAAGAUCCCUUUGUGGAUUAUCUAAUUUUGUAUUUAUUAACAAAAUAAAAUAGAAGUUGAGAAAAAAAAAAAGACGAUCAAACAAAAUAGAGAAAUAAAAAAAAUGAGGAAAAAAGGUAAGAAAAAAAUAAGAUUAAGAAAAAAGCGAAGAAUUAAAAAAAUUGAGAAAAAUAAAAAUGAGAGGAAAAAAAUAAAGUUUGAAAAAAUGAGGAAAAAAAGAGAAAUGAUAAAAUAAAAAAUAAAAUAAAAAUAAAGGUUGAGAUAAAUAAAUUAAAAAAAAAUGAAGAAAUAGUUAAUGUUUGAGAAAAAAUAAAAUAAAGGUUGAGAUAAAUAAAUUAAAACAUGAAAAUAAAAUUAAAAAAAAGUGAAAAUAAUAAAAAUAAAAAUAAAAUUUGCGAGACAAAUAAGUAUGAAAAUAACAAAAAAUAAAACACGAGAGACAAAUGGUAAAUUUCCUAAAAUGAGGGUAUGCAGAAAUUGGGUACGUAGAAUCCUUAGUAAAAGAAAAAGGGAUUCAGGUGCAUUAACAGAAAAACAAAAGAAUAAAAAGAAGAAAAGAAAAAAAAAAGAGAAAAAAUCAUAGGAAAAAAAGAUAUAAUUUGUUGUGAAAAUAAAAUCGUUGGGGUCCAUAAGGAACUGAAUAUAUAAAAGAAGAAAAUAAUAAAAAAUAUAACAUGAAGAAAUAGAUAAUACUUGAGAAAAAAAAGAUAAAAAAAUAAAAGUUCAGAUUAAUGAAUUAAAAUAUGAAAAUAAAAUAAAAAAAGUAAAAAAAAUAUAAUUUAAGAGACAAAUGAGUAUGAAAAGUGUAAAAAUAUAUUUAAGGUGUAGAGGGCAAAAUUGUACUUGUACUAUACUUAAAAAGUAAGGAAGAUUAUUCUUCAAAGACAUUUUUAUUUGGGAUCAAAUAUCUAAAGCCACCCAUAUUUGGGUCUAUGGCAUGCAAUUUACCGGAGUUAUUAAAAGCGCAAAAAAGCUCGAAAAUUUGUUGGGGCUUUAAGCACAAAUCGCAAAUAAAGUGUGUGGUUUAAUGAAAAAUAGAUAUACAUUUAUAUAUGUGUGUGUAUAUAUAUAUACACUAAUAAUUAUAAGCAUGAUAACAAAUAUAUGAACAGAGAAAUGGAAGAUAAAUUACGACAAAGUGAAAUAUCAAUUGUCAUUGAAGUGCUUAGCAGGUUUUGAGUCUCGCUUAGGCUUAAACGCACCAUCAACAACAGUGCACAUACCUCAUCCCUACCUUUGUGGGUAGAGAUAGUUUCUGAUAGACCCUCGCAUCAAAUAUUUAUAAAUAUUUAGCGAAUUUCUUAAAACAUAUACAUGCCAAAAAUUGACUUGGGCAUGUCAAGGAAGUUGGGGGAAAUUGGGGAUCAUCCCAAUAUGAUCCGUUUAAUUUUUCGGAUAAAAGCCACAAGAUUCAGCGUAAAUCCACAAACAACAUUGUGUGGUUUAUAAAAAGAGAACAAUCUUUUCUUCACUUUUUCAUGUUGUUUCCACUUCUGGGCCCUUACAGCAUAGCAUUGCUUAUCUUUUCCAAAAAAGUAAAGAUACAACAUUUUCAUGUCACUUUGAGCUUCGGAAAUUCUACUUUAUAAAGAUGAAAUAUCCAAUAAUGCUGUGCAGAUUCCUUGACUCUUUUUCUUUUUUCGAUAAUCGUGUUGUCUAUCUCAUUAUGUCUUUUUCUAGAGUGUUUCUGUCUUGAGCCGGGAGUCUAUCCGAAACAUCAUAUCUAUCUCACCUAUAACCCACAAGUCAGCGUACAAUCUCCCCUCCCCAUACCCCACUUUGUGAAACUACAUUGGUUAUGUUCAAUGUUUUUGUUCUUGUUGAUAAUCAUAGUGCAUGAGUCAACUUGCGUACACUCUACCCUCGCCAUACCCCACAAGUCGGCGUACGCUCUACCCUCUCCAUAUGCCACAAGUCGGCGUACACUUAUGGACCAGCUUAUGCACACCUCGAUUUCACGAGAUACCUACUACCUCCCACCAAUAACAAAUACCUUAUAACUCUGUCUCCCAAAGCUAAGACAUAGUACCACGUUCAUCUGAACCUGAUAUUUUCGAUGUCGGAGCAUAAAUUUACGUUCUAAAGUCCAUUAAAAUUACAAGAUAUUGACUCGAAACUUUAGGAAUACACAACCAUAAAAUUGAACACAUAGGAGUUUAAAUCGUGAAUCGGCGUAUUAAAUCCACUAACAAAAAGGUCAUACUCUUAUGUGAAAUUAAAGCUAACAUACCCCACAGGUCAGCGUACACUCUAUCCUCCUCAUAUCCCACUUUGUGGAACUACACUGGAUAUAAUCAUGUUGUUAUUUUUUUUGAUAAUUGUGGUGUCUGAAUCAGCUUGCACGCACCUCAAUAAAUUUCGUAGGAUACCUGCUACCUCUCAUCAAUAACAAGUAUAGGUAACCCAGUAUUUUUGAUAGCAAAUCCACUAACAAAAAGGGCAUAUUCUUAUGUGAAAAUUAAAGUAACUCGUGAUUUGUAUAGAAAGUGUUUGAUGAAAUGACUGAAAGAAAAUUCUAUUUAAAAAGGACUCAGAAAAGGGAUAUUACCUUUAUUUUUUCUCAAUAAACAAAGACCAUAACAAUUUGGACCCCAAGGGUGUGGCCGAGUGCUUAAUAACGUAGAUAAUUUCUUCUCAUCUAUUUUAACUUCAGUGAACAGAGUUCUCAUAUUUGCUGUUAGUGGGAGCUAGCAGGUACUUUGUGAAAUUAAUCGAGGUGCGAAAAAGACAUGUAAAAUGAGCAUUGUUGGUUGAGAACUCGAGGUCUCAGGUUCAAAUAAGUGAUUCUUUUCAUUUGUUUUAACCUUAGUGGACAAAAUUACCUGAUAUAUUGGGGGUGACAGAUAUUUCAUAAAUUUAGUUGAGUUGUAUGAAAGAUGGCUCGAACACUACAAUUAUUAAAAAAAACAUGUAAAUCUUCUUUUGAGAACAUUUACCCGUUUACAUUAAUUAGCAGCCCGCACAAUAAUGUUUCUCACUGUUUUUUUGCUUUUUCAAAAUUAUUGCAGCUCGGUUCACUAAAGCUCCUGCUAUGCACAGGGUCCACGAAAGAGCCUGACCACAAGGGUCUAUCGUACGCAGUCUUACCAUGCAUUUCUGGCAGAAGCUGUUUCCACGACCUUCUGAUCACAUGACAACUUUACCAGUUACUCCAAGGCUCCCGCUCAAUACUCGAACUCAGCCGGUAAUUAAGAACUUCAACUUCGAUAUUGCACAUCGUACACGUGUCAACUCGAUUUCAGUAGUGCACGUUGUACACAUGUCAACUCGACUUCAACUGGUAGCUAAACAGUCUAAAUUUUUUCAUUGUCUUGUAGACACCUUACACCGACGUCACACAUAAAUUUUGAAGACAUGUUUUUCUUGUGUUUCAUCAUAUCUUAUCAUCUUCUUUAAUAGAUGCAACAAGAUUUUAACUCAAUAAGGCAACACGAUCAUGUAUUUUACAUAACCUGGCAAGCCAAUCAAAUAUCAAAUCCUGGCACACUAGUCGAAGCACAGAAGCGUAUCUAGGAUUUGAAUUUUAUGACUUCUGAAUUUACCGUAACAACAUCAACUGCUAAUAACCAGAUUCUAAAUUUAACAUAUGUACAUAUUCAGGUAAUCUCAUAACACAAAUACAAGAUUUAGGACAAACAUACUACUUGGGUUCUAGCUCCGCCCCUGGUCAAGCGCAUUGCUAACUCAAAUAUGAUACUCCUUUACUUCUCGCUUAGUAAAGACACGAUUUCUAACCUUCUUUGCCGAGAUGCUGUAGUGGUCAUGAGAAGCCAAUAGGAGCAAGUUGUUUCCCACAUUUGAGUCUGCUACAUGGAGAAAUUAAACACCCUCUGGUUUGAUCAAAAUGGUCUCGAUUGAGUCUUCUUUCUUUAAAAUCUUCACGAUUGUAGACAUGGUUGGUCUGACUGACGGUGAAUCGAUGCAUUGGAUUGCUAAUCUUAGAAUCAUCUGUGCUUCUUCCCAAUCAUAUCUCAGAUUACGAUCAAUGAGUUCCAUUAAAGUUCCCCUCUGAUCCUUUUUUUGUGCCUAUAGUAAUCGAUUAAAGCCAAUAACUUUCUCUAGUUUCCUAAAGUAAUGUACAUAACUAUUCGAGUUAGUUGAGUUUCACUCACCUCAUCCACGAGGUAUUCAGUCUCACCACCUGGCCUCGGGUUCUUGAUUUUCAUUCCGCUGACAAUUAUAAGUGUGACAACCCCAAAGCUAUACACAUCCGCGCUCGCUUCUAAGGGGCGAUCUUUAACUUCUGGCGCUGUGUAUGACCUGCAAAAGGCUUCUAUCAGUGAGAAGUGCAAUUGUGAUAGCCACCGUAUGCAAAAUUUUAACCAAUUUGAAAGAAAAAUCAGUCUCCCAACGUUUCAGUUAGGGCGUUUCCUUACAUUGUUCCUUCUGGCCUUUGCUUGUGAUAGAGCCUUGCAAAUCCAAAAUCGUAUAUCUUCGGAUUUAGAUCAUCAUCAAGAAGAAUGUUCGCUGGUUUAAUAUCCCCAUGUAUAAUUUCCUGUUUGGAACCCUCGUGAAGAAAAGCUAAACCUUCUGCUAGACCAAGACAAAUUCUAUAUCUCGUUGGCCAAUCUAGUCUAGCUCUAAGUUCAUCGUUUGAACCUGUAAGUAACCAAAGCUCAACUUAUCCUUAGUACAGCUAAAUUCUCUUUUUCCUCUUCUUUACUACAACUAUGGAGACUUAACGAAGAAAUCUUUCAUAAACGGAAGGUGUUACCAAAUAAUGCAUCUUCAAGAGUGUUGGUUCCAAUGUACUCAUAGAUAAGCAGAAGUUGGUUGUUUCCCACACAGCAUCCUAUUAGCGUUACAAUAUUUGAAUGCUUCAUGCCAGCAAUUGCACGACUCUUUUCCGCAAACUCCCACAUUCCUUCUUUUGUUCUUGAAAGCUUUUUAACUGCGACGGCUGUCCCAUUUGAGUGUUCCCUGAACAUUCGUUAAGUAUUUCAGAUGAUGAAAUUGUGUAUCAGAAAAAAUCAUAACCUAUAAUGAGUUAAGAUUCUAGCUAACCUUAUAGACUGUCCCAAAACCUCCCUCACCAAUCCGGUUCGCAAUAUCAAAUUUCUUUGUGGCAGCUUUAAUUUUCCGGUAGUCGUAAAGCCCUCCAGGGUACAAUUCAACAAGUUCUAACUCUAUACCAACACAUUAGUAAAUAUAUGUCAGAGGAAUCGAAAACAUAAAUAAAGUAAAGAAGCUUACAACAAAUAAAAAGACCUAUGAUAAACAUGGUGGUGAUUAAAACCGAUAACUAUAAAUCCCAAUGGAAACCAAAUAAAAUAUAUAAUAAAGUAGUGUUACCUCCCCGCCAUAUGUCUUUGAAUCUCCAGGUAAAACCUAUGAACAAUACAGUUAGAAGAAGUAAUGCAAAUACUGAAAUUCCCGCAAGCGCUCCAGUGGACAGAUUUGAUCGACGAGCUGGUUCAUAAAUUGUUGCGGUGAAAUAUCAGUCACAAAAUAGGAACCAAAGCCAUAUAAAAUGGUAAAUGGUCGGGUGUAUCCUGGUGCACAAAGCAUCUUGCGUUCAUGCAGGGCCGGGACACACCCCAAGGGGGGUAAUAUAGAUAGCCUACCCUAAUGCAAGCAUUAGCCAGUGUCUUCUUCUGCGGUCGAACCGGUGACCUGUAGGUCACACGGAGACAACUUUAUCGUUGCUCCAAUUCCCCCCUUCAUAAAAUAGUGAACAAUCCGGCAUAAAAUUAAUACCUGGAGUUACCGUAAUUGCGGAUAUAAGGGGCCCAUAGUACUUUGAUGGAUAUAAGACUGACCCUUUUCCAGACCAGUAUAAAUGAAUCUCCAGACUGUUAUUCAGCACACGAGUAAAUUCCUUUGUUAUAGCCUUAUUCACACCUCCCGCGUCUUUUUCUAUGUUGAAGUUUCUCAGCACAUUUUCCCCCUGCAUAAAUAUUAUCUAAAAAUCUUCUUUAUGUUUGCGUAUGGAUGAAAAACUUGAUGGUUUUGGUACCUUACCUGGAUAUCUACAUCAAAGAGACGCCCCACUUUGCUAUGCGAAACUUUAUUCUCGCUACUAGAUAUUUCAGCAAAGUGAAGCUUCACGUUGUACACACCACUUUUCAAACAAAAUCCAUAAUAUUUCAAGGAGAUUAGGGAUAAACGUGCCGAGCUAUACAAUUGGGCCUCACCAACAUGAAUUUGGCUAUCAUUUAGAAUGUACUUAUAACGACUUGCCCAUAAGAAGUUUCCCAUACUACUAUAGCCCCAAUUUGAUCUAUUGAAGAAAGUUGAUUCACCACGUGGAUUUACAUCAGCUUCAUAAACUCUUCCGUCAACUGAUACAGACUCUCCACCGCAGUUUAUAUACAACCAAUCAUCUACAGAAGGAGAUGCUAUUUAGUACAUGAUGCAUUUAUAAUCUCAAAAGGCAGACAGAAUUUAAUCUGGAAUGGAAACACUCUAGAAACACAACAUUUUGACGACAAACUAGAAAAUAUAAAUCUUAUCAUGAGUCAUGAAACAAACACUUUUCACUAUAGAAAUAAUUAGUCUGUCAUAAUAUUUUAUGCAGUGUCACAUUCAAUCCCAAAAGAUGUACUCCGUCCGUUUUACUUUGUUUAUCUUACUUUCCUUUAGUUUAGAACCACAAGACUCAAAAGAGUUCUCUCUACUUUCUUACACUCUCAAGCUAAAACAGACAAACAAAUGGAAACAGAGAGACUAUCGAUGAAGCUAGUCAUAAGGAAUAUAACAUAAGAUGUAUACAAAUAUCACUUCACGUCUGAAGUUAUUAGUACUUACAAAACUGAGUUCCAUUCUUACAAUCGAAAUCAAUUUGGUCCCGCUUUGCAACCCUAUAUUCAAAUUUACUCACAAAUUUAAGCAUAGAACUCAGACCAAUUUGCUUAGAAGACCAAAUUAUUUCUUUUUUUUUUUUCCUCUUUGUGGAGAUACUCGUGGAAGAGCUUACUUAUCCUUUUCGUUGGGGCAGCACUCGAACAGAUUCCUGGAAAAGGGUAAUAUCAUUGGAUUCAGAAAUAGAAAAGCAACUAAGAAGCUAUGUUGCUCGGACUCUUCAAAAAUGUCAAUGGGUGUAUGUAAAAAUUUUGGAGAGUCCAAGAAACAUAGCUAAGAAGUACAUACAUAAGAUUUUUCAAGAUAUGUGAAAAUCACCCUUACAAGUCAGGGUUUAGCGUCUGUCCGUGGUUAAUGCCCACAUUUCUGAAAAGGUUUUCAGAAACAUCCCUGCACUUUGACUUGGAUGGGUGAGUGGCAGAAUACGUUGUAGAAAUUAAUGAAAAGACAAAGUCAGCACAGAAAAUCAUGCUAAAUCAAACUUCAGUUGGAAGAAAUUAAAUUCCAUGAUGUUUUACGACAAUAUAAUUAUAAUAUAAAUUCUGAACAAAUAUUAUACCCUAGUAAUAGAUAGAAGAGUAAAAAAAAAAGAACAUAGAUAAAAGAAAUGUUUGCUCUAAGUAUAAACCGUAGCUUAAUUGAAAGCAAUAAUGACCAAAACAACACAAACACAAUUGUAUUCGUUAACAGAAGGGAUUAGCAAAAAAACAGAAAGCGAGUUUUAAAUGGUUAAACAUAACAGCUGCAACUUGCAACUUUACAGUUAAACAUAAUUUGCAAAGGCUAAAGUAACAGAUGCAAUUUGGCGCUUUCUUUUACUUUCCUGUCAUCACCUCAAUGUAGUUUCAUUCUGUUACUCUCUUCCCCGGCUUUACAAAGUAAAUUUCCUAGUAGCUGCUAGUAAUGUCUGAACUUAAAACCAAAAAAGUAAUAUAUUAACGCAAAAAAACACUUACACGUAUUGAGUAGCAUUCAUCCAAGCUGGAAUUGUCUCAUUGAGAUUAUUUUUUCUUAGAAAUCUGAAAACAACGCACCAAGUCAUGACAGUUGAUACCAAGACAGAAAAAGAAAACAUUGUGAAAAAAAAAUCAAUGUUCCGGCAUCACAGUGCACAAAAUUCAUCAAAAGUGAGCUAUCAAACAAUGCCUGAUAUUCAAACAACAUCAACAACAUACCCAAUGGAAACCAAAGUAGUUUGAAAAAGGGAAUGCAAAAUGAAAAAUAGUACGUAAUGGAAAACAGUACACGACAUCAUAAGGAAGAAAGAACAGUAACAUCAAUGAAAUAAUGAAUAUAAUCAAGCACAAUCAAACACAUGUGAUAACCAAAACAAAAGAACAUGAAAAUACGAGAAUAUUGCUAAUACUACUGGUAAGAAACUAUUACUGGCUUCAAGAAGAAAUGCAUAGUAUCGCCUUUUAUAUUUAGCGAUUAGUUAGAGAAGCAAGAUCGCUUACAUAUAAUUCAGCGAGUUGUUAACAGCUUCCGGAAUUGCACCAAACUAACUAUUGAAACUCAAGUCCCUGCAUCAGGAGAAAAUAAAGUAGAAUUACUUUAUAUAUUUGUUCAUGAAACAUGUAAAGCCUAUUUAGUGACAGGUUUACACUCAAUUAAUUUGUUUUUCCACUUUGUUCCAAGCACUUCAAGUAUUUUUUUUUUAUAUACUACUGUAAGACCCCGCAAAAUCACAUGUCAAAUUCAGCCCGUAAAGCUCCAUGAGAGGUCCCAACACUUAGAAAAUGUAGCAAAGUGUUAAGGACUUAGUCUCAUUUUAAGCCUUCGAACUUUGGGGAUUUAUUUGACGACCUUCCCAACCUUUAAUUUCCAAUUUUCAAGUUGUGUUGCGAUGGGGAAAGUCAUUAGUACGUCCUUGGUGCAUUCCGGCGCAUCUUGGGCACAUUUCAGGUGCAAAACUCACUGGUUUGAAAUGCUCCCGCAUUCUGGGCGCAUUUCAGGCCCCAAUUUCAGGGUCAACUUCCAACUAUCAUAAGUCUCUGUAUAUAAUGAACUGGGAGAGCUGCUAUAUAUCAAAUUAAAUAUCUUUGAGUCUUCUUUCUAAUGCAAUUGAUUACAUCCAAAUCCAACAUCGGAGUAAAAAGUUAUGACUAAUUUACUUCAGCAUGUCAAGCCUGUCAACUGAGGAACAACUGUGAUUUUGUUUGUUUUCUUAGGGUUAGUUUAGUCUUUUUACCACCCUAUAUAUACCCACAAACACGGGAUUAAGGCUGAUUUACACCAAAAUAUAGCCUCUUUUCUCAAAAAUUCUUCAAGAACAAGGAUAGGGUUUUCAUAGGAACUUCAAGAAUCAAGAAAUUUCACCAUUAGUUUCACAGAUCUUCCAUCUAAGGUAUGUGUAAUGUUGAUUUAUGGAUUCCUUUCAUCCAUAAAGCUCAAGAACCCUAUUUUAAAUUAUAAAUCAUGAUGUCUAUGUUGUGGGAUGAAUACGUUUAUGUGAUUUUUGCUGUAUGAUUCCCAAGUUGGAAUCUUUAUGUGUAUUUAUGAAACUAUGUUAGCAUAUGAGUUAAAAUCCAUGAAUUUGGUGGUUAAAGAUUGUUAAAUUGAUAGUUUUACCUAUGCCUUAAGUAGUGCAUGUAAGGUGUUUGAUACAAUGCCUAAAAGGAUAUAAAUUAUGCCUUAUAGCUAAAUUGUGAUCCAAAUGACAAAUGCAUGCUUUACCUUUAUUAUCAAAAUGACUUUUAUGAUAUUGUUGUGCAUUAUGAGUGUUUGAAGGAUUUGAAGGAUUACUUAUGGGACUAGUUGAUGAAAUAUUGAUAUGUUGAGAUGUAUUCUUAUUCAUGUACAAGAUUAUGAUAACCAUGUACUUCAUGAAAUCCCCAACUUAUUGUAUUAUGGAUUGUUGAUGUUGGUUAUGUAUUCAAAAAGUGUCAUGCCUUGUCAGUUUCCUUCCAUCGAGUCCUGGGGUACUUGUACCCAAAAAAUAUAGUUGUGUGCCUAGAGCUAGUGUCAUGUUUUCACGAUAAUCUCAUUCAAGCCAUGUUCAGUAGAAUUCAGUCAGUGUCAUGACUCAGGAAAACUCAGAAAUCUCAGUUAUUCAGUAGUUUCAGAAAUCCCAUGAACUCAGUCAGUUAACAGAUUCAGAAAUAUUCCGUCAGUCAACGGAACUCAGUAACUCGGUCCAGUACAGUUCAGUUAAUCAUGUUCAGUGUCUAUUCAGAUGGGAGUAGGAUUCAGCACCGAGUGAACCCAAGGAUGGGAACUUACUUGCCAGUAGAGGGUGUGAUUCUUAGAAGCAAUCCUUGCGUUCCAGAACUACGUAGCCAGCGUAGGUUGAGACAUCAAUACCUGUCAAUUGAGGGUAGAUGAGGUGGCCUAACCUGUCAGAUGAGGAUUCCCACCGUUCUCAUUUCAGUACCUGCCAAAUAAGGGUUACUCACAGCUUGUCCUUACCAGUGGCACGGUAUUGACACCCUUCCAAUUGGGGUUACAGAUUGGACCCUAACUCAGCUAUAUUGCUAUAUUUGGGGCAUGUCGGUUAGAUGACUACUUUCCACAGUUUCAAUUACAGGUUUCAGGACUGUCAGAUACAGUCACUCAGUUUCAGUAAAAGAACUCAGAUAGUUCUUCAGAAUUGAGGACUGUCAGAUACAGUCAACUCAGAACAUUACGAAACUCAGUUAGUUCCAUCAGUAUCAGGGCUGUCAGAUACAUUCACUUAUGUUAUCAUUACUCAGACUUAGUAAUCAUGUUAUCACGAACUCAGUUAACAAUAUAUCAAUUAUACGAAACUCAUGUUAUCAGUAUUCAGAUUCAGGACUAUCAGAUAUAGUAAAUCAGACCAGUUCUUCAUAAUCAGAACUGUCAGAAACAGUCACCCCUUUUAUUUGUAAUAUAAUAUUAGUCCCUCAAUAUUUAUUAGCCCAAUAUCAAUAUCAGUAAACUCAGAUGUCAGUAAAUCAGUACUCAGAACUCAGAACUUAGUAUCAGUAUGAUCUUAGUUACAGUUACGUAUGUCAUGCAUGUAUUCUCACGUUCAUGUUAGUUAGUCAGUUAGUAUUGUUCAUGCAUAUGAACCCCAUGCAUUCAACCUACCUCACUUGCAUACCAGGACAUUCAAAGUACUGGCGCAUUCGAGCUAUAGUGUCUUAUACCAUAGGUUUAGAAGCAUGAGAUCCAGAGCGUCAGUAGCAUUCCAGAUUCCUGCAGCAGUAGAUUAGCAGUGAGUCCUCAUCAUUUGAGGAUGCCUUAUCAUUUCAGCUUUUAGUACUUAUUUUGUUUUAGUAGUUGGAGUUAGUUGGGGACAUGUCCCAUCAACUCUUUAUUCAGACAGUUUAGAGGCUUUCAGACUAGAUGUUCAGACUUCAGUAUUUUGAGUACUUAUAUUCCGUUUUGGGUAUUGAUAUACCCCACUACAGACAUUGCUUUAUAUUCAGUAUUAGUUCAGAUUUGAACCUUAUGGCCUUACAACUUUUAUUCCGCAUUUUUACAGUGUAUGUUCAUAUACAGUAUAUUAUGCAGUGUACAGGUACAGAUAUCAGUCAUGGGUAGGUUAGCUUGUGGUCCUUCGGGGUCAUAAGCACCAUGUAGCGUUCCGGGUACCAGAUGCGGGGCGUUACAACUGUAUACCCUGAACAUCCUACCAACCAAAGUUUAAAUAAUAUCAUGACUAAUGCAUGUAUUAGAUUUUUUAAUACAUCCUACCAAACAACCCCAAAGAGUUUCAUAAGAUAAAGGCACAGUCAGAGACGAGAACAUUUGACGCAUCGACUUCCCCUAUCAAAUAAUCAUACGCCUUUUUAAAGUAAAUGAAAUGGAGAUAUUGACUGCAGAAGCUGUCUUACAGAUACUUUAGGCCAGAUAAAUUCCAUAUCUGAAUAGGGAUGCGGUCAGCUAUUGAACAAUUCCUCAAUGUCCUGGAUAAACAACAAAUCAGAAAAUAGAACUGUAUAUUAGGAGAAGAGCAAAAAAAAAACUACUAAUCCAAUAACCAUGAAACUUUGGGUGCCAGGGACUCACAAAACUCUCAAAAUUUUCGUUCCGGAUAAAUCUGGAAACGACGAGCUUCCUCCAAUUAAGUGACUGAUAUGCCUGAAAUAGAUAUUAUAAAAUACAUAAUAAUUCAAAGUUUGGGAGAACUCCUUUCAAGAAUGAGUACAUCGAAAAGCUACAGGAUUUUACAGAUCCGUUAGACUCUUCAGCUUCGAGAAUUGGCCAUGCAAAGGUGCAGAAAAACUAUUCCCCAUCAGAUUCCUUCUCAACAGGUGAAGAGAAGAAUCAAUAGUCUUGAAAAAAACAUGCAUAGAUUGUAUAAAAGUAUACAGUUACUUGCUGAGUUUUACAUGAUACGAAGAUCUUGCCACUGCUCGAAAAUAUCUGGGAUUGCUCCAUUGAGGUUGUUCCCUCGCACAUUGCUACACCCGAAAGAGGAUCAACUGAUUUAAAAGUAAUCUGAAGAUGUAUAUUAACCCCCCACCCCCUCUUUCAUCCUACGAAUGAAAAAUAAGAGAAUAGGUACUUACAAGUAUGUCAGUUUAUUCAAAUUCUUGAAGCUCAGCGGCAAGGGACCAAUAAAUUCAUUGUUCUGCAAGUGCCUGCAAUCAUUUAUUACAUAAUAAUAAGUACCCCUAUAUUCUUUGUUAACCUUGGAUGAAACUCUAUCCAGUAAAUGUGGUUCAAAUUUAGCAGCUUCUGCGUCCGUAUGAUUACAGCCAGCUAUAAAAGAAAAUACAAGGAAUGAGUACAAUUGUUUUGCUUUGGAUAUAUUGUUGCUUCGACAGAAAGCUGUGGGUUGGGAAUGUUGCCAGAACCAUGGCAUAGACCAAAAAAACAUCUUUAUCCCAUUGUACGGAGCUAAGUACACGCACGAGAAUUCACUAAAAGUCAGUCUAAAUGUAGGUGGAUCAGCUACAUUCCCUAAACAUAUACGAUCAAACAUGUGAUCAUCUCUGUAUGUAAUUCUUUACAAGCUUGUAAGCUAUCAUCACAUUUGGAGAUUAGACAAAAGGUUUUAUCAUCACCUGUAUACUUGGUCACAAAUUUUUGGAGUAGAAUGUGAUCAAAUAAAAGACUUUAAUACAAGUGAACGUUUGUUGAAUUUUUUAAUAUAAGCACAUUUUUCGGACCAAAAAAAGAAGAAGACUAAUACAGUGAUACGUUUGCAUGAUAGUUCUCUGAGUUGUUUUAGUUAAACUGCAAAUAAUGCAUCAGUUUAUCUUACAAACCAAAUACGGCUUAAAACUUAUUCAAGAAAUUGUACUCAAUCCAUAGAAAAAAAAUGUUAGGAAUAACCAACAAAAAUAUACUUACAACUCCUCAAGAUUCACAAGAUCUCCAAGCCGGUCCGGGAGUACAUCCGAGAGUUGAUUAUCAACGAGGUACCUAAUUGUGAAGGCAAAUAUAUGGGGAUUCAAGUUUGCACUAAAACAUACGGAAAGUAGGAUAAUGUAGAAGUAUGGAUCUUAUCAAGGAUUUUACAAUCCAAUGAGGCUCUUAAUAUUUCCCAGCUCAUCCGGAAUUUUCCCUGAUAAAAGGUUAUUGUCCAAGUCUCUGAAACGACAAAAAGAAAAAAAAUAUAUUGUGAACUAAGAGAACUAGAUAAUGAUAAUUUAUUCUGGAAUAGAAAUGACAAUGACAUGCAGCUUUAGACUUACAAAUAUUCUAACGAUGGGAGAAAACCCAAUUGCGGAGGAAUUGUUUGGUUGAAGAAGUUUUUGCACAAAUAUCUGUAAUGGAAACCAAGAUUAGAUUUUAAUGAUUAAAUAUGAUAUCAAGAUAGAAGUUUGAGUGAAUUUUACUGAUUUUUUUUCUGUGUGUCACUUAAUAACCCACUGCACGCCCAAGCCUUCCAACUAGAGCGUGGACAAAAUAAUAUGGACACCCUACAUUGCAGCACACAACGAAAGGGUUGAGUCUGGCUUUGACCAUGGGCCUAACUCAAUCUUGAAAGUUAGCUCAUGGGUUGAGGAUUGAUCAAGAUCAUAUAAGGACACAAACAACCCAUCCGUCACCCGAUGGGGCACAUUAAACACUUCCUAAGUGCCAACUUCCAAGUGUUUUCUUGAAGGAGUGAUGCACAAUUGAGCAAGUGCCAAACAAGUAAAGCAUCAAAUGCCACAGUUUUGUCACAAAUUUGCAAUGAACAAAGGGAUUAUCAACAUCCUUCACAUUUCCCUCUCCACCAAAAUCGAUGAAGAUUUGACUUUGGUAAGCAUCAUGCUAUCACACAGCACCCGAUAACACUUCUGCAUUUCAAGUUUCAAUCAUCUAUCAUUUAAUUCUCUUGAUAUUUGAAUUGCUUGCAACAGUAUAUUCGCGUCAUCAACUACUAUUAGGAUGUCAUAACAUUGUUAGAACAGCUAGCAUUCAAACUCAGACGAGAACCAUUACUUUAUGAUUGUUUUGUCUCCACAAAAGAAUUUCUGGUUUUAUAAAGCAGUCGAAUUGAAGUUAUUCCAUUUAUUUUCCUUGAUGGAAAUGAGUGGGAACGAUAGUUUCCUCUUUUUGAUUUAAAAAUUUGCAGGCAAUAAAAUAAGUGCAUAGAAAUUGCUCGUAGGUUGAGUCGUAAAGCUGAUACAAAAAGGUAAGGCAAUGACUUACAUGCUUUUUAAAGACUUCAUCUGACCAAAGAAAGGUGGAAUGGGUCCUUCCAAUAAGUUAUCACAGAGAGAACUGUCAGAUCAAACAUCAUAACUAUCACAGGUAAUUCAAGAUAAACAUUAUCGUAUGCAUGGUAAUGGACUUUAAAAACAGAUAAAUAAGUUUCUAAUAUAAUGAUAAGUUUUGCAGCCGAAGUUCUGAAACUACUCACAGUUCCAACAGAUUAUCCAGAUUUUUGAAUGAUUCAGGAAUGUAUCCUCGCAAAUUGUUUCCAUUCAAAUAUCUGUUAUCAACCAAAAUAGAUAGAUACAUAAAGGAUAGUACAAGAGAUAAGAUUACUUUUUCAAAAUGAGUGUUAAGACAUUAAAUUUUUAGCCGUGAGCUCCCCUGCUAUUAUUCAAGUACGGAUGCAAAAACCAAAAUCAGCAGAGUGCUAAUUUCUUGUUUAUUUGAUAUAAAUCUAGUGUUGUUUUUUAUAUGCAACUAGUUGUGGCAGAGGCAUGAUUUUAUGUAAGGGGGUUCGAAAUAGAUUCUCAAGUUGUAUCAAGGGGGUUCAGUAUGCAAUAUAAACACAUAAAUAUCAGAUUUGACCUUAAAUAUAAAGUAUACUUUCCAGAAGAAGGGGGUCUGAGUAUACACUACUCUCCCUAAACCCCACGUGUGGGAUUACACUGAGUAUGUUGUUGUUGUAGCUACCGCAUUCUUUUUUCUAUAAUAUUUAUUACAUUCACGUACAAAAUGCAACUGGAAUCUAACAAAUGGAAUGAUACUUAAAUGCAAAAUCUUCAAGUAUGCUUAUGAUCUGUAAUGCGAAUUUAAACUGCAAAGCAAUUGUUUAGGUAUCCUUACAGCCUUUUUAAAUAUAGAAGGUUUCCAAUCUUCCCAGGGAUCACACCUUGUAAUUGUCUAUUGGAGAAAUCUCUGCAGUUCAUUAUGUUGCAAAAACAUCAAUUAGAAAUCUCGAAGUUGAAAAGUUAAAAACAAAUGCAACAAAAUGUAACGCCCAUGAGACCACAAUUUCAGACAUGAAUGCAUAUAAAACAAGGAUGACCUGCACAUUUGGUCGAGUAGGCAAAGAUGUCUCUUAAUUUGCUCUACACUUUAGCAGUGAAAUUAUCAGUGAAGUUAUGGAUACGUUGCUAUUAUUAUAGUGAAAUUAUUCUAAAUCAUUUUUGGCCGAGUAGGCAACGAUGAAUAUUCCUGCUUCACCGAAAACCUUAUAGUACAAACAUACACAAUUAAUCAACAUAAUAUAGAAAUGUAAAGAGGCAUAGGGCAGCCUAGUGUACUAAGUGUGCAUUAUGCGGAGGGGUCGACAUCACGCUGCAUUUUUGCAAAAUGCUAUUUUCAUCGCUCUAACUCGUGACCUCCUGGUCACAUGGAAGAAACUUCACAUGUUACGCUAAGGCUCCCUUCCAAGUGUAAAGAGGCAUAAUUUUAGAUACUUGUGAUCUAUCGUAAAAAUUCAAGUAGCAAAGUAGUUGGUUCAAAUCCCAGCUGAGACAAAAACACUAGGUGAUUUUUUUACAUUUGUUCUAGCCUUAAUGGACAGAGUUACCUAAUACCUAUUGUCGGUGGGAGGUGGCAGGUAUCACGUGGAAUUAGUCAAGGGGCACGCAAACUGACCCGGACACCAUGGUUAUCGAAAACCAAAAAGCACAAUGAGAACUGCAUAUUUUCAUUCUACUCAAACAACGACCACAAAUAACAUUAGAAUGGCAAAGUGCCCAAGCGCACAAGCAUAUAUUGCCCAAUGGCAGAACUAGGAUUUUCUUCAAAAAAUGAAGAAGUAAACACACUAGAAGCCAAAGAGGGUUCAACAUCUACUAUAUAUACAUGCAAAAUAAUUUUAACCAUGUAUAGAUAGUGUAAUUUUUCACCGAAAGGGGUUCGGGUGAACUCCAUCCUCCUACUUGGCUCCGCCCCUGAUAUUAUUCCUGUUAACAAAUCACCCAAACUCCCAAAAAAUGAUGGCACAAUAGUUUACUAGUUAUAUCAGUGCAAAUUACAAUUAGAAAUAUAGAUGAAUGUAAUCCAAUCAAUGUCUCCAGAUCAUGCUAUCUAAGGACUUGUAAUAUUUCGAAAUGACGUUUUGCUCAGCAGAUCAAUUAACAAGAAGAGCAGUUAAAAAAAAUACUAAAAAGUAAACCAUAAUAAUAGAAAAUAACUUGGAAUAGAAGCAAUACAUGUGCACUACUCGACAUCUUUUCUGGUUCUCAGGAUAACAAUCGCAAGUAACAGAAUUUGAUUCAAUAGAACAACUUGGAGAUAAUAUUUCCCCAGAACACCCAAGCAGAUCAUUGAUGACAUCCUCUGACAUCCAAAUGCAGAAAAUUGCAUCAGCGCAGAGAUAAAAAUUAGAAUGGAUAACCUGUGAUGUCAUGAAGAUAUAACAGCAAAUAACAAGCUCAUCUAGACUCUAGAUAAAAAAUAAUUCCCUCGUUACAAUUCCUGCAUUAGUAAUCGUUACAUUUAUCCCUGUAUAAAAUCCCUGCAUAACUUGUUUUUAAACCAAAUGAACUCCUCAGGAUUGCAAUGCCAAUUGCUAGCUAUGAGUAUGUGAAUAAGUUAAGGAGGGAAAGUGUAAUUUCUUUAUACCGUCAACCAAGUUUAUACAUUAUUUGGAUCUUCUCGCACAGCGCAAUUUUCUUUCUAUAUUCCGUUCAUAUCUGUGUUACCAUUCAUGUACAAAAUAACACAUAAAGGUUCAUCUUUCAUUUCAGUAUUAAAAGUUGUUACAGGAAGAGAUGUCUUUACCAUAAACAAAGCAAGCUAUAACUUUUUUGGUGAUGUCUAUAAAAACUUCAAAAAAUUGAAGGGGAAGUCAGAAUGGAAAAAUUAAAAAAUAAAAAAGGGGGGGGCAGCUCGGUGCACUUAACUCCCGCUAUGCGGAGGGUCCAGGGAAGGGCCCCACUACAAGGGUGUAUUGUACGCAGCCUUACCUUGCAUUUCUUUCAGAGGCUGUUUCCAAGGCUUGAACCCGUGACCUCCUGGUCAUAUGACAAUAACUUUACCAGUUACUUCAAGACUCCCCUUCUCAGGAUGGAAAAAUAAUUUGAAAAUAUAACAAGGCAAGUUAAAAGUAAUUUGACUAUGAAUUCAGACAACAAUGGACUAUUAUGAUUUAGACGGAAACAUUUUUUGGUAGACAAAUACCAUGUUUUCAGUCAGAGCGUCAACAAACUUGUGUAGAACAUAGCGCUAAGUGGAGGUUGAGAACUUCCAUUGAUGAAAUUUGCAUUUAUCCGAACAACAACAGCAUAACCCUUUGUAGUCCGACAAGGUGGGGUCUAGGGAGUGUAGAGUGUACGUGGACCUUACCCCAACCUCAGAGGUUGAGAGGUUGUUUCAGAUACACCCUUGGCUCAAUCAAGGCAGUCCCACACAAGAAAUAACGGAAGUACAAAAGAAAAUUAUUUCUCCAUAACGACAGUAACAUUGAAAGCAAAAUAAGAUUGGAACAUGUUUGAAUCAUUUAGUAUAAGAAAACAAAGCAGCAAAAAUGUUGACACAAAUAACUGAGUUCAGUAUAUGUCAAUGGCCGAGAAGCCUUAACGACUUAAGACAGUCAAAAUCUUACCAUCUUCUUUUGCAAGAGGAGGUAUAUUUGGCAAUUUUUCAUCAUAUAAAGUUAUUGUACAGAUUUUGCGUAGAGGGCCUUGCGUAGCUUGUUCCACAGUCACCUCUAAAAUGACUAUAAGCAGCAAAAGAGAAAUACAAACCCUGUAAACAUACAUGACCAUUGUCAUAUUAGCUCAACAAGGAAUGCUUAUGUCUUUCUUUAGCUUUAACCACAAAGCUUCUCACAUAUGUGCCCAUAAUACCUUUAUAAUAGCAUUAUUUCUUCAACUAUACCCAAUAAUAUUGGGUGUCUUAGAGAUGGAUCCAGGAUUUUAAGUUAAUCGUUUCCUACAACAACCUUAAACUAAUAUAUAAUCCUAACUGGGUUCAUAAUCAAAUAACAACAAAAAAAAAAAAAUACCUAAUGUAAUCCCACUAGCGGGGUCUAGGCAGAGUAGGAUGUAUGCGAACCUGGGUCCCGGUGUUAUCAAAAGCAACAAGCGCAGAAAAGCUCUAACGUCUGUUGGGGCUUUAAGCACAAAAUGCAAAUAAAGCAUGUGCUUUAGUGAAUAUGUUUAGUCCAACACUAAUAGUUAAUAAGCAUGAACGACAAAUAUAUGAACAAAGAAAUUGAAGAAAAAAUUACGAUAAAGUGAAAUAUCAAUUGUUUAAUGUCGCCUCUUCAAAAGGCUCAUUGGCAAGGAAAAGUACGUCUUAGAAUCCUGGUGACGACAUUGAAGCCCAAAUCAAGCGACGCAAAGCACUUAAGCACGCCUCUGACAACACAGCACGGACCUUACCCAUACCUUUGUGAGGUAGAGAGGUUGUUUCCGAUUAACCCUCAGCUCAAACAUUUAUAAAUAUUUAGUGAAUUUCUUAAAACAUAUACAUGAUUUAGGCAAAAGCUACUAGGUUCACGUAAAUCCACAAACAACAAUAAUGUGGUUUAUGAAAAAGAACAAUCUUUUCUUCACUUUUUCAUGUUGUUCCCACUUCUGGGCCCUUAUACCAUAGCACAGCUUAUCUUUUCCAAAAAAAAAAUAAAUUAAAGAUACACCAUUUUCUUGUCACUUUCCUCUUUGGAAUUCAACUUUAUAAAGAUGAAACUUUUACAGUACUCAUUUUACAUGUCCUUUUACAGCAAAAAGAUGAAAUUUUUCCACAAUCCAUUGCUAAUGGUCUUUGUUUAUUGAGAAAGAAAAAAAGGUAACAUCCUUACACUGUUGCUAUGGUCUUUUUUAAUUGAAUUCUCUUUCAGUCAUUUCAUCGAACACCUUCCAUGCAAAUCACGAGUUGCUUUAAUUUUCACAUAGAAUUUGCCUUUUUUGUUAGCGGAUUUGAACUGAUUGCCUGUAAAGGGUAUUGAGUUAAGUAUUAAAUGGAGCAUUAUUGGAAGUUCCAGCUUUAUUAAAGUAUAAAUUUUCAACAAAGUGACAAAGAAAAUGGUGUAUCUUUUUUAAGUACCUCUUUAUGAAAAGAUAAUUUAUGUUAUGUUUUAAGGGCCCUAAAGCGGAAACAACAUGAAAUAAUGAAGAAAAGAUUGUUAUAACAAAUCCACGCAAUACCUGUCACCAUCUGUCAGUAAUAGAUAUUAGAUAACUCUGUCCAUAUCUUUUUUCGAUGCUGGACCUCCGACUCUCAACCCACUUCAUAUACCACAAGGCCACACCCUUGGAUGCGAAAAGAUUGUUCUUUUUUUAUAUUAUGUUAACAAAAAUCAUGUUCAUACUACAUAAUCAUACCUUUUAAUUUGGCCUCAGCUCGGGCGGAUCUAAGGGCUCAGGUGCGAAUUUAGUAUUUAUACAGAGAAAACUAGUAAAUAUAUAAGAAUUAUAAGUUAGAAAUUCACAAACAAAGUGUAUUGUUGGUCUAAUAGAUUAGAAGAACUUGUAAAAGUUUUACUGCAUCUUAGUUACUAUUUGAUUUUAUUUUUAUAUGAAAUGGGGAAACCACAAAGUUGGAGCGCCCAAAUGCCACCUCAGGUCAAGUUAAAGAGAAUAUUUAAUAAAUGCUCUUGAAAACUGAACACUAUACAAAAUCCUUUGUUAAAUGGUCUUUUCAAGUUUCUUUUUAAUUAAAUAGACUACAAGUUUUUUGGUGGGAAAUGACCCAUUUUUUUAGAUAAAUAUAUUAUUUAUCCGAUCGAUAUAUAGACAGAUUGAUUAUCAAACCGACAAAUUGAUUAUCGAUCCGAUCUAUAUAUGGACGGAUCGAUUAUCAAUCCGACAGAUCGAUUAUCGACCCUACCUAUAAAUGGAAAGAUCAAUUAUCAAUCCGAUAAAUGAGAAAAUAUAAGUAGGUCAUUUUGCUAACUGAAAACUUGAAGAGGUUUAAUAGUUAAAUUUUCUCAAUAGGCUAUUUUGCUAAUUGAAGCUUGAAGAGACUUUUAAGAAAUUUUACAAGUCUUUUUUUUUUUUGAUAACUGUAGUCUUCGGGUUAGCUUUCGUGCACCUCAACUAAAUUUACGAGACACCUACCAACUCCUCAGUUAACUCUGUCCACAAUUGUUAGUGCAAUCAUAUAAAGAUCAUUUUAAAUGUCAUGUUUUUUUUAUAACCAUGAUCUUCAGGUUGGUUGUUGCACACUUCGACUAAAUUUACGGAAUACCUGACACCUCCAAAUAUAUAAGUUAACUAUAUAUAUCCAUCAAUGUAAGAACAGAUGGCUAGCUUUAUGCUCUUUUUUAAUUUAAUUUUCUUUCAGUAAUUUCAUCAAACACCUUCCAGGCAAAUCAUGAGUUGCUUUAAUUUUUACAUAAGAAUAUGCCUUUUUUGUUAGUGGAUUUGUGGCAGUGAACUGAUUCCCUGUAAAGGGUAUUGAGUCAAUUACUCUAUGAAGCAUUACUGGGUACCUCUGUCUAUCUAGGUUCAUCUUUAUAAAAUAGAAAAAAUGAAGAAAAGAUUAUUUUGUUUUAUAUAAUCCCGUCCUAAAAUAAGUGUUACCUUAGCAAAGAUCACAUCGAUAGUACAUAAUCAUUCCUUUUAACUUGACCUUAACUGACAUAUACGUCCUCCAACUUUAGGUGUGUACAAGUAGACACAUAAACUUGUAUAAAGUUAGAACAAGUAGACACACACCCUUCAUGGCAUCUAUAUGGGAAUCUCACGUGAAUUGUCACGUAGGACACGUGUGUCUACUUGUUUAACUUUAUACAAGUUUAAGUGUCUAUUUGUGCACAUCCAAAGUUGUAGGACAUACAUGUUCGCUGAGGCCAAGUUAAAAGACAUGGUUAUGUAUAAAGUUGAAUAAGUACAAACAUGCAGCCUCCGUGCCAUCUACAUGGCAAUCUCGCGUGAUUUUUCACAUAGGACGCGUGGAUCUACUUGCUCAACUUUAUACAAGAUUAAGUGCCUAUUUAUACACACCCAAAAUUAGAGGACAUAAAUGCCACACGAGACCAAGUUAAAGGGCAUAUUUAUGUAUUAUGACUUGACUUAACUAUCCCUGUUUAAUAAAUGUUUAUUGAAAAUUGAAUACUAUUAAGAAGAUAGGGUAUAAGGGUAUAGUUGGAAGAAAAACAAACUAUUUUUUUUUUUUAAUUCCUAAGAUGACACUUAUUCCGUGAGCUAAGGUGACACAUAUUUUGGAAUGGAGCAACUCACAAUAAAGGGAUCCUUGUAUCCCUAUUAUUUUCCUAUUUUAUUGUACUUAUUAUUCCUUUUAAGUUUGAAGUAGUUUUAGAAACUCGUAGAAUUAAAAUCCUGGAUUCUCCUUUGCGGCAUACAACAUUACUAGGUAAACUUGAAGAAAGGAUGGUAUUUACGAGGUUUAUCGAAAAUAACCUCUCUAUCUCUACGAGGUAGAGGUAAGGUCUACAUAAACUCUACGUCCCUAGACCCAACUCGUGAAAUUACAUUGGGUUUAUUGUUGUUGUUGUAAACUUGAAAAAAGGAUGGUAUUUACAAGGUUUAUCGAAAACAACCUCUCUAUCUCUACGAGGUAGAGAUAAGGUCUGCAUAAACUCUACGACCCCGGACCCCACUCAUGGAAUUACACUGGGUUUGUUAUUGUUGUUAUAAACUUGAAGAAAGGAUGGUAUGUACGAGGUUUAUCGGAAACAACCUCUCUAUCUCUACGAGGUAGAGGUAAGGUCUGCAUAAACUCUACGUUCCCCAGACCCCACUUGUGGAAUUACAUUGGGUUAGUUGUUGUUUCUAUAAACUUGACAAAAGGAUGGUAUCUACGAGGUUUAUCGGAAACAACCUCUCUAUCUCUACGAGGUAGAGAUAAGGUCUGCAUAAACUCUACGACCCCGGACCUCACUCGUGGAAUUACACUGGAUUUGUUAUUGUUGUUAUAAACUUUAAGAAAGGAUGGUAUGUACAAGGUUUAUCGAAAACAACCUCUCUAUCUCUACGAGGUAAUGGUAAGGUCUGCAUAAACUCUACGUUCCCCAGACUCCACUUGCGGAAUUACAUUGGGUUAGUUAUUGUUGCUAUAAACUUGACGAAAGGAUGGUAUGUACGAGGUUUAUUAGAAACAACCUCCCUAUCUCUACGAGGUAGAGGUAAGGUCUGCAUAAACUCUACGUUCCGGGACCCCACUCGUUGAAUUACACUGGGUUUGUUAUUGUUGUUAUAAACUUGAAGAAAGGAUGGUAUGUACAAGGUUUAUCGGAAACAACUUCUCUAUCUCUACGAGGUAAUGGUAAGGUUUGCAUAAAAUCUACGUUCCCCAGACCCCACUUGUGCAAUUACAUUGUGUUAGUUGUUGUUGCUGGCAUAGGCACGGUUUUAAUGCAAGAAUUGAAGCCUAUUGCCUACUUUAGCGAAAAGCUCAAAGAAGCAACUCUAAACUACUCUACGUACGAUUUAGAGUUGUAUGCCUUGAUUAGAGCCUUGGCCACUAGGCAACAUUAUUUGUGGCCUAAAGAAUUCGUGAUCCGAAUGGAUCAUGAAUCCUUGAAGCAUCUACGGGCACAAGACAAGCUUAACCGGCGGCAUGCAAAAUGGAUUGAAUUUCUUGAAACUUUCCCUUAUGUUAUUCAAUACAAGAAGGCUAAAGACAAUGUGGUUGCCGAUGCUUUGUCCCGACAACAUGUGCUUGUGUCUAUUUUUUCAUCUAAGUUGAUGGGGUUUGAAAUCCUCAAGUCUUUAUAUCCCGAGGACCCCCUCACUUCGCUCCUAUCUAUAGGGAAAGUGAAAAGUUGGAUAGGGAUAGGUGGGUUACGGAUAGGUGUUCCCAUCCCUAUACCAAAUUUGAUGGAUACUUGGUUAAAGGUAGACGAUUGUGUGUUCCCUCAAGUUCGUGGAGAGAAUUAUUUGUGAGGGAAGCACACAAUGGCGGUCUAAUGGGNNNNNNNNNNNNNNNNNNNNNNNNNNNNNNNNNNNNNNNNNNNNNNNNNNNNNNNNNNNNNNNNNNNNNNNNNNNNNNNNNNNNNNNNNNNNNNNNNNNNNNNNNNNNNNNNNNCCUUGAAGCAUCUAUGGGCACAAGACAAGCUUAACCGGCGGCAUGCAAAAUGGAUUGAAUUUCUUGAAACUUUCCCUUAUGUUAUUCAAUACAAGAAGGCUAAAGACAAUGUGGUUGCCGAUGCUUUGUCCCGACAACAUGUGCUUGUGUCUAUUUUUUCAUCUAAGUUGAUGGGGUUUGAAAUCCUCAAGUCUUUAUAUCCCGAGGACCCCCUCACUUCGCUCCUAUCUAUAGGGAAAGUGAAAAGUUGGAUAGGGAUAGGUGGGUUACGGAUAGGUGUUCCCAUCCCUAUACCAAAUUUGAUGGAUACUUAUUUAAGGGUAGACGAUUGUGUGUUCCCUCAAGUUCGUGGAGAGAAUUAUUUGUGAGGGAAGCACACAAUGGCGGUCUAAUAGGACAUUUUAGGGUCUAGAAGACCCUCGGAAUUUUGGAAGAACAAUUUUAUUGGCCUAGAAUGCACAAGGAUGUGGCCCGGAUUUGCGGCCAAAGUGUUGAGUGCAAAGGAGCCAAGUCACGGCUCCAACCUCACGGGUUGUACACUCCAUUGUCCACCCCUUUGCGUUCUUGGCUUGACAUAUCAAUGGACUUCAUAUUGGGAUUGCUGAGAACUAGAAGGGGGCGGGAUAGUAUUUUUGUCGUGGUGGAUUGGUUUUCCAAGAUGGCUCAUUUUAUUCCUUGUUCUAAAUGUGAUGAUGCACCUAGUGUAGCCUCUUUGUUUGUUGAUAAUAUUAUAAAACUUCAUGGUGUUCCGAAGACCAUAGUGAGUGAUAGGGAUUCUAAAUUCUUAAGCCACUUUUGGAAGUCCAUGUGGGGUAGACUCGGUACUAAGUUGUUGUUUUCGACUUCGUGUCACCCAAAAACCGAUGGCCAAAUGGAAGUAGUAAAUAGGACCUUAGGAUCUAUGCUACGGUCCAUGGUUAAAGGAAAAAUGACUUCUUGGGAGGAGCAAUUACCGUUGAUUGAGUUUGCUUAUAAUCUGGUUAUACACUCGAGCACGGGGAUAACACCCUUUGAGUGUGUAUAUGGCAUCAACCCCCUCAUCCCUUUGGAUUUAACCCCUUUGCCAAGUGAUCUUGUGAUAAGCUUAGAUGGAAGCAAACGAGUCGAGGCCAUGAAAAAGCUACAUGAGAAGGUGAGGUUGCGGUUGGAGAAGAAAAACCAAGAAGUUGCGAGGCGAGCAAACAAAGGAAGAAGAAAGCUCAUUCUUGAACCGGGAGAUAGGGUGUGGGUGCACCCAAGGAAGGAUAGAUUCCCAUCUCAAAGGAAUGCUAAGUUGAUGCCACGGGGUGAUGGACCGUUCCAAGUAUUAGAAAGGAUCAAAGACAAUGCCUACAAGAUUGAUCUACCCCCGGAAUAUCAAGUGCACAACACUUUUAACGUGUGUGAUCUCUCUCGGGUCGAAACAGUAGAGGAUGACAAUGAUCCAAAUUUGAGGACAAACUCCCUUCAAAAUGAAGAGGAUGAUACGGGAAUUCCUAGCUCGAGACCUUUCACACGAAGCCAAGCACAUGAGUUGCAAUGACUCCAAGCCUUGUUCACAUCCUUGGCCUCGAGGCCCUUGUGAGCCCAUCUAAGGCCCUAUAUUUAAUAAAAUGUGAAGAGGCCCACCAAGACACCCCAAACCCACCAACUUAAAUGCCAAAGGUAUUUUGGUCUUUGUCCUUCCUUUUCUAAGUGACUUUAUAAGCCAUGUAAUAGGGCUAGUCUUGCUUUAGUUGAUUCCUAUUAUUCAAGAAACAAAAGACUUGUAAUUUUUUUGACUUCUCUUUCUCAUUUGGAGAGGCCAAAACCAAAUUCUCACUAGUAGAGUGAUACUAGUGUUAUAUGUUGGCUAGAAACUAGGUUCUUUGAGUUCCUCUUGGUCCAAGUAAGAACUUGGUAUUGAUAUUUAUCAGUCUUGGGGUUGUUUCUCGUGUUAGGGUUCUUAGAUUAAUGAAUAUUGUGUGUCAAGUUUCUAUCUCUUUCUUUGUAAAUCUUGUUAACAUUGUGUUGUUGAAUAUAAAAGUCUAGUGAAGCCGUAUGGGGCUCUUUUGAUUCACUAGCAAUAUUGUCUUUGUUGUUAUUGUUGUUAAACUCACUUUUCUAGUUCAAACAAGUGUUGCAAGCCUAGUGAAGCUGUGUGUGACCAUUUUCGAUUCACUAGCACUUUGUUGUUCAUCUUUUUGUUCUUGUGUUGGUUGGAAUCUCUUGAUACACACUUAGCAUUGUAUCAGAAAUGGCCCUCUGACAUAUGAGGUAGAGGUAAUGUCUGCAUACAUCUACCCUCUCCAGACCUCGAAACUAUACUGGAUAUGUUAUUGUUGUUGAUAAUUGUGAUGUCUGAACCAUCUUGCUCGAACCUCAACUAAUUUCAGUGGAUAACUUCCACCUCCAACCCGCAACACUGAUACUAGGUAACCUUGUCCAUCAAAGCAAAAACAUAGUACCAGGUUCAUCUGAACCCGGUAUUUUUGAUUGCGGUCCACGAAGCAUAAAUUUAUGUGCAAAGGUUUAUUAAAAUUACAAGAUAUGAACUUAUAACUUUAGAAAUACCAAACCUUAAUGAUUGAACUCAUAAAAUUGAGCAAGAAGAUUCUAACUCAAUAAGGCAACACACCCAUGAAUUUUACAUAAACCUGUCAAGCCCCUUAAAUAUCAAAUCCUAGCACACUGGUCAAACACAGAGGCGUAUCUAGGAUUUGAAAUUUACGACUUCUGAAUUUACAAUAACUGGAUUCUAAAUUGAAAAUAUGUACAUAUUCGGUGAAUCUUAUCGAACAAAUAUACAAGAUUUAGGACAAACAUACGACUUGGUUCAUCCAAACCAGUAAGUCACCUCCUAGCUCCGCCCCUGGUCAAGCACACUGUUAAAGCAAAUACGAUACUUCUUUACUUCUCUCUCAGCUAAGACAUGAUUUUGUAACCUUGUUCACCGAGAUGGCGAAGUUGGUCACAAGCAGCCAAUAGGAGCAAAUCGUUUCCCACAUUUGAGUCUGCUACAUGGAGAAAUUAAUCACCCUCUGGCUUGUUCAAAGUGCAGCGUAGUUUCUUUAAUUUCUCCACGAUCGUAGCCAUGGUGUCCCUGGAAGAUGGCGGUGACUUUAAGCAUUUCAUUGCUAAUGUUAGAAUCACCUCUGCGUCAUCCCAGUUAUAAUUCAGAUUUUGAUCGACGAGUUCCAUUAAAGUUCCAUUCUCAUUCUUUAUUUGUGCCUAUAGUAGUUGAUAAAAUUAACCAAUGACUUUGUCGAGUUUCCUAAAUUAAUGUACACAACUAUUGCAGCUAGUUGAGUUUUACUCACCUCAUCCACGAGGUAUCCAGUUUGAGCACCUACCCUCAGGGUCUUUAUUUUCCUUCCGCUGAAAAGUACAAGCAUGACAACUCCAAAGCUAUACACAUCUGCGCUAGCUUCUAAGGGGCGAUCAUUAACUUCUGGCGCUGUGUAUGACCUGCAAAAAUCUUCCAUUAGUGAGAAAUGCAAUUGUGGAAGCCAAUGUAUAAGGUAUUACUCCCACCGUUUAAUUUGUUUGUCUGGGCUUGUGGUCUUAAACAUGCCAUGCGGAAAGUUAGAUUUAAAGAGUUGUCAAAAAACGAGAGACAUUCUUUUGAAACGGACUAAAAAGAAAAGUAAGACAAACAAAUUGAAACAGCGGGCCGGGAGUACUAAUUUGUCUCUAAAACAUAAUUUGUUUGGGUGUUUACUUACAUUGUUCCUUCUGACUUUUGCUUGUGAUAAAGCUUUGCGAAUCCAAAAUCGUAUAUCCUUGGAUUUAAAUCGUUGUCAAGAAAAAUGUUUUCUGGGUUAAUAUCUCCAUGUAUAAUUUCCUGUUUGGACACCUUGUGAAGAAAAGAUAAACCUUCUGCUAGACCAAGACAUAUUUUACAUCUCGUUUGCCAAUCUAGUCUUUUUCUAAGUUCUUCGUCUGAACCUGUAAGUAAACAAAGCUCAAGUUUUAUUUGUACAACUACGGAGGCUUAACAAAGAGAUUUUUCAUAAACGGAAGACGUUACCAAAUAAUGCAUCUUCAAGAGACGUAGUUCCAAUGAACUCAUAGAUAAGCAGAAGUUGGUUCUUUCCUGCACAGCAUCCCAUUAGAGUUACAAGAUUUGGACGUUUUAUGCCAGCAAUUGCACGCCUUUUUUCUGCAAAUUCGUGCAUUCCUUCUUUUGGUGCCGAAAGUUUUUUAACUGCGACGACAAGCCCAUUCAAAAGAGUGCCCUGGAUGUUGGUUAAGUGUUUCAGAUGAUGAACUUAUGAAUCAGAAAAACAAACGAAUUACUCCCUCCGUUUCAAUUUGUUAGUUUAAUUUUCCUUUUCUUAGUCCACUUAAAAAAAGAACUCUUUGAUUCUAACUUUCCACAUGGCGUGUUUAAGACCACCAGAUUGAAGGACAUUUUGGUAUAUUCAAUAUAUCUUUAGUGUAAAACCACAAUUACAAAAAUCUUCUUUAUUUUCUUAAACUCCAUAUCAAGUCAAAACCAAACAAACAAAUUGAAACGGCGUGAGUAUAUAUCUAGGUUAGAGGUCAUCCAGCUAGCAAAGGGAGAAAACACAAUACUAGUACUGCAACUUUUGUCAUGAGAUAAUAUCUUUUCCGAAAGAAAAUGAAGAUAUGAAGGCGGAAAAAUGCCCUUGAGUGAUAAAACAAAAUUCUUUUAACUGACGAAAACUGUAAAAGAUAAAUCACAAAGAACACAAAAUUCAUAACCUAUAAUUAGUUAAAAUUCUAACCUACCUUAUAAAUUGUCCCAAAACCUCCCUCGCCAAGCCGGUUCUCGAUAUCAAAAUUCUUUGUGGAAGCUUUAAUUUCCCGGUAGUAGUAAAGUCCUCCAGGGUACAAUUCAACAAGUUCUAGCUCCAUAUCAACACAUUAGAAAAGAAACAUCAACAGAGUGGAAAAGAGAGACAGUAAAGAAGCUUACUACAAGUUACAAGACGUAUGAUUCAAAUGAUGGUAAUUUAAUCCGAUAACUAUAAGAAAUGUAUCUUGGGCUUAACCCGAAAAAAAUCUAGCUAAAAUCAUACCGACUUAACUCAAUAGCUAACCUCAUUUGAGGAGACCGAUGCCGCAUUCCACAAGUCCACGGAACCACAACCAAUGUUGGGAAACAUAACAUCCCUCCAGCCUACGCCCAAGCUUACCAACUGGAGCGUAGACAACAAAAUAUGGGGGUCCAACAUUGAGUAUUUGACAUUUUUAAUUUAGUAAAAAAUCUCAUUAGUUCCUCACUAACUAUCUUUUUCAUGCCAAACAUAUUUAGCCAGCAGAUGGAAAAAAUUGAAACUUGAAAAAAAAAAGAGUUUUUGACGUUGUGUUGGAAAAUAAUUUUUCCAAGCGGAGGUGAAAUUUCACCCCAAAAUUGAUCUGAGCAAGUUUUUGAAACUUGAAAAUGGACCAAAUUUAAAUUCACGAACAACAUUUUCAAAUUAUUAUUUUUUUUUUUAAAAAAAAAAUGUACUCCCAAAAACUAUGGCCAAACAGGAGCUUAAUACCUUGAAAUUCAGAUGUUUCCAUCAAAGAAAAUAUUUUCCACCAAAGGCCAAAAAAACAUAUUAAAAACUUUUAAUUUACCAAAGAUCACCAAAAUAUUAUCCUCAUCAUUUUUCCAAUUCCAUAAGGUCGCACAACCACUUUACAUAACUAGCAAGCAGGCAGAUUCGAGAUUUAAAUUUUGCAGUAACGACUUCAAGAGCUAGUAACUGGACUCUAAAUUUAAAAUUUGUACAUAUUCAGUGAAUCUCAUAACACAAAUACAAGAUUAAGGACAAAAAUACUACUUAAAGGGCAGCCCAGUGCAUUAAAGCUACCGCUAUUCGCGGUGUCCGGGGAAGGGCCCCACCACAAGGGUAUAUCGUACGCAACCUUACCUUGCAUUUCUGCAAGAGGCUGUUUCCAAGGCUUGAACCCAUGCCCUCCUGGUCACAUGACAGCAACUUUACCAGUUACUCCAAGGCUCCGUGCUAGAUCAAGCACAUUGUUAAAUGAAAAUAUGAUAAUCCAAUACUACAGUAUGGUACAUGGAGAACUCACCCGCAUUGGUCAAAAUGGUCUGGAUUGAGUGUCCCUUCUUUAAUUUCUUCACGAUUGCAGACAUGGUUGGUCUGUAUGGCGGUGAAUCUAUGCAAUGCAUUACUAAUCGUAGAAUCAUCUCCGCUUCUUCCCAGUCAUAACUCAGCUUAGGAUCGACUAGUUCCAUUAGAGUUCCCCUCCGAUCCAUUUUUUCGGCCUACAGUAGUCGAUAAGAUUAACCAAUAACUUUGUCUAGUUUCCUCAAUUGAUGUACAUAACUGUUGCAGGUAGUUGAGUUUUACUCACCUCAUCCACGAGGUAUAUAGUUUCACCACCUGCCCUCGGGGUCUUGAUUUUCCUUCCACUGAAAAGUAUAAGCAUGACAACUCCAAAGCUAUACACAUCCGUUCUAGCUUCUAAGGGGCGAAAUGUAACUUCUGGCGCUGUGUAUAACCUGCUAAAGGCUUCCAAUAGUGAGAAGUGCAACUGUGAUAGCCAAUGUAUACAAAGUUCUAACAAUUUGAAAGCAAAAUCAGUUUUACUCCCUCUGUUUCAAUUUGUCUGUCUGGUUCUGACUUGACAUGGAGUUUAAAAAAUAAUGAAGACUUUUAUAUCUUGUGGUCUUAAACAUGUCUCGUGGAAAGUUUGGAUAAAAGAGUUGUGAAGAACAGACAAGAUGCAUUCUUUUACUAAUAUGUCUCUGGAACAUAAUCUGCUGGGGCAUUUCCUUACAUUGAUCCUUCUGAUUUUUGCUUGUGAUAGAGCUUCGCAAAUCCGAAACCAUGUAUCUUCGGAUUCAGAUCAUCAUCAAGAAUAAUGUUUGCUGGUUUAAUGUCCCCGUGUAUAGUUUCCUGUUUGGAGCCCUCGUGAAGAAAAGCUAAACCUUCUGCUAGACCAAGACAUAUUCUAUAUCUUGUUGGCCAAUCGAGUCUUGCUCUAAGUUCAUCGUCUGAACCUGUACGUAAUCAAAGCUGUAAGUUCUUUACUACAAGUGUGGAGGCUUAACGAAGAAAUCAUUCAUAAAUGGAAGAUGUUACCAAAUAAGGCAUCUUCAAGAGACGUAGUUCCAAUGAACUCAUAGAUAAGCAGAAGUUGGUUCUUUCCUGCACAGCAUCCCAUUAGUGUUAAAAGAUUUGGAUGUUUUAUGCCAGCAAUUGCACGACUCUUUUCCGCAAACUCCCACAUUCCUUCUUUUGUCGCCGAAAGCUUUUUAACUGUGAUGGCAGUCCCAUUCGAAAGAGUGCCCUGAACAUUGGUUAAGUGUUUCAGAUGAUGAAAUUGUCUAUUUGAAAACCAAAAUAAGUACUCCCUCUGUUUCAAUUUGUUUGAAGACUCACGAGAAUGAAGGGCAUUUCGGUACAUUCGAUAUAUCAUUGGUUCAAGACCCCACGGGUCAAAAGUCUUUUCUAUUUUCUUAACGUUCGAGCCAAAUCAAUACCAGAAAAAACAAAUUGAAAUGGGGGGAGUAUAUAUCUAGGUCGGAGGUCACCCAGCAAGCAAAAGAAAAAAGGUUGUGCACAGAAGGGAGCGGCGUCCCGACAACACAAUACUAAUACUGCAACUAUUUUCAUGAGAGAGUAUCUUCUCCAAAAGAAAAUGAAGAAUACGAAGACAGAAAAUGAACAAAAUUUAUUUAACUGAAGAUAUCUGUAAAAGAUAUAUCGAAAAACAUCGUAACCUAUAAUGAGUUAAGAUUCUAGCUAACCUUAUAGACAGUCCCAAAACCUCCCUCGCCAAUCCGGUUCGCAACAUGAAAAUUAUUUGUGGCAGCUUUAAUUUUCCGGUAGUUGUAAAGCCCUCCAGGGUACAAUUGAACGGGUUCUAGCUCUAUAUUUACACAUUAGUAAAUAUAUAUCAGAGUAAUUUGAAACGUAAAUUAAGUAAACAAGCUUACAACAAAUAAAAAAACCUAUGAUUCAAAUGAUGGCCGGUGACUAUAACCGAUAACUACAAGAAAUGGAUCUUACGCUUAACUCAACCCUAAAAGCUAAUGACGAAUAUGGAACAAUUUAACUUUCAGCCAACCUAAACCCAAGCUUAUACACACACACACACACACACACACACACACAUAGUAGUCUAUAAUACGUGUGUUGCACGUGUAUUUAAUGUUAAAUAAGAAAGAUGCAUGUAUGCAAAGAACAAACUCAUUAUAUUCGAAUUAAUAAAUAUACGACUUUAAAAAUAUAUAUAUGUCCAGACCUCUCUUUAAUAACCUGUCAUUAUAAUGGUAUUUAUCCAAAUAGACCUAAGAAUUGUAUUGUACGUUGAAUUUUUACUUCGUUCAUGUAUACUUUUGAAGAAACGCUUAUCAACUCGUUCCUAUUGUGAAUACUUUUGAAGAAACGUUCCCUCGUUCUUUCUUUAUCUCUUGAUGUGUCUCUUUAUUGCAUUGUUAUAAGGAGAUGUCAAUGUAUUUCACAUGAAAAGAAUAAUAAUGAAUAGCUAUAAUAAUUUAUAUCAUUCAAAAUUAAAAAUUGUCACACGAAAUUAAUCACCUUUCAAAGUUCGGAUCAUCAACUGUCUGUAUAUAUUAUAAUCAUCAUCCAUCUUCAGGAUACCAACAAAAUCAAUGCACCUCAAAGUAAAUUAAAUAUUACAAAAACAUUUUCUGAAGUGAAGAAUGAUCUAAGACGAAAAGGAAAUAAUUUUGUUUUCUAUGUUCAUCGAAGAUGUUAUUGUAUUAUUGUAGAAGGAUUGUCAAUUUAUAGAAGUCCAAAAGCUUUUCAAAUUAUCUAAAUAUGGUAAAUUUAUACUCCCUCACCACCAUAAAUAACUACCAAUAUUAGAAGAGUAAGUAUUCCAACAAUAAUAAAUUACCACAAAUAGAUACUGUACAUUUUUUAUAGUUUUUUUUUUUUAGACUUAGGCUUCAUUGUCUUAUUUUUUUAAAAGAAAUUAAAAAAUCAUAUACACAUGUGAUUUCUAAAACUUAAAGAGUUUAGUAGUUUUUUUCUCUAAUUUCUCUAACCGUAAUAUUUGUAUAAUAUCAUAUAUUUUAGUGCUCUUAAUUUUUUCUUUCCAUAUAUAUUUUAGGAUUCAAUAUUACAGUUAAUAUUAUUAAAAUAAUUAACUAAUAAUUUGAGAAAAUAGUGAAAAGACAAUUUCGUCUAUUGUGGAGUGUUUUAAUGAAGGUCAAAAAGUUCAAAUCACAUAUAUAUAUAUAUAUAUAAAAUCAGUGUUACCUUCGCGACGUAAUUUGUCUAUAUUUGUUACAUUUAUAAUCGAUCUGUCCAUAUUCAGGAUUUGAAUUUUACAGUAAUGACUUCAAGCGCUAAUAACUGGACUCUAAAUUUAAAAUUUGUACAUAUUUAGUGAAUUUUACGAUACAAAUCCAAGAUUUAUGACAGACAAACUAUUGGGUUCUACUGAACUCGUAGGUUGCCUUCUAGCUCCGCCCCAGGUCAAGCACAUUGUUAAAGCAAAUAUGAUACUCCUAUAGUAGAAUAUGCUACAUGGAGAACUCACCCUCUGGCGUAGGCGCAUUGAUCAAAAGGGUUUGGAUUGAGCAUUCACCCUCUGGUCUAGCCGCAUUGAUCAAAAUGGUCUCGAUUGAGCAUUCUUUCUUUAAAAUCUUCACGAUUGCAGACAUGGUUGGUCUGAAUGACGGUGAAUCUAUGCAAUGCAUUGCUAAUCGUAGAAUCAUCUCCGCUUCUUCCCGGUCAUAACUCAGCUUGUGAUCGACUAGCUCCAUUAGAGUUCCCCUCCGAUCCAUUAUUUGUGCCUACAGUAGUCGAUAAGAUUAACCAAUAACUUUGUCUAGUUUCCUAAAUUGAUGUACAUAACUGUUGCAGGUAGUUGAGUUUUACUCACCUCAUCCACGAGGUAUAUAGUUUCACCACCUGCCCUCGGGGUCUUGAUUUUCCUUCCACUGACAAGUAUAAGCAUGACAACUCCAAAGCUAUACACAUCCGCGCUAGCUUCUACGGGGCGAUCUUUAACUUCUGGCGCCGUGUAUAACCUACUAAAGGCUUCCAAUAGUGAGAAGUGCAACUGUGAAAGCCAAUGUAUACAAAGUUCUAACAAAUUUGAAAGCAAAAUCAGUUUUACUCCCUCUGUUUCAAUUUGUCUGUCUGGUUCUGACUUGACACGGAGUUUAAGAAAGUAAUGAAGACUUUUAUAUCUUGUGAUCUUAAACAUGUCACGUGGAAAGUUAGGAAAAAAGAGUUGUGAAGAACAGGCAAGAUGCACUCUUUUACUAAUAUAAUGUGUUGGGGUAUUUCUUUACAUUGUUCGUUCUGAUUUUUGCUUGUGAUAGAGCUUUGCAAAUCCAAAAUCAUAUAGCUUCGGAUUCAGAUCAUCAUCAAGAAUAAUGUUUGCUGGUUUAAUAUCCCCGUGUAUAAUUUCCUGUUUGGAUCCCUUGUGAAGAAAACAUAAACCUUCUGCUAGACCAACACAAAUUCUAUAUCUUGUGGCCCAAUCGAGUCUUCCAUUUUUUUCAUUGUCUGAACCUGUUAUGUAACCAAAGCUCAACUUAUCAUUAGUACAACUAUGAAGGCAUAGCAAAGAAAUCAUUCAUAAACGGAAGACCUUACCAAAUAAUGCAUCUUCAAGAGAUGUAGUUCCAAUGAACUCAUAGAUAAGCAGAAGUUGGUUCUUUCCUGCACAGCAUCCCAUUAGUGUCACGAGAUUUGGAUGUUUCAUGCCAGCAAUUGCACGACUCUUUUCCGCAAACUCCCACAUUCCUUCUUUUGUUGCCGAAAGCUUUUUAACUGCGAUGGCAGUCCCAUUCGAAAGAGUGCCCUGAACAUUGGUUAAGUGUUUCAGAUGAUGAAAUUGUCUAUUUGAAAACCAAAAUAAGUACUCCCUCUGUUUCAAUUUGUUUGAAGACUCACGAGAAUGAAGGGCAUUUCGGUACAUUCGAUAUAUCAUUGGUUCAAGACCACACGUGUCAAAAGUCUUUUCUAUUUUCUUAACGUUCGUGCCAAAUCAAUACCAGAAAAAACAAAUUGAAAUGGGGGGAGUAUAUAUCUAGGUCGGAGGUCACCCAGCAAGCAAAAGAAAAAAGGUUGUGCACAGAAGGGAGCGGCGUCCCGACAACACAAUACUAAUACUGCAACUAUUUUCAUGAGAGAGUAUCUUCUCCAAAAGAAAAUGAAGAAUACGAAGAUAGAAAAUGAACAAAAUUUAUUUAACUGAAGAUAUCUGUAAAAGAUAUAUCGAAAAACAUCGUAACCUAUAAUGAGUUAAGAUUCUAGCUAACCUUAUAGACAGUCCCAAAACCUCCCUCGCCAAUCCGGUUCGCAACAUGAAAAUUAUUUGUGGCAGCUUUAAUUUUCCGGUAGUUGUAAAGCCCUCCAGGGUACAAUUGAACGGGUUCUAGCUCUAUAUUUACACAUUAGUAAAUAUAUAUCAGAGGAACUUGAAACAUAAAUUAAGUAAAGAAGCUAACAACAAAUAAAAAAACCUAUGAUUCACAUGAUGGCCGGUGAUUAUAACCGAUAACUACAAAUCCCAAUGGAAACCAAAUAAAAUAUAUAAUAAGGUAGUGUCACCUCCCCGCCAUAUUUCUUUGAAUUUCCAGGAAAAACCUAUGAACAAUAUAUAUAUAUAUAUAUAUAUAUAUAUAUAUAAAAGCAGUGUUACCUUUGCGACCUAACAUUGAUAAUCGAUUUGUGUAUAUCUGUCGGAUCAAUAAUCUAUCUGUCCAUAUAUUCGGAUUGAUAAUCGAUCUGUCCAUGGAAAUCAUGUCUUCGGGUUAGCUUUCACAUACCUCGACUAAAUUCGGAAUACUUUGACACCUACAAAGAUAUAAGUUAACUAUAUCCACCAAGGUUCGGACAAAUGGGAAGAAUCACCUGGUGUUUUUUCGUCUUUAUUGGAACUUGAACAUAAAACUUCGAAUUCUCGACCCCUUCACUAGGCCACUGUACUCAUCUUACAGGUCUUUUUACAGCAAAAAGAUGAAAUUUUUCCACAAUCCAUUGCUAAUGGUCUUUGUUUAUUGAGAAAAAGAAAGAAAGUAACAUCCCUACUCUGCUGCUGCAGUCUUUUUUAAUUGAAUACUCUUUCAGUCAUUUAAUCAAACACCUUCCAUGCUAAUCACGAGUUGCUUUAAUUUUCACAUAACAAUAUGCCUUUUUUUGUUAGUGGAUUUGUGGUACUGAAUCUUUUCCUCACUUUUUCAUUUUUCCCCACUUCUGGGCCCUUACAGCAUAGCAUAGCAUAGCUUAUCUUAUACAAAAAAAGUUAAAAGAUCAAUCAUUUUCUUGUCACUUUCCUUCUUAAAAAAUUCUACUUUAUAAAGCUGAAACCUCCAAUAAUGCUUCACAGAGUCCUUGACACAUUUCUAUCUCAUAUACCUUAGGUAUAAUAUACUUCAUUGAAUCCACUACUUUCAAAGUGGAGCAUAAAUUCAUUGAAAUUGGAUCUUUAUUUAAAUUAUAUACCUUAAAUAUAGGCUUUUAAAACUAAUUAAAAUUUUACUUAAAAGUAAAUAUUUAGAAAAAAUAUUAAUUGGAAGCUUGGCACGUUAGUACAUAAGAAGUACUACUCUAAACAUUAGAUGAACUUUUUGAAUUAAUUUUGUAUGAAAAUUGCUAAGUAACAUCCAAUUGUAUUUUUAAUUGACAAAUUAUUUUUAAAAAAAAAAUUAAAUUUUAAAAAUUCUAUGUUUUAUAAUAUUUAAAAUUAAUAAAUUCUAAAUAUAUGGGAAGAGAUAAAAUAUAUGUAGAGUUCUAUGGUCUUGUUUUAUUAAAUUUUCUUUCAGUCAUUUCAUCAAACACCUUCCAUGCAAAUCAUGAGUUGCUUUAAUUUUCACAUAUAAUAUGCCUUUUUUGUUGGUGGAUUUGUGGUAGUGAACUGAUUCCCUGUAAAGGGUAUUGUGUCAAGUACUAUAUGAAGUUUCAGCUUUAUUAAAGUAGAAUUUUCAAGUAAGACGUAAUCAUGAAAUAUCUAACCUUUAUCUCGUGGACCAAAAGAAUCCGCUUUUGCAAUGUACAGGUAAUCAGCCCAAUACCACAAAGCCACUACAAAAGUAGCAUAGUCAAGUGAUUUGUGAUGAAAUGACAAAAAGAGAAUUCAAUUAAAAAAAGAUUCUAAUAUCGACCUGACACAUAAAUUUACGAAGGCGUUAUCCGAAACGGCCCUCUAAUAUAUGAGGUAAGAUGUAAUGUCUGCAUAUACCUACCCUCUUGCGAAAUUACUCUAAAUAUGUUAUUGUUGUUGAUAAUCAUGAUAUAUGAACCAGCUUAUUCGAACCUCGACUAAUUUCACUGAAUAACUUCCACCUCCAACCUGCAAUAGGUACUAAAUAACCCUAUCCACCAAAGCUAAGACAUAAUAUCAGGUUCAUCUGAACUCAAUAUUUUCGAUCGACGAAGCAUAAAUCUAUGUGCCCCCCCAAACUAAGCCAAAGUUGUUAAAACACACCUCCAACAUCACAGCGGUCCUAUUACCCUCGAAACUCAAAUUUAGCAUACUUUUGUUACUCUGUUGUGCUGAUGUAACAUCUUUAUUACAUAAAAAUAGACCCUACAUCAGAGAUGUCUCUUCAGCUAAAAAGGAUGAUAAAAGAGGCCACAUCAGCUAAAAAUGAUGACAAAAACACUCUAAAACUUAAUUCUGAGAGGUAAUAGAUUAUAGUUCAGGAGGGUGCUGGGUGCUUUAUUCUUAUCACUGUAGAAGUAAGAAACCUUAAUGAUUGAACUCAUAAAAUUGAGCAACAAGAUUCUAACUCAAAAAGCCAACACAACCAUGAAUUUUACAUAAACCUGUCAAGCCCCUUAAAUAUCAAGCACAGAGGCAUAUCUAGGAUUUGAAUUUUACGACUUCCGAAUUUACAAUAACUGGAUUCUAAAUUGAAAAUAUGUACAUAUUCAAUGACUCUCAUCACACAAAUAUACACGAUUUAGGACAAAUAUACGACUUGGUUCAUCUGAACAAGUAAGUCAACUCCUAGUUCCGCCCCCGGUCAAGCACACUGUUAAAGCAAAUAUGAUACUUCUUUACUUCUCUCUUAGAUAAGACAUAAUUUUGUAACCUUCUUCAUCGAGAUGGCGAAGUUGGUCACAAGCAGCCAAUAGGAGCAAAUCGUUUCCCACAUUUGAAUCUGCUACAUGGAGAACUUAAUCACCCUCUAGCUUGAUCAAAGUGGAGUUUAGUUUCUUUAAUUCCUCCACGAUUGUAGACAUGGUGUCUCUGGAUGACGGCGGUGAAUUUAUGCAUUUCAUUGCUAAUGUUAGAAUCACCGCUGCGUCGUGCCCGUCGUAAUUCAGAUUUUGAUCGAUGAGUUCCAUUAAAAUGCCUUUCUCAUUCAUUAUUUGUGCCUAUAGUAGUCGAUAAAAUUAACCAAUAACUUUGUCUAGUUUCCUGAAUUAAUGUACACAACUAUUGCAGCUAGUUGAGUUGUACUCACCUCAUCCACCAGGUAUACAGUUUCAGCACCUGCCCUCGGGGUCUUUAUUUUCCUUCCGCUGAAAAGUACAAGCAUGACAACUGCAAAGCUAUACACAUCCGCGCUAGCUUCUAAGGGGCGAUCUUUAACUUCUGGCGCUGUGUAUGACCUGCAAAAUGCUUUCAUUAGUGAGAAAUACAAUUGUGGAAGCCAAUGUAUAAGCUAUUACUCCCUCUGUUUAAUUUGUUUGUCUGGUUUGGACUUGACACGAAGUUUAAGAAAGUAAAAGACUUUGAGGGCUUAAACAUGCCAUGUGAAAAGUUAGAUUUAAAGAAUUUUCAAAAGGGGGAGAGAGAUUCUUUUUGAAACGGACUAAAGAGAAAAGUAAGACAAACGAAUUGAACCAGAGGGAGUACUAAUUUGUCUCUAAAAUAUAAUUUGUUUGGGUGUUUACAUACGAUGUUCCUUCUGACUUUUGCUUGUGAUAAAGCCUUGCGAAUCCAAAAUUGUCUAUCUUUGGAUUUAAAUCAUCGUCAAGAAGAAUGUUUUCUGGUUUGAUAUCUCCAUGUAUAAUAUCCAGUUUGGACCCCUCGUGAAGAAAAGAUAAACCUUCUGCUAGACCGAGACAUAUUUUGCAUCUCGUUUGCCAAUCUAGUCUAGCUCUAAGUUCGUCGUCUGAACCUGUAAGUAACCAAAGCUCAAGUUCUAUUUGUACAACUACAGAUGCUUAACAAAGAAAUUUUACAUAAAUGGAAGACGUUACCAAAUAACGCAUCUUCAAGAGACGUAGUUCCAAUGUACUCAUAGAUAAGCAAAAGUUGGUUCUUUCCUGCACAGCAUCCCAUUAGAGUUACAAGGUUUGGAUGUUUUAUGCCAGCAAUUGUGCCACUCGUUUCCGCAAAUUCGCGCAUUCCUUCUUUUGUUUCCGAAAGUUUUUUAACUGCGACGGGAAUCCCAUCCGAAAGAGUGCCCUGGAUGUUGGUUACGUGUCUCAAAUGAUCAAAUUAUGAAAAGAAAAACAAAGGCAAACAAAAUAAUUACUCUCACUGCUCCAAUUUUUUGUCUUCCCGUUUUAGUAUGUUACAAAAGAAUGUCUCCGUCCCCUUUUUGGUAACUAUUUAAUUCUAACUUUCCACAUAGCAUAUUUAAGACCACAACCUUCUAUAUAAGCAUAAUACAUAAACAUGCCCUUUAACUUACCCUCAAAUCACAUUUAUGACCUCCAACUUUGAGUGUGCACAAGUAGCUACUUAAAUUUGUAUGAAAUUGAAUAAGUAGACAUGCACAUCCUAUCUGGCAUAAUACACAUAGGAUUCCACGUAAGACAAGAAUUUGCCACGUAGGAUGCUACAUAGGACAUAUGUGUCUAUUUGUUCGACGUUAUACAAGUUUAAGUGCCUACAUGUGCACACUCAAAGUUGAAAGUCAUAGAUGUGAUCUGAAGUCAAGUUAAAGGGCAUAUUUAUGUAUUGUGCCUUCCAUACAUCUUUAGUUUAAGACCACAAAAUCCAAAAGUCUUUAUUUUCUUAAACUUCGUGUCAAGUCAAAACCAGACAAACAAAUACUGAAGGAGUAUAUAUUUAGGUCGGAGGUCAUCCUGCUAACAAAAGGAAAAAGGUCACGCACAAAGGGAGAGCAGCAUCAAGAAAACACAAUACUAGUACUGCAACUUUUUUCAUGAGAGAAUAUCUUUUCCAAAAGAAAGUGAAGAAUAUGAAGGCGGAAAAGAUGCCCUCAAGCUAAGUUGCUAGGACUCUUCAAGAAUAUCUACGGGUGCGUGUUGGAUCCUCCAAGAAAUAGUAUAUUUCUGAAGGAUCUGAUACGGGUGCGGCAACAUUUUUGGAGUAUCUGAGCAACUUAGCCCUCAAGUGAUAAACAAAAUUUAUUUAAGGAAAUUUUAAAAAAGAAAUAGCACAAAGAACACACAAAAUCAUAACCUAUAAUGAGUAAGAUUCUAGCUAACCUUAUAGACUGUCCCGGAAACUCCCCCACAAAGCCGGUUCGCAAUAUCAAAAUUCUUUGUGGCAGCUCUAAUUUUCUUGUAGUUGUAAAGUCCUCCAGGGUACAAUUCAACAAGUUCUAGCUCUACAUCAACACAUUAGUAAAAGAAAUAUAAGCGGAGUGGAAAACAGAAUGACAAUAAAGAAGCUUACUACAAGUAACAAGACGUAUGAUUCACAUGAUGGUAAUUAAAUCUGAUAACUAUAAGAAAUGUAUCUUGGGCUUAACCCGAAAAAAAGUUAGCUAGAAUCCUACGGACUUAACUCACUAGCUAACCUCAUUUGAGGAGACCGAUGCCACAUUCCACAACUAAUGUGGAACAACAUAAUAUCCCUCCAGCCCACGCGCAAGCUUGUCAGGAUUUUCGUUAAGGGGGUUUAGAAGUAAACAUACGAACUAAUCGAAGGAGAUUUAACAUCUACUGUAUAUACAUAAAAAAUAAUUUUAACUAUGUAUAAAUAGUAAAAAUUUUCGCCGAAGGGGAUUCGGAUGAACCCCCUGCCAAGUGUAGCUCCGCCCCCUGGGGUGGGGGUUCCAACAUUGAGUAAAUCAAGAAAUAGAUGGUUCUGGUUCUAAUAUCAUGAUAAGAAAUGAAGCAUAGGCCUCGCUCAAGCCCUAAAACUACCCCAUGAGGUUAGAAUUGUCGAAAACCAUAUAAAUACACCAAUAUGUGGGGCAACCUUUAAAAAAGAAAAAAUACAACCACAACUUUGAAGAUGGAGAGGCAAAAAUAUCACAAUAUCAGAAGGAAUAUUCCGUUAAUUCCUUCCGCUAAAUGAUGAAAUAAUCUAAUUUAUCAAAGUGAUUGAGGUGCAGUCCGGCCUGCUAUGUUGUAUGGAGCAGAGUGUUGGCCAGUUAAGAAUUCUCGUAUCCAAAAGUUGAAGGAAGCGGAAAUGAGGAUGUUGCGCUGGAUGUGUGGAUUCACAAAGGCUAAUAGGGUUAGGAAUGAUAUUAUUCGAUAGAAGGUGGGAGUGGUGUCAGUGAAGGAUAAAAUGCGGGAAGUAAGGUUGAGAUGGGCUGGUCAUGUGAUGAGAAGGGGGCACGGAUGCCCCAGUUCGUAGGUGUGAGAGGUUGGCCUUGAAUGGUUUCAAGCGGGGUAAGGGCAGACAGAAGAAAUAUUAGAGAGAAGUGAUUAAACGUGACAUGGAGUUGUUACAGUUGACUGAGGUCACAACCAUGGAUAGGAACGUAUGGAGGAAAAGCAUUAGAAUAGAGGGCUAAGGGUGUGGAUGAGUCGUAGUCAGUAAUUAGGUGGAUUUGGUGUCCUUGGUUUGGCAUUGUAACAUUUUUUUUUUUGGAUGUCGUACCUGUGUUAUCUAAUCCUAUUCUAUGCCUUGCAUGCUUCUGUAUACUGCCUCUUAUCUUGAGUCAGGGGUCUAUCGAAAACAGCCUCUCUAUCUCUUUUGAGGUAGUGGUAUGGACUGCGUACACUCUACCCUCGCCAGACCCCACUAUGUAGGAAUAUACUGGGUUUGUUGUUGUUGUUGUAGAGUAAUUGAGGUUUGCUAUGUCCCACUAUGCUUUAACGAAAAAAGUAAAGCAUUUAGUAUCCCCUGAACAACGGUCAAAUUUGCUAUGACACACUCUAAUUUCACAGGGUUUCUAUUACACCCCUUAACUCGAUUUUAGUGUAUUUUUGUCACCCUUUUGUGCUGAUGUGGCACCUUUUGUUAGUCUAUUUAGCUGAUGUGGCACUUUUGAUGUGGGCCUUAUUUUAUGUAAUAAAAGUGUCACCUCGGCGCAAAAAGGUGACAAAAAUAUGCUAAAAUUAAGUUACAUGGGGUAAUAGGACCCUGUGAAGUUGGAAUGUAUCAUAGCAAUUUGGUCAUAGUUCGAGGGGGUAUUGGAUGCUUAUCUCAACUAAAAAAAUAGUGAUCACUACAAAUAUAAUUUGACUUAUGAGUCUUGGGUCAUUUAAAAUUAUUUGGAAUGUGAAGGAUUUAUAUAAUUUUAAAACUUCAAGAAUAUUAAUACAUUUUUCUUUUCAAAUUAAAUGGUAGAUUUAUUUUUAUUUGAGCAAGUGUAAAAUUUGAUUUAAUUACUAUAAAAGACCAAUUGAAUGGUUUUGGUAAGUAAAUAUGUUCCAUCAAAUUAUACAGUUCAUGAAUUUCAUGUAGUAUAUUACAUUAUUCACCUAUUUUUAUUUUAAAAUAUCAUGAUAUUCAUUGAUGUUACUAUAAAACACAGAUAAUGAAUAUCAAAUUUAAUAUAAAUUUUCUACUAUAAUUUGGCUAGAAAUUUAAUGACCAUUGUGAAAAAUAUGUAUAUAUAUAUCCCUCAUACUUCAUUUUUUUUGUAAGUCACAUUUCUUGCAUGGAGGGUAAGAAAACAACAGGACGCCGAAAAAUUCCAUUGAUGAAGAUAGAAAAAGAUGUUGAUCGAUAUUCUACAUUCUCUAAACGACGUUCUGGCUUAUAUAAAAAAGCUAGUGAACUCGUGAGAGAACAUGAUGUCGAUCUUGAAAUUGUUCUAUCUUCACCAAGUGAUAAACCAUAUGCUUUUGUCCACCCAACUCAUAAUGCAGUCAUUGAUCGUUUUAUGAACUUGAAAACAGAUUUAGGUGAUCAAAUUGCUGCUGAAAAAUCACGUAAAAAGUGAAUCAACUCAAUGAUAGGCUAAAUGAACUUGAUAAAAGAGGAGAAAUUGCAAAAGAGAGACUUCUUGCUUUAAAUGAAAUGAAUAAAACUAGAGAGAAAAGUCGUUGGGAGUCUAUCGAUCAGUUAAAUGAAGAUGAUAUAAUGAAGUUUCAAGCUUGGUUAGAUGUUGGAGAAAUUAUGCUGAAGGAUCAAUUACUUGAAGCUUCGUCCUCGUCGCAGUCUCCAUCGGAAGAUGCAGAUAUCUAGUUUAUAAGUGCUUCUUAAAUGAAUCGUAUUUGUAUAAUAUUAUUUAUCGAAGUUCUAUACAACGAAGUGAAUCUAUAGAUUCACUCUAUUUAAGUAUGCUUUCAUCUUUCAUUUUUGUUAUUUUGUUUCAAUAAUGGUACAUAUUAUAUGUACUUUGCAAUAAUUUCUAUUAAUGAUAUUUAUGUUUAUUAGUGUUUGUUGUCUCCUACAUGUUAGGUCAUUUGAUAUUGAAUUAUUAGUUUAAAUUGUACUCAUUGAAAAUUUAGAGUUGUAUGACCUCUUAACACGUAAGUGGUGGAUUCUGAAAUUGAACUUAUGCCUAUAGCGGCAUUAGUUCUGUAGGAACUAAGCUAUGUCUUGUAAGGCAUAACUUGUGAGUUUUGGACAUCAUGGCAUAACGUUCUGAAACUGAAUUUAUGCCCUUAUCGUCAUAAGUACUUUAAAAACUAAGCUAUAUCUUACAACUUGUCGAUUACGAAAUGAACUUAUACCUCUAAUGGCAUAUGUUCUGAAGGAAUUAAGCGGAGAGACAACAAUUUCAGAUUUUGGGGAUCUAGAAGGAAUAUUCAAAAUCGUAAGGUAUCCUGAAACAUCCUCAUAAAGGUGGCUUCACUUCAAUCCCAAUGAAACCAAAUAAUAUAUAUAAUAAAGUAGUGUUACCUUCCCGACGUAAUUUGUCUUCGAAUCUCCACCAAAAACCGAUGAACAAUAUUAGAAGAAAUAAUGCAAAUCCUGAAAUUCCAGCAAGCACUCCCCUCGGCAGUUCUGAUUCACGAACUGGUUCAUAAGUUGUUACCGGGAAAUAUUAGUCACAAAAUAGAAAACAAAACCACGUAAAAUCGUAAACAAUCAGGGGUAUCCCGGUGCUCCAAGGCUCCCCUUCGUAAAAUAGUGAACAAUCCGACAUAAAAUGAAUACCUGGAGUUACUGUAAUUGCAGAUAUAAGGGGUCCAUAGUACACCGAUGGGUAUGAGACAGACCCUUUCCCGGACCAGUAUAAGUGAAUCUCCAGCUGACUAUUAUUUACAUUAGCUUUAAACGGUUUUGUUAUAGCGGUAUCCACAUCUUUUGCUUCCGUUUCUAUGUUGAAGUUUCUCAGCACAUUUUCUCCCUGCAUGAAUAUUAUCUAAAAUCUUUAAUAUUUUCGCAUAUGGAUCGACAACUUGAUGGUUUUAGUACCUUACCUGGAUAUCUACAUCAAAGAGACGCCCUGCUUUGCUAUGCGAAUCUUUAUUCUCGCUACCAGAUAUUUCAGCAAAAUGAAGAUUCACGUCGUAUGUACCAUUUUUCAAACAAAAUCCAUAAUAUUUCAAGGAGAUUGAGGAUAAACGUGCUGUACGAUACAAUUGGGCAUCACCAGCAUGAAUUUGGCAGGUAUCAUUUAGAAUGUACUUAUUACCACUUGCCCAUAAGAAGUUCCCCAUACUACUAUAGCCCCAAUUUGAUCUCUUACUCUUGAAGAAAGUUGAUUGACCAUGUGGCUGUAUAUCAGCUUCAUAUUCAGUUCCGUUAACUGUUACGGACUCACCACCGCAGUUUAUAUACAAACGGUCAUCUACAAAUGGUUAUCAUAUUUUAGUACAUGGUGCAUUUAUAAUCUUAAAAUGAGAGCAACUUUAUCUAGAUCGGAAACACUCCAGAAAUAUACAGUGAAGAUCUACAGCUCCCUCUCAGUCUGAGUUAGCAACAUGACAUUGUGAAAAGACAAACUAGCAAAUAGCAAUAGUAUCAUGAGUCAUGACACAAACACUUAACUGUAAAAAUAAUGUCCAUCAGAAUUUUUUUGUGUAGUCACAUUUUUGAGACAAAAGAAUUACUCCCUCCAUUUCAAUUUGUUUGUCUUACUUUCCUCUUUUAGUUCGUUUGAAAAAGAUUGCAUCUCCUUUUUGAGAUAAGCAUCCAGUAUCCCCUCGAACUAUGGCCAAAGUUGCUACGACACACUCCAACUUCACAUGGGUCCUAUUAACCCCUGAACUCAAUUUUAACAUAUUUUUGUCACCCUUUUGUGCUGACAUGAUACCUUUAUUACAUAAAAAUGGGGCUCAUAUCAAAGGUGUCACGUCAGCUAAAAAGGUGCUACAUCAGCUAAAAAGGGUACAAAAAUAUGCUAAAAAAUUGAGUUCAGGGGUAAUAGGAUCCUUGUGAAGUUGGAGUGUGUCGUAGCAAAUUUGGUCAUAGUUCAGGGGGAUACUAGAUGCUUUACUCUUCUUUUUGUGACAAUUUCUUAAUUUCAACUUUCCAAAUGACAUGUUUAAAAUCGCAAGAUUAAAGGGCAUUUUGAUACAAUUACAUAUUUUUAGUUUAGAACCACAAGAUUCAAAAGUCUUCUUUAUUACUUUCUUAAACUUCUUGCCAAGUUAAAACUGGACAACCAAUUAUUGAAACGGAGGGAGUAUCUAUGAAGCUAGCCAUAAGGAACAUAACAUAAGACGUAUGCUAAAAUCACUUCACGUCUAAAGUUGUUAGUACUUACAAAUCUGAGUUCCAUUCUUACAAUCAAAAUCAACUUGGUCCCGCUUUGUAACCCUGCAUUCAAAUUUACUCACAAAGUUAAGUAUACAACUCAGAUCAAUUUUCUUACGAGACCAAAUUAUUUCUUUUUUUUUUUUUUCCUCUUUGUGGAGAUACAGGUGGAAGAGCUUACUCAUCCGUUUCCCUGCAGCACUUGAACAGAUUCCUGGGGAAGGGCAAUAUAAUUGGAUUCAGAAAUAGGAAAGCUACUAAAAAGCUAUGUUGCUCGAACUCUUCAAAAAUGUCAACGGAGGUGUUGGAUAUUCCAAAAGUUGUAGAUUGUAAUGCCCCGUAUGUUUGAAUGUCUUAUUAGAGAAAAAAAAUAGGCCUAUAUGACCCUUCGAGUAGAAAUAGUUUGGGAUGAGUUUGAGUAUGUCAUAUGAAGUUUAUACAUCGAAAAGAGGUCCCCCAUGUCACGCCGUCACUUGGAGGGGCCAAUGUUUUGGUUCCGCGGUGAGGCCCGCUCUGCGCGGCUAUUGGGUUUGCUAUUGGGGGCACACCGCGCAGCCCCUGGGGCUGACAGGAUUUCAUUUUCUUUCAUUUUAAGGGCUUUUUGGUCUUUUCCAUGAUUAGAAACCGUCCCCACUUAUACUAAACUGUCAUAAACCCCUAUUCCGUAAUUCAUUCCCCAAAAACACAUUCUAUUCCUCCCCAACCCACAGAGAGAAUUCAGCUAGGGUUCAAGCUUCAAGGCUAAGGGAUUCAAGCUUUAUUUCAAACUCCUUCCAUCAAAAAGAAAUGUUGAACACUCAACUACUUUUAUAAAAAGUGAACUUAAUUAUUAUUUAUGUAUAUUUUGUUGAUGCUUUCAAGCUAGCGUUGAGAAUUUUGUUUUGAAAAGCUUGAUAUAAAAUUCCUCUUCUUUAUGAAUGGAUGAUUAAAUCGUUAUUUGGGGUUUUGAGACUAAAGUGGCUAUUUAAAAAUGAUGAAUCUUUAUGUCUUGAAAUUUGAAUAUUAAAUGGAUGAAUAUUUAAGCCAUGAUUUUUAAGUCUCUUGAAAGCUUUGAGUUGCACAAGAAAUAAAUGUUUUUCCCGUCUUUUGUAUCAUUGGUCAUAUGGUAUUGUGAGAAUGUUUGAAAUGGAUAAGGAAAACUCAACUAUGAUUUUGUUAUGAUUUUAAAAAAAAAUUUAUGAUAAUGAUUUUGGCAUGAUAUGAAUGACUUGCAAGUCUUGGUAUGACGAUACUAAAACGUAAAUGUCUUUAUGAAUGAAUGUUAUGAUUAAUGUUUUGAUUGGCAAUUAAGAGAAAUGUGUAGUUCACUAUGUCCUCAUGACCAACGCUCAAAAACCUAUGUUUUACCCGACAUAAGGAUGCUCGUUCCCUAAUUGGACGGCGGAUGCUUUCAUUAAUAUGAGGAUAAAAAUGGUGACUUUAGCCCAAUCUCAGUUCUUGCGGCAAACAUGAACUGAUGCCUCACUAGCUGGGUAUGGACCGGACCCUAUAGGCCGUGGGUUACUUAAAGCCGGUGAAAACUACAUAGUUCAGAACUAAGUUUUUAAAUGGUCAUGUCUUUAUGUUUUGCAUCCACUGCCCAUGCUUUUCUAUCAUGAAUGAUGAAUCGAGUUUUGUGAAUUCUUUUAUAAAAAUGCUUUGUCCUUUCCCCUAGGUCGCAUACAGUACUCAUCGUACUGACCAUCCUGAACGCUACAUCGUUUCAUCAUGUAGGUUCGAAGGCAUUUUCCCGUGGUUCUGUGCAGCACUACGACACUCUCCUCCCCCUCUCUCUCUCUCUUUCGGGACAGCUGGUAGCAAGUGAUGAACCCUCUAUCCUUCGGAAGACAUUUGGUCUUUUCAUCCAAAUUUUGAUUUCUUCUUGUUUUAUGGUAUAGCUAGGGCCAUGUUCCGGCUUAGGAGUUUUUAUUCUUAAUGUUAGAGGCUUUGUAGACUGGUUUAGACAAAUGGUUAUGUCGUAUUUUCAGAGUUGAUUUCCCAGUUCUUAUUUAAGUUGAACCUUGUAUUUUUUGGCUCUAUUUCCGCACUUUAUUAAUGAGUAUGAUUAUGAUGAAAUGCUAAGGGAUUUUCUCGGUCCUGCUUUGGUCUGGGAUGCCAGUCACGUCCCGGGCCUGCGCUCGGGUCGUGACAUGGAUUUUGGAGAAUCUGACAUAGGUUCAGUAACAAUUUUAAGGAGUUCGAGCAACAUAGCUAAGAAGCACAUAAAUACGAUUUUUCAAGAUAUGUGAAAAUCACCCUUACAAGUCAGGGUUUAGCUUCUUUUCGGGGCUAAUGUUCACAAAUUUGAUAAGGUUUUCAGAAACAUCCCUGCACUUUGACUUGGAUGAGUGAGUGGCAGAAUACAUUGUAGAAAUUAAUGAAAUGAGGAAGUCGGCGAAGAAAAUCAUGUUAAAUCAAACUUCAAUUGGAAGAAAUUAAAUACCAUGAUUUCUAUUAUAAUCGAAUUAUAACAUAAUCUUCCAUGUAAUUUCUGUACGACAAUUCUACCAAAGUAAUGGAUAGAAGGGUAAAAAAACAAAAGCAAAGAAACAAAAUGUUUUCUCUAAGAAUAUAUGGUAGUUUAACCGAAAGAAUAAUGACCAAAACAACGCAAAAACAUACUGUAUUCGUUAACUGAAAAAAUUAGAAGAAAACCAGAAAACAAGUUUGGAACAGUUAAAAGAUGGACCUAAAGAUGAACUAAACCGCAAAAGCUAGUUCAUGAGAUGAGAAUUGUCUAAUGUGAAAGGCAUAUAAUUUUGGACAAAAUACUUUUCUUAGCUUGAUCAGCGUACAAGUUUAUCAAUAUUUUUACCAUAAUAGUAGACAAAAUAAAUUUCCUAUGAGCUGCUAGUAAUGUCUGAAUUUAAAACCAAAAAAGUAAUAUACUAAUGCAAAAAGCACUUACACAAAUGGAGUAUCAUUCAUCCAAGCUGGAAUUAUCUGAUUGAGCUUAUUUUUUCUUAGAAAUCUGGAAACAACGCAUCAGAUCAUGAAACUUAAUAACGAGACAGGAAAAUUAAAAAAUGUGAUAAUAAUCAAUGUUUCGACAUAAAUAGAUGGCAUAAUACAUAAAUGUGCCCUUUAACUUGGCUUCAACUUUCACCUAUGCCCUUCAAUUUUGGGUGGCAUGUAGGCAUUUAAACUUGUAUAAAGUUGAACAAGUAGAUACAUGAGUCCUAUGUGGAUCCUACGAAGCCAAUUUGUGUCCUAGGUGGCGUCCUAUGUGUAGUAAACCACAUAGUACGCGUGUGUCUACUUGUUCAGUUUUAUACAAGUUUAAGUGUCUACUUGUGCACAUCCAAAGUUGGAGGUAAUAUAUGCGAGCUUGAAGCCACAUUAAAGCAUCACACAAUGGCCAACAUUCUGUUAUAUAGUGAAAUCACCUUUCGCAUUUAAUCGUUAGAAAAGCAAGAUCGCUUACAUAUAAUUCAGCGAGUUGUCAACUUCUUCUGGAAUUCCACCAAACAAACUGUUGAAACUCAAGUCCCUGUAUCAGGAGAAAAGAAAGUAGAAUUACUUUACAUAUUUGUUCAGGAAACAUGUAAUAGCCUAUUCAGUGACAGGUAUACACUCAAUUACGUCGUUUUCUCACUUUGUUCCACGCACUUCAACUAUUUUUUUUUUUGGUAUACUGUAUGAUGUCAAACAGAACGGGAGCAAAACAAAGAUAGCGCACUUUAAGAGUUCAGCCUGACGGAGCUCUUCUAUCCACAAACGACUUAUUUUCUCAUAAACCUCAUAAUAUUACAACAACAACAACAUACUCAAUGUAAUCCCACAAGUAGGUCUAGGAGGUAGUGUGUACGCAUAUCUUACCCCUACCUUGGGAGGUAGAGAGGUUGCUUCCAAUAGACCCUCAGCUCAAGAAAAAAACAUAACAAAGCAGUCACAUAAGUGAAGAAGCCAUGACAAGACACUAAAGAUAGAAUGGCAAAGCAUUCUGAAAAAAAAAAAAAAAAAGGACCAGUAUCUACAAGAAAAUAAUACUUCUGUUACGUCAGGAUAAGUGAAACAACACUCAAUUACCUACUAGCCUUCUAUCCUAAUCUUUGUCCUCCAUAGCCUCCUAUCUGAGGCCGCGUCCUCGGUAAGCUGAGGUUGUAUCAUGUCUUGUCUAAUCACCUCUCCUCAAUACUUAUUUGGCCUACCUCUACCUCUCCUGAAUCCAUCCAUAGCUGACCUCUCACACCUUCGCACUAAGGCAUCCAUGCAUCUCUCUUCUUGACAUGCCCGAACCAUCCAUAAUACUAGAUAGGGGAGAUAGGGAAGAUGAUUACAAUCAACCGAGCUAUUACGAUUCCCCUCAUAAUAGUAGAUGUUAAAACACGGGAUCAAGGAGACUUUAACAUGAAGGGUUUGAUCAUGAAGAGUCUCAUAUGAAAAAGGAACAAUUGGAGAGGAGAACAUUUGAACUAUCAACUUUCUCCUAUCAAAUAAGCACACACAUUUUUCUUCGUAAAGUAAAUGUAUAUAGAGAUAUUUACUGCAGAAGCGGUCUAACAGAUACUGUAGGCCAGAUAGAUUCCAUAUCCACUUAGGGAUGCGGUCAGCUAUUGAACAAUUCCUCAAUGUCCUAGAUAAACAACAAAUCAGAAAAAUAAAACUGCAUUUUAGGAGAAGAAUAAAAGAAAAAUUAUUACUCAAUAUACAUGAAAGUUUGGGUUCCAGGGAACUCACAAAAUUCUUAAAAAUUUCAUUCCGGAUAAAUCUGGAAAUGAGGAGCUUUCUCCGACUACAUCAGUGAUAUACCUGAAAGUAGAUAUUGUCUAAUCCAUAAUAAUUCAAUGUUUGGGAGAGAGUAAAGCAUCUAGUACCCCCCGAACUAUGAUCAAAUUUGGAUGCACUCCAACUUCACGAGGGUCCUAUUACCCCCGAACUAAAUUUUAGCAUAUUUUCAUCAUUCUUCUUAGCUGAUGUGGCACCUUUUGUCAGCUUUUUUAGCUGACGUGGCAACUUUGAUGUGGGCCUCAUUUUAUGUAAUAAAGGUGCCACAUCAGCACUAAAGGGUGACAAAAAUAUGUUAAAACUGAGUUCAGGGGGUAAUAGGACCCUUGUGAAGUUGGAGUGUGUCAUAGCAACUUCGGCCAUGGUUCAGAGGGUUACUAGAUACUUAUCUCUUUGGUAGAACUCCGUUCAAGGAUGUGUAUGGCAAAAAAGUUACAGGAUUUUACAGUUCGGUUAGACUCUUCAGCUUUGGGAAUUGGUCAUGGAAAGGUGAAGAAAUACGAUUCCCCAUCAGAUUCCUUCUCAACGCGUGCAGAAAAAAAAUCAAUAGCCUCAAUAAAAACAUGCAUAGAUAGUAUAAAAUUGUACAGUUACUUUGCGAGUUUUACAUGAUACGCAGAUCUUGCCACUGUUUGAAAAUAUCCAGCUUUAUUUCACCGAGGCUGUUCCCUCGCACAUUGCUACAGAGAAAGAAGAAUAAUCAAUUGAUUAAAAGUAUAAUCUGAAGAUCUAUAUUAUCUCCCUCUCUCUCGCUCUUCGUGUUUCAAUUCUAUGGUAAUGAGAAUGAAAGAUAAGACAGUAGAUACUUACAAGUACGUCAGUUUCUUCAAACUCUUGAAAGUCGACGGCAAGGGACCAAUAAAUUCAUUGUUCUGCAAGUUCCUGAAAUCAUUUACUACAUAAUAAUAAGUAUCCAUGUAUUCUUUGUUAAACCUUGAAUUAAACUCUAUCCAGUACGAUAAGGGUCAAAUUUAGCAGCUUCUGCGUCCCUAUAAUUACAGCCCGCUUUAAAAACAAUGCAAGGAAUGAGUAGAAUUGUUUUGGUUUGGAUAUAUUUUUACUUCGACAGACAGCUGUAAGUCGGGAAUGUUGAAAGCCAGCUCUCCAGGACCACGGCAUAGACCAAAAAACACAUCUUUAGCCCACUGUACCCAGCUAAGUACACAAAGUUUUGUGUUCUAUUACUUAGAAAUAGAAUCUCAAAAAGUCUUCAGUCAAAAGCCAACGCGAUUUUUACUCAAACAAUCACCCAUUUAUUGUCAAUUUAAAGAACUUAAUCAAGAAAGUUUACUCAACCCAGAGAAGAAGAAAAAACUAUCUUAGGAAUAACCAACAAAAAUAUACUUACAACUCUUCAAGAUUCACAAGAUUCCCAAGCUGGUCGGGGAGUUUAUCCGACAGUUUAUUAUCUAUGAGGUACCUAAUUGUGAAGGCAAAUAGAUGGGGAUUCAAAUUUGCAUUAAACCAAAUGGAAAGUGAGAUAAAGUAGAAGUAUGGAUCUUAUCAAGGAUUUUACAAUCCCAGGAGGCUCUUAAUAUUUCCCAGCUGAUCCGGAAUUUUCCCCGAUAAGAAAUUAUAGCUCAAGUCCCUGAAAGGACAAGAAGAAGGAGAAAAAAGAACUAAGAUAACUCGAUAGUAAUAAUUUACUACAGAAUAGAAAGGACAAUAUAAGAUGCAGUUUUAGACUUACAAAUAUUCAAGAGAUGGAAGAGAACCCAAUUCUGGAGGAAUUGUUUGGUCGAAGAAGUUUUUGCACAGGUAUCUGUAGUAGCAAAAAGGUUAGAUUUGAAUGAUUAAACACAAUCCCACGAUACAACUUUGAGUGAUUUUUCCUUAUGAUGGUUGCUAGCCGUCUUCAAUGUUAACUCUGCAUUAGUUGGCAUGUUAGAAUGCAGAAGAACUGCAGACAAUUGUCUUACAUUUAAAGGGCAGCUCGGUGCACUAAAGGCCCCUCUAUGCCCGGGGUUGGGGGAAGGGCUGAAUCUUAUAGUUCUUUCUGUGUGUCAAGUUAACGCCUCGUAGAGUCACUUACGAUCUCUUCGUUUCCAUUUUUCUUCUUGUUAAAGAAUGAACUUGGGUCUAACCCAAACAUCAAAGCUAGGUCAUAAGGUGAGGAUUGACCAAGACUAUACAAGGAGACAAACAACCAUCCCUCAACUAACGUGGGACACUUAACAAUCUACCGCACACCCAGGCCCGCCUACUAGAGCGUGGACGAAAUAAUGAGGGCCCUACAUGGAGACGCACAGUAAGAGGGAUGAGUCUGGCUCUGACCAUGUGCCUAAAUCAAUCCUAAAAGCUAUCUCAUGAAGUGAGGAUUGACCACGACCAUACAACAAGCUACAAACAAGCCAUCCCUCAACCAAUAUGGGACAUUAAACACUUCUUAAGUUCCAACUUAUAAGUGUUGUCUUGAAGGAUUGAGCAAGUGUCAAACAAGUAAACAGUUUUGUCACAACUUUGCAAUGAACAAAGGGAUGAUCAACAUCCUUCCCAUUUCCUUGCAUACAUAGGACAACUGGCAUGAAAUCUUCUCUAAUUCUAUGGACGAUAAUUUGUUUGAACAACACCCCAAAUGGCUGUUCGUUAAAGAAAAAUACUUUUUCCUAAGUGUCUUAACACUCCAUAUUGCCUAGAAAGGCGAAUUUAUAUUGAUAUUCCUGCAAAGUCCCAGUAUCAAAUUGUAUAUAAACGAGAUUAGGACCUAGAUGAAGAUAUGACUUUGGUAAGCAUCAUGCUAUCACAUAGCACCAGAUAACACUUCUCCAUUUCAAGUUUCAACCAUUCAUAUGUUACUUGAUGUACAACAUCAUCAUCUAUCAUUUCAUUCAUGUUACAAUAAACCUAGAUAUCUGAAUUGCUUGCAACAGUAUGUUCCCUGUCAUCAACUACGAUUAGGAUGUCAUAACAUUGUUACAACACCUAGCAUUCAAACUCAUAUGAGAACAAUUUCUUUAUGAUUAUUCUAUUGCCAAAAAAGAAUUUCUACUUUUGUAAAGCAGUCAAGGUGAAGUUAUUCCAUUUUUCUUGCCUGAUGGAAAUUAGUGGAGCAAUAUUAUUCCUUCUUUUUUAUUUCAAAAUUUGCAGGAAGUUAAUUCAUCAAGUUUGACAAAGUUAAUUUAACAAAUACAUAGAAAUUGUGCGUAGGUAGAAUCGUAAAAGCUGAUACCAAAAGGUAAGCCAAUGACUUACAUGCUUCUUAAAGAUGGCAUCUGACCAAGGAAAGUUGGAAUGCGUCCUUUCAAUGAGUUAUCACAGAGAGAACUGUCAGAUAAAACAUCAUAACUAUCACAGGUAAUUCAAGAAAAACAAUUCCUUACUUAGCUUCAGCGUAUGCAUGGUAAUGAAAGACUUUAAAAACAGAUAAAUAAGUUUCUAACGGACACAGUAAAGGAUGGAGAGUGUAAUGAAACGUUUGCAGCCGAAGUUAUGAAACUACUCACAAGUACAAUAGACUCUUCAGAUGUUGAAAUGAUCCAGGAAUUGAUCCGCGCAACUUGUUUCCAUUCAAAUAACUGUGAUCAACCAAAAUAGAUGAAAGGUCCAUAAAGGAUAUUACAUUAUCGAAUCUUGGAUAUGAUGUAAGUUUAUUUUUAGACUUUUUUGAUCCUUCUAGACUUCGAAUACCUCUUAUUUAGUGAUUUAGAUUCCAAAAUGCAACUGGAAUCUAAAAUACGGAAUGAUACAUAAAUGCAAAAUCUUCAGGUAUGAUUAUGAUCUGUAAAUAGUUUAAUCCCUCUGGCAUGUGAAUCUAAACUGAAAAGCACAAUACAAAUUAGAAUAGAUUGUUUAGGUAUCCUUACAGGCUUGUUAAAUAUUGAAGGUUUCCAAUCUUCUCAGGGAUCUCACCUUCUAAUCGUCUAUUAGAGAAAUCACUGCAGUUCAUUAGGUUGCAAAAAAAUCAAUCAGAAAUCUCAAACUUGCAUAGUUAAAAACAAGGCAAGCAAAUGCGACAAAUUUUAACUCCCUUGAGACCACAACUUCAAAUUAUAAAGAACAUAAAACAAGGAUGACCUGCACAUUUUUGGCAUGAACACUACUAACUCAAAAUGUCUCGUAAGUUGUUUUAAACUUUUGUGGUGAAAUUGAGCAGACAUUGCUAUUAUUAUAGUGAAUUUAUUUUAAAUCAUUUCUGGUCGAGUAAGCAAAGAUGAAUAUUCCUGCUUCAUGGAAAACCUUAUAGUGAAGGGGAGCUUUGGAGUAACUGGUAAAGUUGUUGUCAUGUUGUGACCUGGACAUCACGGGUUUAAGCCGUGGAAACAGCCUCUUGCAGAGACCCUUCUGGUCAGGCCCUUCCCCGAACCCGCGCAUAGCGGGAGCUUUAGUGCACCGAGCUGCCCUCUUUUUUUUUAUGGAAAACCUUAUAGUACAAACAGACUUUAUUAAUCAACAUAUAUAGAAAUGUAAAAAAGGCAUAAUUUUAGAGGAAUGAAGGGUGAAAGAAGAGGGCAGCCCAAUGCACUAAAGCUCCCGUUAUGUGGGGGGUUCGGGAAAGGGCCAAGACCACAAGGGACUAUUGUACGAAGCCUUUCCCUGCAUUUCAAGAUGUUUCACGGUUUGAACCCGUGACCUCCACUUUGUCAGUUAGGCCAAGGCUCCCCACAGGUGAACAGUGGAAUUUAAUGCUAAACACAGUUUAAAACAAACCUCUAACACUUCAACAUCAUGAAUAAGGCGUACUAUUCAAAAUUUCUAGUAAUAUGAAUCAAUCACACGAGUAAACUUUUCCUUUAUCAGCAUAAGAACCGUCAUUAGAAUCCUAAUUCCCAGAUAUAUGUAAUGUACUGCAAAAACUUCAAGUAGCAAUAGUGGUCAAUAAUUUGGGUGGAAAACCACGAGGCCUCAGGUUUAAAUCCCAGCAGAGCCAAAAACAUUAGGUGAUCUCUUCCCAUCUAUCAUAGUCUUGGUGAGGGCGGGAGGUGGCAAGUAUCACAUGGAAUUAGCCGAGGUGCGUGAAAGAUGGCUCGCACACCACGGUUAUAAAGAGAAAAAAGCAUCAUGAGCACUGCUUGUCUUCAUAUAGUCAAACGACAACCACAAAGAAUAUUAGAAUAGCAAAGUGCCUAAGAGCACAAGCAUAUAUUGCUCCCUGUGAACAAAUCCCUCUUAUGUCUCCAGAUCAUGCUAUCAAAGGACUUGUAAAUAUUUCCAAAUAAGUAUUAGCAAAUCAAUUAACAAGAAGGACAGUUGAGAAAAAUACCAAAAAAACAAAAAAAAAAAAAAAAAAAAAAAAACAGCAACAGUAACAGUAAAUAACUAGGAGUAGAAGCGAUACAUGCGCACCACUCGACAUCUUUUGUGGUUCUCAAGAUAACAAUCGCAGGUAACAGCAUCUGUAAAUCCAAUAGAACAACUUGGCGGUAAUAAUAUUCCCUUAGAACACCCAAGCAGAGCAUUGAUGACAUCCUCUGGCAUCCACGUGCAGAAAUUUGCAUCAGUACAGAAAAAAAAAAAUUAGAACGGAUAACAUGUGAUGUCAUGAAGAAUGUAACAGCAAAUAACAAGCUCAUCUAAACUCUAGAUAAAAAAUAAUUCCACCCUUACAAUGCCUGCAUUACUAAUCUUUACAUUACGAACUCCUGCAUAACUUGUUUUUAAAGCAAACGAACUCCUCAGGAUUGCAACGCCAAUUAUUACCGAUGAGCAUGUGAAAUAAGUUCAUGAGGGAAAGUGUAAUUUCUUUAUACUGUCGUCCAAGUUCAAUCUCACCCCUGAUCAAAUGGAGGAAACUAAAAAUACAGAAUCUUUUUGCACAGUGCGACUGUCUUUCUAUGAAUGGUGAUCUCUAUGUUACUUUCCGUGUACAAAAUAACCCGUAAAGGCGCAGCUUUCAUUUCAAUCUUACUACAGUUAUAGCUGAUGCAUCAUUACGAUAAACAAAGCAAGCUAUAACUUUUUUGGUGAUUACAUCUGAUGAAGACAUAAAAACCAUAUGCCAAAGAGUCCGAACAACACCAACAGGACAAAGUCAAUAAAUCCGUCAAUAAAUCCAUGUCUGCAGACAAUUUGGCCAAAUAAAAGAAUUUAAACAAAAAACGGAGGGGUGUUUUGAAGAAAUAAAGUAGCAGAGAAACAGAUGUUAGCUUAUUUAACACUUUUAGAAUCUCUAUAUAAACAUUACAGAUAGAGACUGUUACAUUUUUAAUCAUAUUAGUAUAAGAAACAAGCAGCAAAUACGUUUACACAUAACUUGAGUUCAAUAUCUCAAUGGGGGAGUAGCCAUAAAGACUAAGACAGCCGCAAUCUUACCAUCUUCUUCGGCAAGACGAGGAGCUGUAGGCAUUAAUUUGGUAUUAAACCAAGUUGUUGUACAGAUUUUGAGUAGAGGGCCAUGCGUAGCUUGUUCCACGGUCACCUCACAAUAGACCAAAAGUAGCACAACAGAAAUGAAUAUCCUGUAAACAUACAUGAACGUUGCCAUAUUAGCUCACAAGAAAUGCUAUAAUACUUCUUUAGUUUUAACCAUGCAGUUCCUCAAAUAUGUGCCCAUACCUUUAUAAUAGCAUCCUUUUUGCAAGUUUACAACAACAACAAACCCAGUAUAAUCCUAAAAGUGGGUCCGGGGAGGUAGAGUGUAUGCAGGCCUUACCUCUACCUCGUAGAUAGCAUCCUUUUUUCAAGUUUACCCAAUAAUAUUGUGUGUGCCGCAAACUUAAAAGGAACAGUAACCUCAAACUUAAAAGGAACAGUAACUACAACAAAAUAAGACAAUAAUAGGGGUACAAAUAUCCGCCCCUACUGCGUGAGUUACUCCCUCCGUCCCAAAAUAAGUGUCACCUUACCUCAAAAAAAAAAAAUGUCCCAAAAUAAGCGUCACCUUAGGAAUCCAAGGGAAAAAUUAGUAUGUUUUGUUUUCAACUAUAUCUUUAUACUCCAUCGUCUAAUAAUGUUCAAUUUUCAAGAGACAUUUAUUUAAUAGCGAUAGUUAAGUAAAGGCAUAAUAUAUAAAUGUGCCCUUUAACUUGGCCUCGGGUGGCAUUUAUUCCCUCCAACUGUGGGUGAGCACAAGUAGGCACUUACACUUGAAUAACGUUGAACAAGUAUACACACGCGUCCUACAUGGCAAUUCCGUAAGAUUGCCACGUAGAUGCUACGUAGGACGCGUGUCUACUUGCUCAACUUUAUACAUAAUCAUGUCUUUUAACUUGGCCUCAGCUGGCAUAUAAUGCCCUCCAACUCUGGGUAUGCACAAGUAGGUACUUAAACUUGUAUAAAGUUGAACAAGUAGAAACACGUCCUACGUAGCAUCUACGUGGCAAUUCACGUGAGAUUGUCAUAUAGAUGUCACGUAGAUUCCACGAAGGGCAUGUGUGUCUACUUAUUCUAACUCUAUAUAAGUUUAAGUGUCCACUUGUACACAAAAGCUGGAGGUCAUAUAUGUCAGCUGAGACGAAUUUAAAAGGCAUAGUUACGUAUUAUGGACGAUGGACAUGAUUUUUGCUUAUUUCGAGACAGAGGGGGUGUAAAAAAGAAGAAUCUUUUCUUUAAUUGGGGCCUAACAACAUAACAUAAAUUAUCUUUUUCAUAAAAGGUAAAAAAGAUGCACUAUUUUCUUUGUCACCUACUUGAAAUUCUACUUUACUAAAGCUGAAACUUCCAAUAAUGCUUCAUAUAGUACUUGACUCAAUACCCUCUACAGGGAAUCAGUUCACUGCCACAAAUCCACUAACAAAAAGGCAUAUUCUUAUGUGAAAAUUAAAGUAACUCAUGAUUUGCAUGGAAGGUGUUUGAUGAAAUGAUUGAAAGAAAAUUCAAUUAAAAAAGACCAUAGCAAUAGAGUAGGGAUAUUAACUUCUUUCUUCUCAUCAGUAAACAAAGACCAUAGUAAUGGAUUGUGGAAUAAUUUCAUCUUUUUGCUGAAAUAGACAUGCAAUGAGCAUGCACAGUGGUUAAUGAAGCGGGUCGAGAAUCCGAGGUUUCACGGUUUAAAUUUCAGCGGAGACAAAAAACAUGGUGAUUCUUCUCAUUUGUUCUAACAUUAACGGACAUAUGUAGUUAACUUAUAUAUUUCGAGGUGUCAAGUAUUUCGUAAAUUCAGUCGAGGUGUGCAAAAGCUGACAUGGAGAUCACGGUUAUCGAAAACAAAAAAAGACAUGUAAAAUGAUCUUUAUAUGAUUGCACGAAAAAUUGUGGACGGAGUCACCUGAUAUCUUAGGAGGUGGUAGGUAUCUCAUAAAUUUAGUCGAGGUGCACGAAAGCGGCAGGUGGCAUUUACGUCCUCCAAUAUUUCGUGUGCACAAGUAGGCACUUAAACUUGUAUAAAGUUGAACAAGUAGACACAUGUGUCCUACGCAGCAAUUCGCGUGCGAUUGCCGUAUAGAUGCCACAGAGAACGUGUCUACUUGUUUAACUUUAUAUAAGUUUAAGUAUCUACUUGUACACACUCAAAGUUGGAAAGCAUAUAUGUCAACUGAGGUCAAGUUAAAAGGUAUGAGUACGUUAUACGUAUAACGAACGUGAUUUUCGCUAAGGUAGUGUAAAAAAACAAUCUUUUCGCAGUGUGUAACCUAGUGAUCAAUGAAGUCGGUUGAGAUCCUAUCGUCUCAAGUUCAAAUUUCAGCGUAGACAAAAAACACUAGGUAAUUCAUCCCAUCUAUGUUCUAGCUUUAAUGGACAAAGUUAUCUGAUGUUAUCAAAAAGAACUUUUUUUUUUUUUUUUCAUUUUUUCAUAUUGUUUCCACUUUAUGGCCCUUAAAAAACAUAACAUAAAUUAUCUUUUCAUAAAAAGGUAAAAAAGAUGCACUAUUUUCUUUGUCACUUUCUUUAUAAUUUCUACUUUAUAAAGCUGAAGACUCCAAUAAUACUUCAUAUAGUACUUGACUCAAUACACUUUACAUUGAAUCAGUUCACUGCCACAAAUCCACUAACAAAAAAGGCAUAUUCUAUGUGAAGAUUAAAGCAACUCGUGAUUAGCAUGGAAGGUGUUUGAUUAAAUGACUGAAAGAGAAUUCAAUUAAAAAAGACUGCAGCAGCAGAGUAGGGAUGUUACCUUCUUUCUUCUUCUCAAUAAACAAUAACUAUAGCAAUGGAUUGUGGAAAAAUUUCAUCUUUUUGCUGUAAAAAGACGUGCAAAAUGAGUUCUACGUUCGAUUCGGUUUUACUUAUUACACAUUCGGUUUAUCGAUUUUUGGUUUUUAAAUAUACUAAAUCAAUAACCAAAUCAAUAAGAUAUUUUUUAUCGGUUUUUGGUUUAUCGAUUUUUAGUCCUUAACGGUUUGAUUUUCGAUUUAACCGAUAAAAAAAUAGUUAUAAAAUAUAAAUAGUAGUAACUAACCUGAAAAAUAAUCGAAUCUUAGUUGCAAAUAAAAAUACUACAUAAUGUGUUUUAAUUUAUAAGAAUCUUCAAGUUUGAACUAAAUAUUGUUAAGAUAAAUUAAUAUAUAUAUAUAUAUAUAUAUUCUUAUUGGGUUAUCGGUUUACCCAAUAACCCUAUAAAAAAAAUCGAACCGAACCAAUAAUUCAAUAAUUUUUUUUUUAUAAAAUCACUAAAAAAUCAUUAACCCAAUCACCCAAUAAAAAUAAACCAAUAAUAUUUUUAUCGAUCGGUUCAAUUUUUGCACAACCCUAAUUCGACGUGACUACAAAUUAAUAGCAAAAUUUCAUAUAUUACUUUACUUUUACUACAAAUAAUAAAGGGCAAUUAACAGCACGCCUUCGACCCGACUACUUACUUAAAUGUCCAUUCGAACUAGCCUACAUAAGCUUUGAAUUUGAUUGGUCAGACCGUCUCAACAAAAUAAUGGGCAAAAAAUAUCAAGUCCACACCAUUACUUAUAGGCUGCGGGUCUAACGGAUUAGCCCACUUUUAAAAAAAAAUAAAUUAUAGAGAAAAUACCUUAUUUCACCCUUGAACUAUACUCAAAACGGCUGAGACACACCUCAAUUUAAUGGGAUUCUAUUAUCCUUGAACUAAUUAAAAGUGUAAUUUUGACAUCCUAAUUGUCUAUGUGCCUAUGUGGAUCCUCCAGUGUGUUGUGCCACGUGGGCAUUAUGGGUGUCAAAAUUACACUUUUAAUUAGUUCGGGAUAAUAGGACCUCCUUUAAGUUGAGGUGUAUGUCAGUCAUUUUGGAUAUAGUUCAAGAAUGAAAUAGAGCAUUAUCUCUAUUUUAUAAUUUAAUUUUAGAAUAUUAAUAAAUAUAAAUAUUAUCAGAUAAUAUUACAUAAUGUUAAUCUAUAAUCAAUAAUAUAUAUCUGUAUGUAUAUUUAUAAUAUAUAUCUAUAAUAUAUUAAAAAUAUGAAUACACUUAGAAAAUUGAUUUGAAUUUUUUGUGCUUCAUUAAAAAUCUCUUCUUUAGAUAAAAUUAUCUUUUUACUAUACAUUUAAUACUUUAAGAAUAAAAGUUUAAAAUUAUAUAUAAAAUUUUUCCGUAUUCAAAUUGUGUAACUAAAAUUUAGGAGCUCGAAACUAAUUAGAAUUUUACCUUUUAUUAAUUCUUUCCUUAGUAAAACACAUGAAUCAUAUAAUAUUAAUUUCAUAAUACACGUACAUUUUACUCUUUUUUUUCAAAUAUUCCAUCACUAUAUUUAUAAUAUUUAAAAUAAAAGAGUCCUAAAAUAUAUGAUAAAAAAAAUUGUCAAAAAAUUAAGAAGUCCUCAAAUAUAUGAAAAGAAAGAAAAAUAUAUGAUAAAAGUUAUUUUUAACUCGAAUAAUUUUAUUCAUUAUUCAAAUAGAAUUGAAUAAAAUACUUUAAGACUCCAAGUUAUAUUACACCUUUGCAUAUUCAGACUCUUUAUUAUAAUUUUAAUAAGAUUCAAAUUCUAUAAAAAUAUAUCGUGUACAUAUUUUUUAAUGAGUGAUAUUCCUUAAAUUUAGCAUCAUAACUACAAUUUUCUUGCUCAGGUUAAUUUUUAUAAGAAUACAUAUUAAGAUAAUAUUCAUGCUCUUCUUCUCCCUUCAUGUUUCUCUCUUCUCCAGUAAUUUUUUGAUUGUUGAUAUUUUUUUUUACUAGUCAAGUAUACGUGUUUUGCAUGUGUAUAUAAAGAUAAUAAUAAGUGUAUAUAAAAGAAUAAAUUUAUAUCGAACAAUAUACUCGAUCUGCCUUUAAAAAUCUUGUUUUUAUGAAUCGGAUUCAUUUAAAGUAACGUAGACUAAUUUCUUGAUAAAGAAAAGCUUACCCUUCAAAAGAUCUCCUAUUUCUCUCUUUUCAUACUGCUCAUGUCAAUGCACGUAAAAUCACAUUCCAUUUUAUGCGUCUUCUCAUUCAAGACAAAUAAUUAUAAAUUAUAAAAUAAAGAUAUGGACAAAAAAUAAAAAUAAAAUAUGACAUAUUGAAAUAUCAAUUAUUUAAUAUUAUACUUUGAAAGGAAAAAUAUACUUUAGAGUUUUGAUGACGUUACUAAAACGUAAAAUGAGCAGUUCAAAUUAUCCCUGAUGGAAGAAUGAAAUCGGUUAUAAAUUUGAUUUACUAACGCAUGAAAUCUCUAAUUACUAUUAUGUUUUAUCUUCUAGUCAACUAAUGACUUUGUUUAAUACUUGUUUGACACUCUGAUUAUGUUUGCUAUUAUGAGAAAUCACAAUUUUUACUUUAUUUUUAUCUCAAUAUUUUUUUUUUUAUGUAAGUAUGACUUUGACAAAAGAGUAUUAACAUGAAUUACGCCUGAAUAAGAAGUAGAACUAAUAUGAAUAAAAAAAUAAAAUUUAGAAUAGAAAAAAACAUACCUUAAAUUCACUUGUAAUCGAUACGAAGUUUUGUCCACAUGUUUCACAUAAAUCUUUCUUCAUCUACAUAAACAUAUUAAACAAUCAAUCAGUAAUGAUUUAUUUAUAAAGACAAAUACAAAUAAUAAAAGAUUAUGAAAAAAUCAUCUUAGAAGUUAAUGGAUCUUUAAUUUUGUUAAGCCUAAGUUAAAGUGACAGUAAAAAAAAUGAACUUAUUUUGAAGGUAAAUGUAAACAAACAAACAAACAAAAGCAUCAAAUAUAGAAGCUUAAAAUGCAGACGAACUUAUAAAACGUUGAAAAAGGUAAAAAGAAUUUAAUGUGAUUCUUUACAUAUAUUAUUUUAGGGCUGUUAAUUUAUUUUUAUAUAUUUUAGGAUUCAUAAAUAUUUUAGGAUUCUUAUAUUUUAUAUAGUUUAGGAUUCUUAAUCUUUACACAUAUUUAUUUUAUCAGGGUUUCCCCAUAUAUUUUAGGAGUAUUUAAUUUAAUAAUAUAAUAAUUGGAGGAAGGUGAAAAGACAAUUUAUCUAUUGCAGAGUGUUUUAAUGAAGGACAAAAAGUUCGAAUCACUUUUCUAAAGGUCUUUACACUUUUAAUAUAUUAUAGAUUAUAGAUAAUUUAUGAUUAUGUUAGUGAAACUUAACUCUCAAUUGACUUAUUUUUACUUUUCUCUUUUGCUUUUUUUUUUUUGUAGGAUAAAUACAACAACAACAACAACAACAACAGGCCUAGUGUAUUCCCACAAAGUGAGGUUUGGGGAGGGUAAGAUGUACGCAGUCCAUACCACUAUCUCCUAAUUAAUGAAAGUUAGGAGUCGCAGUCGGCUUGAAUCGGGAGUUGAGAAUGGGUUUUAAAUAUGUAGUCGAAGUAGAUUCUCGUGUAGCAAAAAUAACAUAAUUUACCAUAAAAUUCUUUAUUUGUUGGAUGUAUUUCUUUUUAUUUAUGCGUUUGAUGAAAACAUCUCGAUGUUAUCUUUACUGUAAGUGAUGUGCUAUUAGUUAUGUAUGGAAGCAUAUCACUGAACAAUUAAGUAUGCGGGUUGAUGAUUCGUAAUUAUCUGAUUCGUGUUAUGCAAACAAAGAGAUGAACUACAUAUAUGAGAUUGUAUUGAAAAGAGAAAAUACAUCAAAUCCCCCCUCAACUUAAAGCCAAAACUUACUUUAGACCCUAAACUAAUCGGACAAUUAUUUACCCCACUUAACAACUUUAAAGUGAAUUAAUUUCAACCUCAAAAUCAAAAUCAUACUCUCACAAUGGAGAGUGCACUACACACGCGUCAUGUCAUGCCAAAUAAGUGUUACAUCAGUGUCAUGUCAUUGCCACGUAAGAUAUUAUAAUAUUUAAAAUAAAAGUAAUCUCACACACAUACUUUUUAUAUAUUUUAAUAUAUAUAUCUUCUUCAUCAGCCCCUCCUCUCUUCUUCUUCUUCUUCAUCAGCCCCCCGCACCCCCCUUUCUCUUUCUUCUUCUUCUUCCUUUCUUUGAUAUACAUAAGAUUUGCAGCUUGAGCAAAUCGAAUAACGGACUAAAUACAAAUACAUGAUCUCAAAAAUAAACUACUACACAAAAUUUCAAAUCCAAAACAUAAAUAAAAUUGCACAAUCCGAUAUGACAAAAUAAAAGCAAUAAUAGCAUUUGCUUUCUCAGCCUUUUUCUUUUGACAAAAUUGGAAAGAAGAACACUAAUCUUAACUUUACUUCCAAGCUCUUCCAAAUUGGGAAGAGAAACUUGCACUAAAAUCCCAAUUGAAAAAGCUCAAUUUCAUUUCCAUCAAAUACACAAAUUCAAUCAAAAUCACUUCCCCUACAAUUAAAAUAACCUCCUCAGAUCUAUCCAAAACCAGCUCUUCUUUGCCAAAGAAUAAAAUAACCAAAGAAACACCACCAUUAAAGAACUCAAUGAAUUCAAAUCCAAAAAUCGAUCUUCCACAAAUAAAAAUGCUAAGAAAGAAACACACCAAUACAUAAAGAAACGGGUGUGGGGGUUCGAAGAAGAUUAAAAAAUCGAGUGGGGGUCGGGGUGGGGUAAGGUUGUGUUAGGAAGAAGAUGAAGUUGGAUGCCCUUUUUUAAAAAAAAAAAAACUCACGUGUUUUUUUUUUUUUGCCACGUCAGCCGUAAGGGUUGAAAUUAAUUCACUUUAAAGUUGUUAAGGAGGGUAAAUAAUUGCCCGAUUAGUUUAGGGUCUAAAGUAAGUUUUGGCUACAAAUUUAGGGGGGAUUUGAUGUAUUUUCUCUAUUGAAAACUAUCUUCAGAUUGAAGACAUAACCUUUGAGCUGAGAGCCUCUUGAAAACAAUCUUUGUAUCCUACAAAGAUAAUGAUAAGGCAUGUAUUCUAUCCUACAUAGACUCCACAUAUGAGAUUCUAUUAAAAAUUAUCUUAAAAUUGAAUGUAUAACUGUUUGAAUCAUAAUUUUAUGAGUGUACCGAAGGUCUACCAAAAACAGUCUCUCUAUCCUAAAAAAGAUAGUGAUAACGAAUGCAUUCUAUCCGGAUCCAAGAGGGUCGAUGCCCGAUUCCCCAACUCAUUACUCAUUCCUUCCCCACUCGAUAGGAAUUGCAAUAUCGAGAGAGGGAGCAACAGUUGACCUCCUACAAUAGGUAGAUGCGGUAGGCAUAGAUGGACACAGUGAAAUCAAUCUUUAUUCCGCACUCCCUCUCACCGGCCUGAAACAUAUAUAAAUCAUGAAUUCUUCAGAGCGGGUCGGCAGUCCGAGCGUAUGGGGACCGUCGAAGAAGUUCCUCAACGCGCCGUAACCACUACUUUGGCUCUUUUUAUGCAAUUAGGAACUCCACGGAACUUAAAGACUACACAUAUGAAAUUAUAUUGAAAAUUUUUCUUUUAUCUCUUGGGAUUCGUGUGAGAUAAAAGUCUCAUGCACGAUUUUGAAUGAGAGAAGGAAGUGAGGAAUCCUCGUUUUGAGCUUUUUUCCCUUUAUUAAAAGUCUUUGUUUUAGACAAAAUUGUCUUUUCACUAUUUUUUUCAAAUAUUUAAGAGUUGAAAAUUAAUUAAAUAUAUUUAUGAUAAAAACUUUACCUUAUUAAAAGUCAUCAGAAUUAAUGACAAUUAAUAUUUUUUUCAUCAAUCUAAGAAUUUUAAAUCAACUAGAAGAUUUUAAAAGUCUAUAAAUCUACAUCUAUAGACAAAAUCGUCGAAUUUUAAAUAAUCAAAAAUUACACGUACGAGGCACGUGCGGCUAAACUAGUACUUGUUAAUAAAGUCUCCAACACUCCAAAAAAUACUCCUAAUAGCGAAAUUAAAUAACUUUUAACAUGAUAUCCUUUGAAUCAAAUAAAAAUACUAAUAAGCAAUCUAAAUAGUUGCAUGUAUUUGAAUUACGGGUUGACCUACGGGUUAGGCCAACCCACAUUGCUCAAGCCCCACGGGCCACAGGCUUAUACGGGCCGGGCUAAAAAGCUCUAUUCUUAAAUGGGCUGCAAAAAAUGAAGCCCAACUCCAUCAAAUUACAAGCCGAGUUGGGCGGCCCAACGGGUCUGACCCAUAUUGACGGCUCUAGCCGCUUUAAUUGUAAUUUUAUUAUAUUAUCUCUAAUUUUACUUUUACUUUAUUACUAAUAAUAAAGGGCAACAAGCAGACACGUCUUCGACAUGACUACUUGUGCAGUUGUGUUGCUUUAAUCUAAUUCUAUUAUAUUAUCCCUAAUUAAUUAGUAUAAAUUAUUUAAUUAUUAAAAAAUUAAUAAUAUUUAAUAAAUAAUAUAAAAUAAAAAUUAAAUAAUAAAUUAACUCUAGAUGUUUUGUGUUACCUUAAUCAAAUACUUCAAUUGUAAUUUUACUAUAUCACCCAAGUUAAUUAUUACUAUAAGUCAUCUAAGCAUUAAAAAAUUAAUAAUAUUUAGUAAAAAAGAUAAAUUAGACAUAAAAUGAUAAAUCAACACUUGAUGGUUUAAAUUAAUUUGAUGUCUUUACUACUAAUAAUAAAGGGCAACAAGAAGGCACGUCUUUGACAUGGGUACUUGUGUUGCUUCAAUCCUAAUUUUAUUAUAUUAUCCCUAAUUAAUUAGUAUAAGUGAUUUAAUUAUUAAAAAAAUUAAUAAUAUUUAACAAAAAAUUCAAAAUAAAAUAAUAAAUUAAUUUUUUAUGUUUUGUGCUACCUUAUUCAGCUUCUUCAAUUGUAAUUUUACUAUAUCACCCAAGUUAAUUAUACUAUAAGUCAUCUAAAUAUUAAAAAAUUAAUAAUAUUUAAUAAAAAAAUAUUAAUUAGACAUAAAAUGAUAAAUCAACUCUUGAUGUUUUAAAUUAAUUUGAUGUCUUUACUACUAAUAAUAAAGGGCAACAAGCAGGCACGUCUUCGAUAUGGGUACUUGUGAUGCUUCAAUCGUAAUUUUACUAUAUUAUCCCUAGUUAAUUUAUAUAAGUCAUUUAAUUAUUAAAAAAAUUAAUAAUAAUUAAUGAAAAAUAUAAAAUAAAAAUAAAAUAAUAAAUUAAUUUUUGAUAUUUUGUGCUACCUUAUUCAGCUUCUUCAAUUGUAAUUUUAAUAUAUCACCCUAGUUAAUUAUUAAGUCAGCUAAGUAUUAAAAAAUUAAUAAUGUUUAAUAAAAAGGAUAAAUUGGAGAUAAAAUGAUAAAUCAUAUCUUGAUGUUUCAAAUAAAUUUAUAUGAGACCCAUUUAAAUUUUUUUUCACAAGUAUUUUUUAUAAUAAUUUUGUUAUCACCUAUAAUUAGUUGUUAUAAGUCAUUUAAGACAUGUCUGCUUCAUUGUUUCAAUUGCAAUUUUAUUAUAUCAACUCUAAUUAAUUUUUAUGGUCAUCUAAGCAUUAAAAAAUAAAUAAUAUGUCAUAAAAAGGAUAAAAUACGCACAAAAUGAUAUAUCAACAUAAAACAUUUGGUUGACUAUCCAAAUUAUAUUAGUGCCACAUAAAUUACGAUAGGACAGAGGGAGACAUAAAGUAAUAUACAUUAUUUAAAAAAGAGAAGACACGUAAACUGGGACGGAGAGAGUAUUAACAUCUUAUUUAAAAAUUAUGUUAAAAUCAUUAUAAAUCACAUAAUUAACAACUUAAAACAUAUAAAAUAUUAGAUUGACUCUCGAAAUUGUAUCGGUAUCACUUAAAUUAAAAUAGAAGAAAAAAUACUAUAAAUCACAAAAAUUAAAAAUUUAAAUUAUUUUAAUGAUUGAUUAUCUAAAUUAUAUUUGUGUCAAAUAAAUUGAGACAAGAAAAUAACAUAUAUUGAGCUCAUGCUAGCAUGGACCCUUCGAUGUCUAGUAGUUAACUUAUAUCUUUGGAGGUGUCAAGUAUUUCGUAAAUUUAGUCGAGGUGUGCAAAAGUUAAUCCAGAGAUCACGGUUAUCAAAAACAAAAAAAGACAUGUAAAAUGAUCUUUAUAUGAUUGCACGAACGGAGUUACAUGAUAUCUUGGGAGAUGCCAGGUAUCCUAUAAAUUUAGUCGAGGUGCACAAAAGCUGACCCUAGGACUACGUACGGUCGCUAAAAAGACAUGAUAAAUGAUCUUAAUAGUGUUCAAUUUUCAAGAGCACUUAUUAAAUAUUCUCCUUAACUUGGCCUCAGGUGACAUUUAUAGGUCGGAUCAAUAAUCGAUCUGUCUAUAUAUCGGUCGGAUAGAUAAUAGAUUUGCCUAAAAAUGGUUCAUUUCCCUAAAAGUAAAAACUUGUAGUCUAUUUAAUUAAAAAGAAGACUUGAAAAUGCCAUUUAACAAAGAGUUCCGUCAAAAAUUAAAAGUAAUUUAUAUGAUUGCACUAAAAAUUGUGGAAUAACCUGAUAUCUUGAGAGAGGACGGACCUAUAGCUAAACUUUUGGUGCUAUGACACCCAUUAAAUUUGAUGCAGAGCAGGUAUAAUUAUAUAAAAAAAAUGUAUAAAAUUUAGUAUAAGAUUUAGAAAAUCUCCCAGUAAGCCAGAAAAAUAGUCGAGUGCUUUAGUUUCCAGAUGGAACCUUAAAGCUUUGGAUAUCAAUAUGUGUACUCUAACCUUCCGUGCACCCACGACUCCUAAAUUCUGAAUCCUUCACUAUCUUGAGAGGUAGUAGGUAUUCUGUUCAUUUAGUUGAGGUGUGUAAAAAUUGAUUUGGACAUCAUAUUUAUCGUAAAAAAAAAAAGACACGUAAAACGAUCUUAAUAUGAUCUAAAAAUCGUGGAUAAAGUAAUCUGAUAUCUGAAAAGGUUUCACGAUCCGAAUUAGGGCCUGGCCGUGACGGACAUCCCAAACCGUGAAGGCCUGGACGUCCUUCUCUAUCUGAUCUAGUAAUCAUGCACAGCAUUCAUAUCAUAAAAGAAAAUGCGAAAAUAAAAUCUGAUACAGAAACAUGGUCAUUAACUCUGGGUUUCAAGACAUAAGAAAGAAAACCUGCAAUUCAAAACAUCUAAAUAAGAUCUGACUCAAUCUGCAAAAUCUCUACUACAUCUUAAAACUGUUCUGAAAACUGGGAUAAGGCCUCCAGUAGACCAAAACCAUAUCUAAUAAUAGUUUUCUGAAAGUAAACAGGCCUUCUGGAAUAAAGAAGGCUCAUCAACUGGACACUGCAACUCUGUCUGAACGAAUCUACUGCUUUUCUGGACCCCUAGACUGAGCCUCAGAACCUGGAGGGAGAAAGGGGGGUCAAUACAGAUGUACUGUUACUCAAAGUAAUCCAAAAAACUUUUAUAUAAGUAAAAUAAUGGAGAACAAUUUGUUAAAACAUCAUGCAUAAACAGUUCUUAAAACACAUGGGCACUUUCUGAAAAUCAUAAGUCACUCUUGUCAAUUCACUGUCUGUUCUUUGUAUUACUUCUGAGUUAGGUGGCAUUCCCCUACAACUCUGAUAUUCCAUGGGCUGUAUGGAAUCCGCCAUUGACUCCGCGGGGAAGUCCCUAACCCAAGUAUGCCGCAAGGGUUGGCGUCUCUGAUUCUGAUACGCCACACAACACUAGGCCAACGUAAUAUAAUAUACCCAGAUCAGUAAAUCACGGUUUUAGGCAAUGAGUUAUCUGAACUUGUGCCCUCUUUAGGGAACCACCUAACAUCUCUUUAUGCCCUAUUUUAGCCUUUUCUGAACAUGCAUCAUUUUGAAAUUUUAAAACAUGAAAGUCUGAUUUCUGUAUUAGUCUCUCUCUGUUAUGUCAUUGUCUGAGUUGGUAUCGUCAUACCAAGACUUGCAAGUCGAUAUUCUCAGCCAUAUAUGAUUAUUUCAUUCUAAAACAAUGUUCAGGCCACUUGAUCAUGCAUAUAGUGUAAGAAGAGUCACAUCUCAAAUCAUAAGUCAAAAAUUAUGCAAAGGCUUUCCAUUCAUUCAACAAUUUCACUAAGUAGUGGCCAACUUCUCAAAAACAUUCCUGAAGUUUCUUUGUUUAUCAAUCUCAACACUUAAAAUUAUUAAAGCAUUCCUCUCUCCCAUUCUUAAUCAUCAUGAAUUCACAUAAGAUAAAUAGUAUCUUGAAUCAUUCUGUAAACCAUGAAAUGUAAGGAUUCAUAACUUGUAAAUCAAAUAAUAAAGUAAUGGGAGAGGGAGAUUAUAUAUUUCAUGCUCUCGAUUCACAAUUCACGAUUUUCAAUGCAUACGUACAUAUAUACAAUUCAAAUCAAUUUGGGGAAGGCCUAAAGACCAAAACAAUAGUAUCGAAGCUUCUAAAACUUGAAUGUAUUCAUAAAUUCAAAAAAAAAAUCCUUUUCUUAAAAUCAUGAUUUCUAUACCCAUGAGAUUUUAGGAAAAUACCGCAUACCUCGAUUAUAAAAAAUAAUGGCUGAUCCUCGAAGCCUACAGUUUGGGGAUUCCAAAUCUCCGAUCAAUUUCGAAAAUCCACGGUUGAAUCUUGAGUUUCUUAUUGGAGAAGUAUAUGAACUAGGAUUUUUGUUUUAAGGGAAAUCUUAAGAAUGUCAUAUAUUAUGCUUGUAGAGGUCUAAAUCUCUUGUUUGGACGUUUUAAGAGACUUGGAAAAAAGUCCAAACUACCCUUGUUAACUUCUGAACUGUCUCACCCCUUUUUUCAUACUCCAAAAAGAUUUCGUUUUAAGUUCGAAAGGGCUUUUAUUAUUAAGUGACAAAAGAAAACGAUUUUUUCUUCGAAAAAUGAUUAUUUUUACAUUCAAACUCAGAGUCGCCACUUGGCAUAAUCAAGUGUGCCAAGUCACCUUUGAAAAAUCCUUUUCGAAAUGAUUUGACUCUUAAAAAGACUGGUUUGCAAACAGAGAUUCCGGCUAAGGAAUUCUGUUGACCAAGGGGAAGGUGUUAGGCACCCCUCGAUCCCGUGGUUUGACCAUGGUCGCUUGGUGGAGUGUAUUGGCUAUUUUGGCAUUACGAAUGUAUAAACCACACAAAAACAUAUAAAACAAUCAAACCAACAAACCAAACAAAACGAAUAAAAGUAUAGUGUUCAGUCCAAUUAUACAAUCCUAAAAUAAAUAAAAAUGCAAAAAUGAAUCCUAUCUAGCCUAUACUAAUCCUAACUAUGCUCCCAAGUUUUACCCGAUGCCUCGGGCCUUGAUCACGAGCAUCCUCCGAGUACAAGAUACCUCGGGGCAUUCCCCAGUAAAUAAAUACAUAAGACCUCGGGGCAUUUCCCGAUUAAAUGAAUACAUUUCUCAACCUUGUGCGCUAAAAAAUAGAAAGAACCAAUCACCAAAUAUUCACACAUUCAACAAAUCACCAAGAGUCCUAAAUUUUGCCUAUCCAAAACCUAUUUUGCCUAUUCAUUCCAACAUAUCAUAAUUCUAUCGCGUUCCAACAACAUUCAUGCGUGUUUCGAAUUUAACAAAAAACUACAAUAAACCAAAAUUGAUCCUAUUCAACCAUUUUUAUCAAGUUUCCAACUCUCACCCCAACUUCAUUUUUAACCACAUGAUUUAACCAAUUUCGAUGAAGAAUCAACAAGUGGAUAUCAACAACAUUCACGGUGGUCCAAAAUAUAUCAACAUCAACAAACAAGAAUUCACGCACAAUGAAUUUAACAAGCAAAAUAUCAAACAAUUAGAAAUUAAUAGAGAACGAGACCUCGACUUAAACCGAAUUCGAACAAAACCCAAUACCAAAAAUCCGAACAGCAGCUUCGAAGAAGAAACACGGACCAAACCUCGACAUGAGAACCAAAAAACCAAACCCAGAACGAUGACUAAUGAACUCAUAGUUCGAUUUUGAUCUCGAAUCACUAAAAUAGACGAACCCAAAGCUUCAUAAAUCUGGUAGAAAAUUAAAAAUCAACACGACUUGAAUUCCGGUGAGAUAACAGUGACCAAAACAGAUGGAAGUAAGUCAGAUUCCGGCGACGCAGAAUAUUUCCUAAACGGGGGUGCUUGAAAACAUUCAAAACGGACUGUUCUGGUGAGAUUAUCGUCUCCCUAUCGGAUUCGCCCAGAAGUCAAGAGAGAACGACGAGGUUCCGGCGAAGGAGUUGCCGGAACAGCUACCAAACCCACCGGAACCCGUUUUCAAGUAACCCGGAAUCAACCCCGUUUUAUUUUACGUUACAGAUCUCGACCUCGAAUCCCUCUCUCUCUCUCGAUGCUCUAUCUCUCUCACUCUUCGGCGUUCUCUCCCUCUCUCGUUUUUCUCUGUUUUUCCUCCUCCGGCCAGUUUUCUCUUUUCUCCCUAUAUCUCUCUCAAUCUAUCUCCCUCCAUCUUCUCCGAUCUAUGUGUGUCCGUGCGGUGAAGAGAGUGUGAAUCCGGUGAGUGUGUGCGUGAGUUUAUCUCGGUAGCAGCUGAAAAUGGAAGAUGAUGGUAAUGGUUUUGUGGUGAGUGUAUUCUUGUGUAUUUAGUGAAGGUGAAUGUUAUGUGUGUCGUGGAGAAGAAAAAGAAAGAUGGAGUUCAUCCAUGGCUACUGUCGUGUGCUUCCAGGAAGAAAUGAAAUUCUGUAUCUUCAAUAAUGGAAAGGGUCCCCUCUUUUUUUUAAUUUCCCGUGAAUCCCCACUGUAUAUAUUUCUUUUUUGUCCCAGGAAAAGGAGGGGGUCACGUGGGGUAGGGGUACGGUAGGUAGGUACAGGGUGGGGUGGUGAUGUGGUUUAUUUUGAUUGAUAGGUUGUUAGGAUAAAAUAAAAUAAGAUAAAAUUUUGUUAGGAGGUUUGUUAUUUUUUGUCAUUUUAUGGAGG